GGUCGGAUGUGUUGUAAGUUCGUUGGUGUUCGUUGCCGUUCGGUGUUGUUCGCAUCGGUUCGUGGUUCGCUUCGCUUCGGUGCGAUUCGUGCCUCUGUUCGUCUUUUACGGGUUCUUCUCGCCUUCGAAAGCGCCGUCCUUCUUCAGCAUUUUCCACAUUUUCACGUACAGUUCAAUCGUGAGGUUCAGCCUAGUGAGUUCUGUGUAGUUAAGUCGGAAUAUUUCGUAUAGUUCUCGUCGACUGUCGUGUGACAUUUGUUCUUCGAUUCCGAAACGCUGUAUUGAACACACAAAAAAUAAUUUAAAUUAGAAUAUUCAACCAACGAAGGAAACGAAAAACCAAUUCAAAUUUUAACAAAAUAAUAAUUUGCUUCAACAUAUAUAUUGCGAAUAUAUCAUCAAAUUUAAUCAAAUCAAAUCACCACAAAAAAAACCAAACAAAAUCGAAAACCAAAUCUACAAAUUCGUUUCUCAAAAACCCCAACAAACACAAAACAAAACAAACCAAAACCGAUUCAAAUAUAUAACUGUUAAAUCUGUAAGCAAGGGCAAUUAUCAUUAAGAUCAUCCACAGCUCACGCUCAAAAGUAUUUCCAAUAGCUUACAGCACACACAUAAAGCAGUUUAUCCCAGUAUAAUCCUAGUCCGACUUCAGAUUUCUGAUUUCUGUUCUGUUUCUGUUCCAACUCUGAACAGGGCGGACCCAUCCACAUAAGUUCUCAAAAUAGAUCGACUGCCAUGAUAAACAAACCCCAAAAUAAUUAGAAAUAAUUGGUAAACAAAAAAGGCCCAAACAACACUGGAUAAAGAGCAGAACUCAGAUCAGGUUGUUUUCCUCUCUUUUCGAUGGGGGCUCACUCUUCCAAAACACUUUUUCUCUCUGUUAUUUUUUGUGUCUUCUAUUUUUUCCAAUUUGCCUACGUAAACAAACAAACGGAAAAUUGUUUCACGCUCGCAGCACACGAAAACAUUUUCAAUUAAAAUGUUGGCCCAGAAAGCAAACCAAACCAAACCCAGAGUAGAGAAAAUGUUUCUCACAUCGAAUUGAAUAUUCUGAGCAUUUCAUAAUUUCAUAUUCAUUUCCAUGGAAUUCCUCCGCCGAUUCUCCAGCACUCGACAGACCCGAGAAAUCGCAUUGAAACCAUUUUUGCCAAUGAAAAAAUAAAAUCUGUUUUGUUUGCCGUAGUUUUUGGAUUUGAAGUGCGUUUGCCUGGGUUUUUACCCAAUACAUACAUAGUCGUGUGUAUGAAUAUAGUGAAUAUUUCGGUGGCAUUUAUACGAGUAUGGCCAUGUUAAUUGAACAUGCAUUUCUCUUAAUGAUUUUUGGCCACCAGAGCAUGAUUUUUGGUUCUAUGGGCUGGGACUUUGGCCUGUGCUUGCUGGAAAUACUAUCGAGAGUAUUUUCGACUGGUAAAAAUAUUUUACGGCCGCUUUGAUGUGGCCCGAUUGGCACCCAUUAAAUUAAAUUAUUUGCCUGGCUGAAAAUGAAACAUUUCUGCCUCUCAACAAGUGUUAAAAUGCACAUAAAUGGCUUUAACCAUUUCUAAUAGCUUUCUGUGGGGCUAAGGAAAACAAAAAUGUUUUAAGUUCAUACUCUUUAGUUUUCUUGUUUGACUGCUCAUAUGUGUCUCUGGUUGUCUGAAAUAUUUUGCUGGUACAUGGUUUAAAAUAAUUUUUUUUAGAUUUUCCAUCUAGUGCUUAAAAUAUUUGUCAAAUUCCACUCAAAGUUCAAAGUGAAGUGCAUUUAAAUGUUUUUUGUUCAAAGUGCACUAAAGUUUACGCUCAACAAAUAUUAUUUAUGAUUAUUGUGGAGCCUCAAAUGAAAACUGUUUUUGACCUUCCCAAGAAUAAAUCCAUGAAUUGAGUAAAAACAGUAAAUCAUUUUCUUUGCAAAAAGCAAUAAACACAAACAAGUACUUGAGCGCUUCGGAUUGGAUUUAUUUCCUCCGCCUUCAGCACCGGCCCAUGCCUCUCCUCAUUUCCAAGCAAUUAAACACGAAACGCUUAUCUAAAUACGUUUCCGAAAAGAAUCAUUUCAAACCGACUGUACCUGAAAAGCGCUCUCAAUUACCCAUGCUUACACCUGACACAAAAAAUCCAUGAAAUACAAAUUUUAAUUCGAUUUUAGAAACGAGCAGGCGAUCGACUGGGAAGCGAGAGAGGAAGGGAAGCAUCAGCAGCAGCAUCGGUACUACACGUGUGUGUGUUUAAAUACUGGAAAAUACAGAUAAGAUAAUUUAUUAUAGACACUCACGAGCACAUUUAGAGCAGACCAAAAACAGAGACAAAAAACUGCAGAGAAUCAAAUACACUCCAAGAGUAAAUCAAUAAAACAAAAGAACCCAAAUAAAAAAAAACAACCGAAACAGAGAAAAACUCAAGUGCAAAAAAAUAAAAAUUAUAAAUAAAAGUGUUACCAAGAAAAACUUUAAAAAUAAUAUUAAAAAAGAGAAAACCGUACCCAUAACGGUGCAGACAACAGAAAAUUCCCAGUGAAAAUUCAGAAAAGCGUUGACCAUUUUUUCUCGCAAAGGCGCCACGUCCAAGAGCAAAUCGUUCCAUAUGGUUCAUAUUAUUGAAUUGGUCGGCCAGCCGAAGGUUGAGUUUGCUCAACAAGUUACUGUGAGUAUCAAAUCGAGAGUGGAAUGAAUUUUCACACCACACCACAAGCAGCGGAGCGAAGUGAAGAGAGUGCAGGAAACAGGAGAGUGCAGAGUGCUGUGGGUGUGUGAAGUGUGUAGAGCGGUCCGGAGAGCGGACAAAAUGAUAAUAAAUCUUGUUGUCCGUAGAGUCACGUAAUGACAACUUAAUACAAAUACAUAUGCAUACAUGACCGCACACACACAAGCACACACACUAACACACUUUUUAUUAUGUUGUUGUGACGCUUUCCCCACUCACUCUCUUCAUUUUUUCAGCUCACCACCUCUUUUUACACUUCCCCAAGUCUUUUUUUUUGCUUUGCUCAACAUAUUUUGACAAUUAAUCAUUUGCCUGUGUGUCUGUGUUUUAUGCAUGUCCUUCGCAAAAUAUAUGUGUGUGCGUGCGUGAUAUAUAUUUUUUCUGGUGGGAAAUUCAAAAUCAGUGUGUGUAGGUCAAUAUGACUCUUGUUUUUAGGCCGUCUGCCUCUCUGUGCCAUUAACGAACCGCAAUCUUUGCACUGGUCAACAUCUGCUGGUUCUGACUGCAUUGUUCUCUUGAAGCUGAAUGUGUUGGGGGCAUUAUUCUUACCCCGAAAGUAGACUAAUUUUCAAGAUUUUUAAGAGCUUUGUCUUACAGAGAGCUCAAACAAAUUACUAAAAUUUUAUAGAAAAUGGAAAAAGGAAAAAGAAAAAGUGUUUUUUUUUUAAAUUUAUUCGCUACAGCGAAAUUGGUUGGUUGAUGAGUCCGCAUUGACCAGGUACAAAUGUUACUAAACAUUUUGAACUCAAAAAAGAGUUGUUUGCCGAACGAAUACUAUAAAUAUAUUUUAAAGUUUUAAUUUAACAAUUUUAAAGAAAACAAAUUUUUUAAUUGAAUUUGAAAUGUUUUAUCAAUAUUCAGUGCUCAAAAAAAUUAUAUUGCAUAUUGGCUAUUGCAUAUUAAAAUUCAUAAAGUUUUGACAGAUUUUGACUAACAUAUUAGCAUCUUUAAUCUGUUGAAAGAUACAGCCAACAUAUAUCCUGAAGUCAAACACUUGGUUCAUAAUAUAACCAUUGUAGUUCACCUACAGAAUGACUUAUCCACUGGCUGUUCCUUGAGGCUCGUUUUUCCUUUCUCUUUCUCUUAAAGUUGUCAACCAGCUGUGGGAAUAUUACGAAAAACUGAAAUUCUAAUCGGAUUUACAUUUAUUUCUGUUGCAUUACAUUCCGCUCUCCCUGACUCUCUCUCUCCCUCUGCCUCAAUCUCUCUUUCUAACUGUCUGUCUGUUUCACUUUCAGCUGACUGCCUUAUCACAUGUUGUUUUUGUUGUCCGCUUGUCACCCUCUUUCCUCUUAUUCACUCUAUGCUCUAUACUCUAUCCUUCUUUGUCCUUUAUUCUCUAUUUUCUGAUUUUAUUACAGAGAAAAGUCUGUUACUUGGAGGAUAUUGCGUAAAUUUCAUUGUGUAUUUCACUUUAAUGGUGGUGGCUGUCUAGAAUCGGGUGUUGGUGCUACAUUCGUAUCGUAUGGGGAUGGGAUGAGAUGGGGUGGGCUAGUAUAAUGUCACAGGAGGGGGCGCGUUUGUGCGUGCGGCGUUAGAUGACGUCGCCGGCAUUCUUUGUUGUGCUUUGUGCGUGCGUCCCGAGUCUUGUGUCUCCGUGUCCUGGUAUCCUCGUGUCCUGGCCCUGUUCUUCAUCCACCACCCACUUCCUACUUAUUCCACUUCUGUCUGUUUUUACAUUCAUCCUUGACAGGGGAUGUUCGUCGCGUCCCCGUCUCUGUCUCUUCUCUUCCAUGUUUAUUCCUAUAAUGAAGCAUGCGUUGUCUGUUGCUUUUUCUGGUGGAGUUACUCUCUUUCUCCUUCUCUCUCUUUGUAUCUUCUCUUCUCUAUUGUUGUUCAAUACUUUUGUGCCACUUGUUUUGAAUUUUUUCACAUCUCUUUGCUGUUGGCAUUACGUGUUGGCUAACUCGCUCGUUAAAUGGUUAAGUGGAGCGAAGUCGUUGACACAGUUCUUGGGGUCCUUUCUCCCGUUCAUUUGCCGAGAAGUUUGAUUGCAUUUUGGGCUAUGACUCAGACACGAACUUGCUUUUUAAAGUUUUAUUUCACGGUUUCCAGUAAGUAAGUUGUUCCUUUGUCAUUCAGAGAUACUGAAAAACAGAACUAAGAGACAGGGCGCAGGGGUGAGACUUGUAGGUACAAUGAAUUUAGUGAAGGACACAGAAAAGUUGAGGACUCACACAUUUCCAUGCAAGAAAGCUGUUUAAUUUGGUAGGGAAAAUGUUGUUCAAUAGAAAAUGCCAAAGAAAACCAUCGAAGUUUUGUAUGAGUAAUAAAAUAAGGAAGCUAAUUAAAAAUGAAGAAAAAAUUAAUUUCUUUUUUAAACUGAUUUAAGAAAGAAAUAGAAAUAUACUACUUAAAAUGUGUUUUGUUGUGCACAAUCCCUCUAAGAACAUUCGUGCCUGUAAAAUACUUUUCCUCAUGCAACCCCACUCUGCUUCUCUUAAUUGUGGCUCACGUCAAUCCUCUUUCAUCUUUACCCUUCAAAUGUUCCAUCAACAUCCUCAGCCCCUUGAGUAGGUACUCUCCCCCAGCACUUGGCUCAAUCAUACACUUAAUUUUCCACUUCAUUUCAUAAUUUUACCCUUGAAACCAAUAAUCUUGAACGGUGCCUGGCCACAGCCACAUGCCACACACAAGGUGAGAGCCCGGAGACCAAAGGAGCCUUGUCUCUGUCUUGUCAGCCGCUGGCAUAAUUUACCUUUUGACAUGCCACUCCCGAUUCGCUGCCCACCUGGGGCGCAUUCAAAAGCGCCGUGGCACUCGCACACACUCUACUGGUGGCGUCGAACACCUGCGAGUGCUAUUAAAUUACAUGCCACUGCAAAUUACUUGGGAAAACAAAGCGGUAGAAACAAAAAAGAAAACAAAGAACCAGCGCCUUGACGUAUGCAACAAUAAUAAUAACGGGUUGUGGUCGCCUUUUCCUUGACUUUUGCUUGCCGCCCGCCUUCCCGCCAUUGUUAUGCUUGGACUUGUGCUUUGUAAGCCGUCAAGCAUUUACAUACCAUUAGGCGGGGAUCUUAUGGUGGGGUGGGCAAUUGAAUGGCGAAGCGUAUAAAUAUUGAAAAGCGCCAACGCCUUUUGUUCGCUUGCUGGUAAUUGCCUAAGUCGGCAAAUCAACAUAAAUACUGCUCCGAGAGCAGGUACAGAAGUGGAGGUGGAAAGCUGUGUGCCAAUGGAAUUCUCGUAGUUUAUUUGGGACGCAAAAUGAUUUUGAUUCGAAAAAGUGGAAUAAGUUAAAGGAACAAAGAAAACCUAAAAUAUAAAAUUUAAAACAAACAAAUUCUUAUAAUGGCUGAUUUUUGUAUUCCCGGUACUCGAAAAGUAAAUAACAUACAGGUAACAUACAGAAGGAAGCUUUUCUGACCCAACAGUGUAUAUAUAUUCUUGAUAAGCAUCAAUAGCCGAGUCGAUUUGGUCAUGUCUGUCUGUCCGUCCGUCUUGUUGAGUGCCUGGACUAUACAAGCUAGAGCCACAUUAUUUUGCGUCCAGAUGGCUGGCUAUAUUUCAAAACUUCGCCCCGCCUCCUUCUGCCCCCGCCAUUCUGUAGGGCAGGACCAUAUCUACCUGAUCCCAAUUCGGUGAUCAUUAUUAAGUAUAGCCGAAAUGAAGAAAUUAAUUUGCAGUGGCUAAACCCACCCCGUCCAGCAGCUUUGCUUAUUUGUUUGCACAUUCUCUCAUUCCACACUCUUCUUCGUUCAGUGUGCUGCACCAGAGGAGGGGGCGAGCUAAAACAGCAUGUUGGCGUGGGAAGUGAUGUAGAUGUAGAUGACAGAUGUAGAAAAAUGUAAGAUGUAAAAUUUGAAAAAAACCACUAAGGUACAGAUGUUCUACUAAGUACCGGCUAUAAAAGUAGUGAAGCGUAAGAAGCGUCUCACACGUCUAAUGGAAUUUUUUUUGUCAGAAUAAUUUUUAAUAAAUUCUCAAAAAAAAAUAAUAGAAAUACGACCAACAAAAUACAAACAAAUUCAAUGCUCUUUCAAUAUUACUAAAAUCUGGUGGGUCUUAUACCCUUAAGAUAUUGAAAUAAUUCUGAAAUUCUCUAUUAUAUUUGAAAAAAAAACACUAAGGUACAUAUGUUCUACUAAGUACCGGCUAUAAAAGUAGUGAAGCGUAAGAAGCGAAAUAUGACCAACAAAAUACAAACAAAUUCAAUGCUCUUUCAAUAUUACUAAAAUAUGGUGGGUCUUAUACCCUUAAGAUAUUGAAAUAAUUCUGAAAUUCUGUAUUAUAAAACCGCAUUCAAUUUUUUCAGUUAGUUCGAUUAGCCAAAAAAAAAUAACAUUUAAUGACUCAUUUUGUUGACUCUUAUUUUAACCUUUCUGAAACCCAAUAAAGUUAUGCUCGACUGCAGUAAUUUGUGUUUUUUUAUGAUGUAUGCUAAAAGCCUUGCUCCUGACUUUACCUUUGGCUGUGGCUAUGGCUGUGGCUUGGCGACUCUUGAUUACUAUAGGUGACAGUUUUAUAGCUUUGUUAACAGGGAACACAGGCCGACUGCACCCUCCUCUGGAGAACUGCCGCAGCCUCGCCCACAUUCUCGUUUGCGUUCUUUUGUUGUGCUUGGCAUGUUUAGCGCUGAUUAUGCUUUGUGCCAGCAACAGCAGGAAAAACUCACCCCCUGAAAGACAAAAAAAAAGAGAGAGAGAAAUUUAGUCGAAAAGGAAAACUUAUCGGAACAGGGCAGAGAAGGCGGCGCAGAGUUCCACACGCUUAAGGGUGUGCGGGUCUGUUAGAGGCAAUGGAAUUACUUGCGUGAUUAACGCACACCACCGAGCGUAUCCAUCGCCCUGGUGCCCCUGGUGCCCACUGUGCUCAUGGUGCGCCCCUCUCUGGGGUCUUAUCUAUGGCUGCCCGCCUUAAUUGUGGGUCUUCCAUCUGACUAUCGAUCCAUUUGCUAUUCCAUUCAAUUCGAUCAUCGUAAUGAGGCAGGCCACUUCAAAAGCUGCACAGCUCAUUAGGUUUCCCUAUACAUACUCGUAUAUACAUUGCUCGAUUAUUCCAGCACUCGUAUAUACCUGCAUUUUAUAUUAGUUAUUCAUUUUCAGACUUAUCUCCGAUUUCCUUUGCUUUGCGUCUCUCCUCGAUUCGCUUUUUCUUUGACUUCUGCACGUUUACCUUCUUUUGUUUAUGGCUUCUCAAAAUAGCCGAGUCGAAAUGUAAACAAAAGCGCAAAAAAAACACCAAAAAGAAGAGAAAGACCGAAAGAAAAUCUCGCAGUUCACAGCGGCAGCUGCGUGCGUCAUGUGAACACUUUUUCCAGAUGCUUGCUUUUUCUCUCUGUUGUCCACUCUCUCUUUCUCUCCCUCGCUCUCUGUUAAUGUAUUUCGCCAAAAGUGCAAAACCGCACGGAGAGGGCUUGGUUAUUCGCUCUCUUUCGAUUGGCAAAGUCUACAUUUUGUAUAUCCGAAUAUUAUUUAUGUGGCGGAACAGAAUUUUUUCCUCCACAGUUUUAAUUUCCUUCACAACUAAUUAUUUCUAUGCCACAAGUGUAUUUUCCUGCCGUUGGGGUUUCCUCUUCUACUAACACUUCCCCAUAGCUGCUUGAAUUCAAGUUAUCCUGCCUAUUGUUGUUUCCACUUGGUCAAUAAAUCAACAAACACACACACACACACAAAAGAAGGAGAGGGGAAAGCCAGCUCGGAGAGCUGUUAUGCCAAGGAAAACUCGGCAAACAAAACCGCUAAUUGUCGAUAAACAACCAAUAAAAUACAAAUUUCCCAAAAACAUUUAUCAAAAAUAAUAUAAAUAAUAACAAUAACCACACGCACAAAACAACAGACACUCGAGGGCGAUAAAUAAAAAUGGCAAAAGGAAACUCGGAACAGGCCCAGCCACAGAAGAAAAACCUGUCAAGGGGGAUGGGGAUGGUGAUGGUGCCAAAGAGAAGAAAUGUAUGGAAAAUAGUGUUUGACAGCUCAUAAAAAAUAAUGUCGCAUUCAUUAAGGGGUGUCGCCAGGGGUGGAAAACCUGUAAGGGAUUGUUAUGGCAAGGAAGUUGCCAAAAGCGAAUUUCAUUUUAUUUACGACAGGAAGUGGCCCAGAACAGCAACAGCCACUUGAAACGCACGCAUGCAAAGUUAAAGCGGGAGGGAAAACAUCCUGACACCACAAUGAAAGUGGUGUGUGGGAGAGACAGGCCCAAGUCAAGCCGAAAAUAUUCAAUGGAAAAACUAAAUGAGACCCCGACUCAGAUGGAAAGUGCGUAAAAGAUUUUCAAGCUUAACGAAAGUAUAAAGAGUUUUCGAGCCCCAAACUCUAACAAUUCACCAAGAAGAGACCCGAAUCACCAUAGAAUGCUUGAAUAUAUUAUGAUAGAUGCAUAUAGGAGUACCUUCAAUAAAUGUAUAUUUUAAUUCUGUUUAUUAAAAAUGCCUCACUCAGUUAGAGUAAAUCCCUCUCUCUCUCUCUCUCUUAAGUGUCUCCCCUUAUGAAUAAGCAUGCUUCCAAAUGACAUUGACAAUGUCAGGGACCUUAGUAAUGAGCAAAUGUUUGAAUGACACACUGACAGAAUGACAGUUUUCCUUCUGGCUUGGGCAGGUGCUUUAUGGUUGGUUGUUGCUGUCGCUGCUCCUGCUUUAUACUCCUGUAUUCAGCUGCGUUUGCCAAACGCUUGCGUGCUGAAACUUUUGAAAGUUGUUCAAGUAAACACCACGAGGGGCAGCCACUAGAUGGUUGGCAGACUGAGGGGCUUGUGGUGUUUGUUUGUUGGUUGAAACAUGCAAAUGUUACAAGGUGUUAUGCUUUAUGUACAUUUAAUUGAGACUUAUUAGGUAGUGAAGUGUACAAUAGUAAAAUGUGGUUGUUUUUUCUGUGGUGCUUGUUGAUAGUGUCGUUAGCGUCUUAGGUGUGGGGAGACUUCGUACUCGGAGCGUUUCCAGGGAGGUACCACCGAACUUCCACACUUUCUCAUUGAUUUCCUCUAACCUAAUCAGUCCUAUAUAAGUGUAUGUCUCGAUAUUCCAUUUCCCGAAGUUCAACUCAGGGAAAAUUGCAGAGCCAAAGUGCAUAUCUUAUUGAACAAUUGUAGCCGACAGCAGGAAAGGGGCAGGAGUUGCGAACAAACAUGAACAAAACAACUCAGAAAUGUAUCACUGGAACCCACCGGCACUCCGUCACCCAACCCCCUUGUACCCUUCGGGUACAUUAGACGCCGCCAACGCCACUUCAAUGCGCAUUUCAACUUAUUUUUCUCGAUUUUUCUCCCCUGCCCCUGUUUUGUUGCAUUUUUCUAUUUUUGGGUGCAAAAAUACAAAAGCACGAAACGGAUUCCGCCUUCGACGGGCCCCGACCCGACCCCAUGCCACCCCCGUCAUCGCCCGUCGUCGUCCCUGGCGGUCGGUCUGCCUUUCAGCAUUUUCCUUUCUAUUUUCAAUAGACGUUUCUGUUGUGGUUGUUGCUGCUGUUUCUGUUUUCUUCCAGCCGACAAACAAUAAAAAUGAUGCGUUGUAUUGCAAAAGCACUGCUGUCCACACCAGACCUCCCUGCCCCAUCUGCCACCUCUGUGUUGCAGCAUAGCACAGCAUAUGUUGCAACUCUGUUGCUGGACUGAGCUGGUAGAACGAGAAUGCGAGAUGGUCGGGGGUACUGGGGCAGAUUUUCACCCAUUGAUAUUGAUGAAAACGACGUCCAGUUACAGUUCGUUGCCUUUUGGUGAAUUUUUCAAGGGAAAAAGACGAAACGCGAGCUGCAAUAGGAGCAAAGGGGAUGGGGGAAUGGGGCCACGGACCCGCAACAGCUGAGGAUAUGCAAAUGGUAUACAUUUUGUCAAAGCAUAAAGACGAUGUUUGGCAGGGAUAUAAAAAAUACAUGACACAUGUUACUGGCAGAUACGCAGAUACAUUGAUGUAGGACUACAGUUUCAGCUGCAGAUGCACAUGCAAAUUGAGAUAGAGAUACAGAUAGAUGGAGAAAUGCAUCAUUUAUCCACAGGCAGUGGAGGCAAAUUGGUGUAGGGCAUUCCUAAGAGAAGAGCGGAUACCGCCAAUCUCUUAUGAUGUUGUAUUCCUUUUGAGUCACGUUGUCUCAGACAACGUAAGACAAAGGUUGUAAAGAACUUUUCCAUUUUAAAAAGCUGUUAUGUGCAUCUAUAAAAAUUAGAAAUCCCAAACACUUUGUCGUUUUAGUAUACCGUCUGGAAAAUAUUAACCUUUGAAAUGCAUAAAUUAUAAUUUUUGUGUGGUAUUUUUUUUUAAAUUUUAAAAUUUAUUUUGUGUACAGCUGCAAGGUAUUGCUUAUCAAAGUUUAUAGAGAGACGGCUGAGCCAAAAUUGAUUAACCAAAGCACCAAACCCUUAAUUUUCCGAUAAAUACCGACAAGGUUUACAAUUUUGUAGUAUUUUAUUAUUUUUUGAGCACUGAAGCCAGAAAUCUGGCAGUUGGGCGAGCAACCUUCCAACCUUCUUUUUAGGGUUGGUCGACCGACAAAGCUCAAUACAACCCGAUGUAAGAUCCUAACGUUAUGUGAAAAAUGAAAGUGAUAUCUCUGGAAACGGCAUUAACACCAUUAAUACGAAAUACCAGUUUAAAAAAAAUUGUAAACAAAAAUUUAUGCUAUAGAUACACGAAAAGGGACGCGGUGAGACGCUUCUUACUCGUCACAACUUUUAUAACCGAUACUUACUCUGACAUCUGUACCUUGUGAGAGAAUGUGCAGAAAAACAAAAAGUAGCUGCUGGACGGGGCUGGUUUAGCCACUGCAAAUUUAUUUCCUCAUUCUGCCUAUAUUAAUGAUCCUAUCUGGUCCCAAUUCGGUGAUCAGAUAGGUAUGGUCCUUCCCUACAGAAUGAGGGAAUUUUGAAAUACACUUGUAACAGUGUGAGUGCAACAUUUAGUGGCUCUACCUUUUAUAGUCUCUGAGAUCCAGGCACUUAACAAGACGGACAAACAGACGGACGGACAGACGGUCAGAUGAACGACAUGACUAAAUAAACUCGAAUAUUGAUGCUGAUCAAGAAUAUGUAUACUUUGUGGGGUCUUAAAAACUUCCUUCUGUGUGUUACAUUCGUUCCGCACAAAUACCACAAUUCAUUAAACAAUUGUAAUUCCCCAAAUCUUUCAGAAAUAGUUGGUUUGGAUCCUUGACGAAAAAAUAAGUUCGAUUUUGUCCAGUAGUGUUAAUGAGAGUCAGAAAUGUAUUACACUUUGUCUAACACUUAAAGUUUUGAAAGAUUAUCCUUUUUUUUUAACCUCAUCUGUGUACAACACCUUUUAUCUGCAUAUCUCUAUCUCCUUGAAGUUGCAGUUUCCUGUUUCAAUUUGCUGCCUUUUACCAACUAAUCUUUGCCUGCAGCCAUUUCAUUCUCUUUCUAUUGUCUGCCUGUCUUGCUUAAUUUAACGCUCCACGCACAUGUACUCUCACCGAUGCCGCCACCUGUGCCCUCACCGAAAAAGAGACUCCUCCUUCACCGCCGCUAAAUUGUCACUAAUACGCCGCCUUCUGCUCAUCGUUGCGUGCCCCUGCGCAUAAUUCAUAGAGUGAAAAGGAGAGAAGGGAGCCUCCAAAGGCAGCCGGCUAACAACUGCAAUUGUCGGCAAGAAAAGGAAAACUUAAUAAUUGCAACAGCGCAACACUUUAAUGCUAACGCCCGAGUCCCAACCCCAGUCCCAUCCUUUAGGCAGUGCCACAUGUGCUGUCCAGCCUGAAAAGCUCUAUGCAAAUCUUUCUGGUACCCGCAGUCCAUGCAGGUGGAGACUUGUCAAGUGACAAUCUACAGCCAACUCUCGCAUACAGAAGCACUCACACAGAUUCUCAUAGAAGAGCUCCACAAAGCAGAGCACUUCGCGGAGUUUGGGGAGCUCCUCCUUCCUGGUUUUCCGGCUGGUUCUUUUUUUUUUGCUUUCCAUUCAUUUUAUGCCUUCGUUUUUUUCUAUCUUUUUGCUUGCUGUGUGCAAGUUUGUGCAACUAUUUUCCAUGCGCAUGGGCACAAAAAGGCAACCACCACGACUACUGGCAACUAUGAGCCAGGGGAAGUGACCGUCCCGAAGCCCUUUUCCCUUCAACCUACCGAUUAUUUCCCUUUGGAGGGAGCCCCAACCCUUAGCCAAGCAUGUGGCCAGUGGCAGGCACAGCCAACCAGAGCACCAGAAAACCAGAACUUGAGCAUUGCAACUAUUUAUUUGUUGUAGAGGGGGCCAAGAAGGAAACACGUGGCAUUACGCGCUCGUUUAUUGCGGGCAUUUCUGUUCACGCCUAAAUCUAUGCAACAUUCUGUGAUCCUCCCAGGCUGAUGGAUGCCAUGCAAUCAGUGGAAGACGAAGUCCUUUCAUCUUUUGUCGCCUGGCCUGCGGUCAUGGGAGUCUCCUGUGAAACGCACAAAUUAAGCAAUCCUCAACCCCCGUCAUCUCCCAGUGGAUUGAUGGCUAACUGUCAAUUGCUAAGCUUCCUAGUCAGAGCCAGAAUCACAAUCAGAGUCGGAGUCAGUCAAUGGAAAGAAAGUUGAAGAGAAAGGCAACACAUAGAGACAGAGAGAGAAGGAGAGAGAGCGCUGAAAAAAAAGGGAAAAGCGAAACUUUUUAAUGAUGUAAAGUACAAAGUUUUCUGUCUUGUCGCUGGCGCAAGUAACUUGAGUAAACUUUGAGUUAUGCCCUGCCUGAAACGGCGGCAACGGCGGCGACGGCGACGACCUCAAAGCGCAACUGGGGAGGACAUCCUUUCGCCCCAAAAUGGGAGAGAGAAGAGCAAAAGAGUCUAUCGAUCGAUGCAGUAGGAAAAGGACCUCCUGUGACUGGUAUUUUGUCGUUUGUUAAAAGUUUUCAACACUCAUUUUUAUUAUGACAUACGCGCCAAAGUACGUCGAGCCCCACCCGAGCCAAAUUAGUGCCGUGCAGAAAGGGUAUAGGGAGUGGAGAGAGAGUGCCGGCAAUGGGUUCACUAAUAAAAUGCCAAUUUGCUGCCAUUGAAUGGCUGCUUUAUUGGCCGCCAUUACAACUCGUACGCAUAAAAAAGGGAAUCCAUUUCCAGACCAGACCUCCUGCCCCAACCCACCCACUGGAAGAGGCAGGAACACGCACUCUCAUGUGUGUAUGUAUGUGCGUGGCAGGACUCUUGCUUUUAUGACGGCAACAUUUACACGCAUAAAAUAUGCAUGAUAAAACUUUGUUGUUGCAAUAAAUCAGCCCCCAAAAAAUUGUGCAACGCCUUGUCCUUCCUCUUUCGCCAUCUUCCUCCCUGCCUGAUGUGAUUACAAAACCAUUCCAAGCGGAACAUGGAUCACGCAGGACCGAUAGAGAUUCCAGCGAGCCUUUUCGGCGACUUAGCCGGAAUAGGUUGGGCCCAAAUCAAUUUCAGCUCUAGGCUGGCUGUCAAACUACUUAAACUGCCAUUAAACUAUUGAGGAAGGAACCAAAGUGCCAAAAGAAGGCAAAACUUUUGUGGGUUCUUCUCCUCAAUCAGAAAAAAUGUUCGUACUCGCAAUCGCACUCGCAGCCGUAUUGUAAAAAAUAUUCCCAACUUUGUUAGAGGUGCAAAUGCUUCACAAACAGACAGAAAAACUUUGCUACCUUCCCUUUUCGUCUCUUUUUUUUGGCCAUUGUGUUUUGACUGCUUUUGUUGCAUGCAUAAAAUAUUUAUGCGCUGGAAAAUAUGCAGCAACAAAAAAAACGUGGCAGGGCGAAGGGUUUGCCUUUAUUCCCGCCAUUUCCUACUACGUCACAGUACGUCUGCUUUACCGCUUGCCUUCCUGCCCCAUGUGCGUGCAACUUUUCACACUCAAAUGAAAUUACGACAAAAAAAAGAGAGCAAAACUUUGCUACUUAAAUGUAGCAUUCUCUUUCUGGUCUCACGCUCGUCUUCCUCUCUUCGUUUUUUAUUGCCUUCUGCACUUUAUCAAGCAUUUUGCCAUGGCUCAGUGAGCGCUCAAUUGCUGGCUUCCAAAACGGGGUGUGGGAACUGGCAGGGUCAGAGGGGGUAUUCUGCUGGGUGUAAACUUUUCAUUAAUAACGAUUUUCCAUUAACUAUCGAUUGAUUUCGAGUCCCGAGCAGCAUCCUUCAUCCUUUCCUGCCGCCCCACAGUACGUCCACAAUGGGGCGAGUGUAGCGAACGCACUUCAGACAAUGACUGCAACCGGCAGUUCCUUGUGCAGCAGCAGCAGCAAGGACAACAACAACAACACUUGAGUCUAUUUAAAACACAAACAACAAUAGACCGCCAGAGGAAGAAUCGGGAGGGGCACGCUCAUAACCGACAACGGCGAAGUCGACGACGCCGCCGCCGACGGGAAAAACUCAUUGAAAAGUUUUUCUUUUUUACACUUGGCGCGCUCUCGCGUGCUGCCUCUUGUCUCUGCCACACCGGUCCAGCCUCCUCUCUACCUCUCUUAAACCUAAGCUGUGUAUCGAAGCGACAACGCCGAACCAGGACACCGUUCAUGUAACAUUUCUGGAUACGCUAGGUAGAUUUUGAGGGUACUCCAUAUUAGGUUGCAGAUUUUGGAAGACUAUAACUCCAAUAAACUCUGAGCAGAUACUUUAAUACUUCCUCAGAUACGAAAAACAAAGCGAACUUUAACAGCUUGGCUAGAACAGAAACCGGAUCUAGAAGACAAUUUAAUUGGUCUCCGAAUAUCAGAAUAUACACGAAAUAUUUAAAAAAUAUUAAAAUAUAUUAAAUAUUAAAAAAUAUAAUUAAAUUAUAUUAUUUAAAUCAAGUGUGAGGGUAGCUCAUAACUAUUGUCAAUUAAAGAACAAUCCAAAACACCCUUACAUUAUUAAAAAGUUGUUAUUUUUUUUGACUGAAUUCUGCUGAAUUCAGAAUGUCUAAUUCUACGCUGACUUGAUAAUAAAGACUUACUCUAUCUAGAUUAUAGAGUAUGAUAGCUUCGACGUGCAUACAAACCAACUUUAAUUCUAAAUUCUUUUUAUUCCUGAAAGGUGCUAGGCACCCUCUCCCCGACCUUAUAGUUACACGCGUUACCUUCUCGCCAAUUUCGGUUGAUGCGGCUGCUGCUCUCUGUUCCCCGUCUCUGCCCAUUUGUUGUUGCAACCAUUAUGCCCAGUGUUGCCUUUUGUGUAGGUCGUCGGCAUUGCGUUUUUCCGCUGAUAUUUUUUCUCGGUUUUUUGCCCCCCAUUUUGGUUUUGUUUUUCCCGUACCUUGCCAUUUUAUAUGGGCACAGGGCUCGCGCGCCCAAUAUAUAUAAAUUAUUGCAUAAAGUUUGGCGCUAAGUUGCAAAAAGUUUCCUUUUCAUUGCUGUGGCUGCCGCGACGACGUCGGCAACGUGAACGACACACAAUAGUCUAUAAAUCUUUAUGGUCAACAGAGAUUACAUGGCCAUAGACGCAGAGAAGAAAGCCUUCAUGUAGUUUACUGCCCAUCUCCAUUCCCAUUCCCAUACCCGGAACGAGUCCCUUUCUCUCUCUCCAGGACCUCGUAUUGGCCUUAGCUGCUUUUUAGGCGCUGUGCGUUGUUUUGAUUUGUGUGCUCGUUCGUAUUCCUGAACCUGGAACCCGACGCGGACCAGUCCGGCCCUGCCCUGGCAGUUGUUGUGGUUUUUCCGAUUGCUUUGUGGAAUGGGAUAGAAGGAAAAACGGGAAGCAAGGAAGUGGAGGACCUGAGCAUAAGGCCAUAAAAAUGUGGUGCAGACGUGGUAGAUGUUAGAUAAAUCAUUGCAAAGCCACGAAAAGUAUGCAAUCCAAUGUUGUUGUGAGUGCAUGGAAAAUGCUUGUAAAAAUCAGCGAUUCAGGGAGUCUAUCCCUAUCCGCCAUCUCUUAAUUUCUCUGCUCUCUGGCGCACCUUUAAUUGCUUAAAUUUUUGUCAUUUCGCGUGGGCAUCGAGCGUUUCCCCAAAUUCGAUUUCUCGUUGCCUCAUAAACAACUUUCCAAAAAGGUAUAAAAGGGAUGCCAAAGACUUUCGAACGUACGAAUAUAGGUUUACCGUUAGCGGCAUUUUACAUAAAAAUGCAAUAAAUAGCUACACAAAAAUUUAUGGUUCUGGGAAAAGUAAAAGGGGUCCCAUCCUCUCCUCCUCAGUGCUGGACUCUCUCGUAAAUGUCGUGCGCCAGGGAACGUGGGCGAGGGUGACUCGAAGUAUGCUUAUAAAUUGCUCUAAAUAGUACUUUUUCGGCAGUCUUCUUCCUAUUCACUUUUCUUCAAGAAGAGAGAAGUAUAACAUGAGAGAGACAGAGACAGAGCGAGCGAGCGUUUCCAGUGUCGUGUCAUUUGUUCGCUUUCUUUAUUAGUGUCAUGUAUUUUUAUAGUUCAAAGGACAUUUGAAUGAUUGAAUGAACUGUUUGCCCCACAGCCCUGCCCGCUGUCCAUGUGGGUUGGCAUGCUUGACCAAAAUCGAGUUGCGCGAAUGAUUUCAUCCCUUGCAGCGAUGGGUUCCAUCCCAUUCGGUUCCCUAUACGUGCGGUCAGCUCCUGCUCCUGCUCCUGGUCCGUGUCCGUGUCCUGGUCAGCGUCGGCGUUGGCGGUCCCAGGCACGUUUCAUCAUGUUGGUCGGGCGACUAUAUCAAAUAACGACUAUUGACUACGCCUGUCCUCUCCUGGCUCCUGGUUCCUGUCGUGUCCUGUAAUGUCCUCUCCUGGACUCGCUCUCUGUGAGCACAUGUAGGGUUACACGACUCUUUUCCACGCCUGCCCCUGUGGCCCCUGUGGGUGCUCAUGAUGAUGACGAUGAUGAUGUUGUUGUCGCCAUCGCCAUAACCAUCGUCGUAGCCAUAGCCAUCGCUGUCGUGGCGAUGACGAAUGAAAAUCAAUAUUUAUUAGAUUACUUUCGAAAUUUUAUACGAAAAUAGAAUUUUUAUGACAUUUUUUUUUCUUUGGUUUUGCCCUCGGCAAACUUUGGGCCAUGUGCUUGGGUUUGGGCGUGUUAAAGUGUUGACGACAAUCAAUUUUUCCAGCAGACUAGAGAUUGUCAUCCAUACACUAUUUAAGCGAGAGAGAAAGAAGUCUUUAAGCUUCUAGGAAACAAUGCUAAAUGCUUAACCUUUCUACAGAUCUAAUUACAACUUGUGUCCCAGCUGGAUUAUAUUUUACUGUUUUCCCACUCACCCCUCUUCUUAUGACAUAAUUAUAGUUUUAGACAAUUAUCCCCGUGCAUUUCCCUUAAUGUCCUUCUCCCGCCCGCACGCUGCCACACAUAAUAUUAAACUUUUCGUGUUCUCCCUUAUCUGUCUUUCCAGGUAAGUUGCCAUCAUCCAUUAAUACCACCAGCCAUCAAAUUAGUAAGUACAAAAAACGACCUGCUAACACUCUUUAUAUUCGUCUCUAGCUGUAUAAAUCCCCCUGUAUCGUCACUCGUCUCCAUACCCAUCAUCCUGCAGACCCUACUCGUACGGUAUAUUGUAAGGAAUAUAAACAAAUGCAUUUUAGUGCCCUCAGUUGACCUCGUUUGGGGCUUGUUUUAAUGGCCCGAGGCCCAAGCGAUGAUGCUACUCACGUGGCUCGAAACUAAAAGCUCCCCUGAGUGUGUCUCCUCCCUCUGCUAGUUUUUGUGUGUCUCUUCCCUCUCCGCCACCUUUGGGAGUCACUUAAUUAUGAAGCUGCACAUGAAGUAAAACGUCAUAAAGCGUCGAGUGGAGUUUGGUCUGGACUGGGAUGGCUGCCACAUACGAGUAUAUGGGUUGACUUGCGUAGCAUCAUCAGUCCCCCGGCUGUCUGCCACUUCCUCUCGCAGUUUAUCCUUUUUUUCCUGGGCAACUGGAACGGGUCUGGAAACAUUCUGCAGUUAAUUUUCCGUUGCUAAAUAAACUGUUUAUGCCAUUUAUGCCAAAAAUUUUUGGCCAAAGCUUGAGAGGAGAGAGAGAAAGCCCAGGAUGAAGGAUGAAGAUGAAUGAACCCCAGCUCCAGUUCCAUGCAUGGGUGUGUGGCUGUAUUGGUGUGUGUGUGUGUGUGUGGAGCUGAGAAAUUUUUGCAUAACCAACAAACAGGGAAGCGAACGCUCCUGCUCAUCGUGGCACGCCCUGUGCCCGUUCCUGUUCCUGUUUCUGUGUCUGGUGCGUAUUCUCUGUGAACGAAAUUGCCCCUUAAUUGUGAUUUUUCGAACCGACUUUAAGCCGUUCAAGAAAUCUGCUUGUAAAUAAUAAAGUUUUUACCCAAUUUAAGGGACACUUUUUAAACGGAUUGGGAUACGAUUAGACGUGCACUGGUCAUUUGACCACUUCUCUGGCCGAAACUCAUUUUCGUCAUUUACAUAAAAAUAACAACAGUUUUUAAUGCAACAUACCCAAAAUAUUAACAGUGCGCACCACUGUUAAGAUAACAGCCGUUAAAAUCAGCUGUUUGAUUUGAACAAGUGAACAAGAAUUUUUUUCUGUGCAGAUUGGCUAAAUUCGUAUACAAUCGUACAAUUAUAACUUCAAAGAAGUUUUUAAAUUAAAAAAAAAACCGUGCAAGCCUUUUUUAUGUAAUAUGGCAUUGCUUUACAUAUUCCCAUAAUUUUUUGUUAUAUUUGAAAAUAAAAUAAAAAUUCGAUUUUACACUGAAGAAAAGUUGGUGCCACGCCCAUUUUUUCAACACACCUUUCUUUCACCAUUAUACACUCGUAUCAAAAAAUAUUGUUUCGUUUGGAAGUUAUUAGUUUUUGCAACAAAAAGUGGUAAAAUGCCCCAGCGUGCAGUGUAUCCUGCCUGAGCGAAAACGUUUAUCUCCGAUUUGACUAGUACUGAGUCCUGAACACAUAUCGAAAGGAUUACCUUUGGUAGUCCCGAUGCGACGGUUUUGGAUGACUUUUCUGUAUUCACUGACCCCUCAACGACUCGAGUGGUGAGUGCACUCACCCAGAGCCGCAUGGAUUCCCCACCCCCCACCACCCACACCCACACCCACACAUACACACACGGGGGACAUAAUGAAUAUUUACAUAAUAUUCAUACACACACACACACACACACACACGCACAUCCUUGCAGCUUUCAACGGCGUACACCCACACACACACAGUUAUCCACUGACAAUUUGGCAGUCACCGCAAUCAUAAAAAUUUCCACUUCCAAGAAUGUGGCGUGGUGGCGGCAGGGAAAACGAGGCCCGUCAGUCAGUCGCCUCUGCGCCUCAUUUAAAUGCAAAUUUUUGACGAGCGGUUUUAACGUUCUUCUUCUUAUGCUGCUGGCACUGCUGCUCCCGCAGCCGGUCCUGCCGCUCGUCUGCUGGCGGUGAAUGAAAACAUUAAAAUUAAAAAAUAAAAAGCGUAGACUGCUUUUAGGCGGAACUCUCAGGGUGUGUAUCUGGAACUGGAGCUGUGUGUACAUGUGUAUGCGACUGUUUGUGUGCUCGUGAGAAUAAUUCAAGGUGAUAGCUUAAUUGAAAUAUGCUUUUAGGCGCUUUUACACUCCCUCAUUUCUCCCCAUCUCUUCCAUCUACCAUCUCCCAUUUUGCAUACUUCACUUUGUUGUGAAGCACACCGCACCACUCCGCUCUGGGUGCAUAUUUUAUGGAGCUGCGGUCGACCACAGAGAACCGCAAAAAAGAAGAACAGUAGAGCAUCGCUGUGAUGCCAAAUCGGAAUACAAACAACAAAAAACAAAAAAAACAGAACUAAAGAGAACUGAAGCUGCUUAAUGUUAUGCAAAGUGUUUGGGCCUGCGGCAUACGUAAACCUACUGGAAAAGGGAGGACCAAACCAUGAAGGGACCGACAGAGGCAGGAGCGGAAAGGAGAACGGUGCCGAGCAGAAAGAGAUGGCCAGAAAUCAGGAAAGGGAAUGGGUUCGGAGUGAGGUGAGACGGCGCCAUCAUCAUCUUUAAUUGCUAGCCAUUUCAAUUCUCAUUACAACUUCAAUUGACUUUCGCCGGAUGUGGAUGGCUCGGACACAAAUGGAGACCUAGAAAUUACCUUCAAAUGUACCAAAAGGGUAGCAAGAGGCAUGAUUGACCGACAAAAGGUGUGCGCACUCCAUAUCGCUCGUUGAAACUGCCAUAUACAUUCAUAUGCAUAAAUUGGACAUAAAAAUACUCCCAGCCAGCAUCUCCCAGGAGUCUGGUCUGGGGAAAUUUAUGCACAUAACAGACCCUCCAGUCGACUCCUAAGAUACUGCCCCAAGUGCAACAUUCUCUGGCAUUCACUGAAGUUGAUUUUAAUGAAAAGCGACAGCCAAAGAUGCUCGAGGAAUGAAUCUGCUUGGCAAUUUAUAAAUUGCCUCAAAAAGCAAAAGCCAAAGAAAAACAAAAGGGAAAUUCGGCUUAUAUUUUAUGCAAUAUGCCACACACCGCGUUUUAUUAAGCAAAUUACGAUGAACGAUGCCGGAAAAAAAGAGUCGUCUGCAGAGGAAAUGGAACGAGGCAGGAAAAGAAUCUCGGCAAGUCCUACUUAUGACCUUGGCAAAACAGCCUCCAAAACACACGCACACACACAUUUACAUUUCUGCUAAGCAAUUUGGUAAACAGACUCUCUAGUGAACGCUGCUUCACUCGAAGCAUUUUUGCUGCUCUUAACGCACAUUUUCAUAUAUAAAUUAUUAAUUUUGUAUGCCUGCGUCUGAUCCGGGACGGGAACGAGCCGCGUCCAUCCCCCAGAUGCGGCCUUUGGGAAGGGCUUCCAAAACCGCACUCCUAAACAGGAGAGGUUUGGAUCAGGGAGCAGGCGAGCAAAAUGCAUUUUGUGCUCCAUUAAAUAAUAAAAGCAAACGUGGCAAAGAUAGCUGCCACGGAUAGCGACUGUCUUGGUGUCUCUGUGUCUCUGUGUCUCUAUGUCUCCCUGUCAGACUCAGUUUGUUCGUUAUUCCCUCUUCCCACUCGGUGCUUGUGAGUGUGUGUACACACAAUAAAAAUCUCACACGAAGAGCAUAAAAAUAAAGCAAAAGAUACCCCCAAAGUGGGAUUUCCCAAACGCUCUCACUCUCUCUCUCUCUCUCUCUCUCUCUCUAAUCUAAUGGCAGAGUCAAAGCCCCAUUGUGAUUUUUAAGUUGGCAACCUUUAUGGGAAGUACGAGGAUGAGUGCGAGUACGGGCACGAGUAUGUGUUUGGCGGAGAGAGUGCAUAAAUAAGUAAGCAAAUGCCUGUCGCUUAAGAUUACAUGGCAAAUAAGCAGUCGGCAGCAGGCACAGAAAGCACUGCAGGACAGGACAACACAGGACAGGACAGCAUUUGAAUGUGGGGAAGCCCCUACCGCUUACUUGCUUAUUCAUAGCCAGACCUGGCGGCAAGUGUGUGCCUUGAGGGGGCAUAAAAAUCAGCAUAAACAGCGAUUGUUAUGGGCUGUGAAUGAAGCCUGAGAUCAGUCACAUAGGAGCACUCAGUUCUGUUGAGGUAAUUUCGGCCCACGAAGCAGAAAAAAUCAAUGACAUCGCAAUACCGGAGAAGAAUCACUUGACAAAGCACCUCUGGCAGUCUUCGAAGCUGGCAUUCCCGGUUUCAUUUCAAUUAAGCUAUGAGCUCCUCUCAAUGUGCCUCUCUAAACAUCAACUCUUGUCCGGAAUCAUUUGAGAAAACCGAAACAAGGGUUGAAGGGACAGAGUGAAGGGAGAUUGACACGCACGUGUCCUUUCCAAUGACAAGGGAAAUUUUACAACUUUCAAGUUUAAUUUGCCAAAAGUAGCAAUCAACCAACAGCCAGGCCAGACCCUAGCAGAGACACAACCCCCAAGAAGAGACAGAGGGAGAGGGUGGCUUUUUGGAGGACUAGGAAGGGUGAGAGAGUGCCAACCCUUUCGACCUAAUUGCACGAAAGUUGUUAAAUGUAAAAAUUAAAAUGUAUAAAAUUGUAUUCUAUAUAAAACAGAGACAGAGCUCUCCAACUGUCAGUCACACAUUUUCCCUCGCUCCUUCUCACUCAGCCAUUCAGUCAUUCAGUCAGCCAUUCGUUCCUUCAUUCAGUCAUUUAUUUAUUCAGCCAGAACGUAGCUUGUUUUAUGAGGUGUUAAGUGGGCUUAAAUUAAAAGUGAGUGUAGGCGGAAUGUGACGAAAUGUUUGCAUAUUUAUUCAAGUUAUGGCAGACAGAGAGCAAGCUCCUCCACUCCAGAGCUUCCUUCGAAGCCUAGGGCUUUCCUUUGGAAACUUGAUUUCUGUUUGUUUCCCGUAUGACAUGAAGGGGCCACAUGUGCGUGUUAUAAAUUUAUAUUUAAUAAACUUUCUUCUUCUCGCCGAGGCUCAAGUGGGAGUCCCAGUAUCUGUGUGUCAGGGAUCCACCCCUGCCGGAGAUGGCAAGUGACAGGGCAGAGGGCAAAGGAGAACGCUAUUAAUGAACAUGGGAAGUGCCACAUCGGUCCCAAGUAACAGUCAGACUUAAGAUACAAAUCUCUGAAUUACGAUAAUCAUGUUAUUCUCAGAGUUUUACUCUUACAGUUCCUCUAGCACACUGCACUUUCUCACCGUCCCACCACUUAUUUAUACAUAAAGCCCACUUUAUUGACGGAUUCGCUUUGUUUGCUUUGGCCACACACUCGUAACACUCUCCCAGAGAACGUGUCAGGGGACACGUGCUAGCAUUUCGAGCGGCAGCAGCAAAUUGCUUAUUAAAAUAAUAACAAGCCAUUCCGGAAAAAAGUGAGACAUUGCAGGACUGCAGUCAUCCCUCAGAUAACUAACCCCUGCCCCAGGGCAGCAGAAUAACAGAUGUGGAAUCAACCCCUAUAAUUAAAUACCCGAAAUAAAAGAUUUUCCAAGUACUGCCUAAAGUUUUAAAGCUUAAUCGCAUAGAAUGCGGCCUAAUAUUUGCCGCUUUGAUCAUAAAAUCAAGUUGUUCCCGCUCUCUCGCGCCUCUCUCUACAUUGGGAAAGUUCUUGUGUGAUGCCUGAGGACCCAAAGAAGCAACUAUUAUUGACCCAAGAAAUAGGACGAUUGCCGUGGGAGACAGGACUAAAUGAAAUAUAAAUUAAUACAAUUUUCGGGUCGCUAUGCUCAGUUCCUACUCGGUCCGGCCCGUCCGUGUAGUCUCCCUUUUCGCAGCCAUAUUGACAGCCAUCAAGAUCAAAGAUGUGUUAAGAACAUUUGCUCACAAGGAAUUUUCGUUUCUUGGUGAGGAGGGGAGAGGAGAGGCCAGGCUAGCAAGCAGAGUGAGAGAGAGAGAGAGCGAGAGCGAGAGCGAGAGAGUAGGAGGUAAAUUGAGACAUGGACACAGACCAAUUUUGUUCAUACGGAGCCCAGGGAGCAUGGCAAAUAAAAUAAAUGGCAAUGAAUGACUGAGCAAAUGAAUAAAUGGGAGACAUUUUCGCUUUGAAAUUCAAAUUUCAAAAGUUGUCAUGACAUUGUGUUUAUGACAUUUAGUUGCAGCAACCAGAACGAGAUGACGAUAAAGAGACACACAUAGAGGGAGAGAGAGGGAAAGUGAGCGAGAGAGUGUGCUGCUGUCAAUUCUUGUUUUUUUACUGCUCAUGUUUGAAAUGGCGGAACGGGACAGACUGCAUAUUUAAAAUUGAAUAUUUGCACGCCUUGAGCAUUUCAGAUUACAAAGAUAUACUUCACUUAUGCGCACACAAAUACAUUUAAGCGUAUCUCUCUCUCCCAGCGUGUGUGUGUCUGUGCGUAUGUGUGUGAGAAUGUGGGUGUGUCUUGUUGUCAUUUGCAUGCGCUAUAUGCUCUGGUACUCGCAUGCUAUUUGCAAUGCUCAAAGCGAUCCUAAGCGGUUUUUUCUUGUUGUGUUUUUUGUAUGCACAGCACACAAAAUUUGCUAGUUGAAAAUUGAAUUUAAAGAGCUGUACAUGUAUCUACAUAUGUACAUAGAUGAGGCUGUGUAGAUUAUGAGCAGAGAUACGUAGACAGUCAUCAAGUAUAUAUAAAUGGGAUAUCAAAGAACUGGGAUAUGUCAGAUGUGUCUUUUGUUCGUUAUUCAUUUUGUUUUGUUUUUUCAUGUAUUGGAAAAGCUGUAUGUAUCAUCCUUUAUAUUAAACCAUAUUUAUAAUCGAAUCAUACCCUAAUAUAGUCAUAACCUGUACGCAUCCAAUUCCUACACUUAUCCAUUCCUUAACCCAUAAUUUUCCAUUAUCGUACCUGAGGAUAAACUGUGCUUUAAAUUUAAUAUGAAAUAUGAAUUUCCAUGAUUUCAUCAACAGUAAGCGAACUGGUGUGGGGUCUGACAGAGAUAUGAGUUACAUAUAAUGUAUCUCGCAGAUACAUUGGCAGUUGAGCUGUAGCGCGCUGCUGAGAAACGUACGCGAUUGCUAUUUACAAAAACACGCUACCGUAUGCCGCACACGAUUUUCCAAUUGAACUCACACGUGUACACACACACACACAGAUGAGGUUGCAGAGAAACAGAUACAGAUACACAGAAGAUACGGAUACAAAUAGAGUACUGCAAGUGGGUACAGGAGGGCUGGGGGGCUGGCCAGACAAAUGCAGUGCUCAUGUAGGAGCGAGCCUGCCAAUGAUGCAGUCGUGCAUUCAAUCGCUGCGUCGUCACCUCAGCGAGCGAGUACGGACCACAGAGCCCGGACCUGGGGACUCGGAACUGUGGACUGUGGACUGACUGCCCGAAAUCAUUUCAAGUUAAUAAUAAAUGGAGCAUCAUCAUCAGACAUCAAACCCGAAGAGCAAAUAUCGAGUAUCCUUUUGGUUCUCGGUCUGUUUGUGUUUGCGUUUGUGUUUGUCUGUCUCUCAGUCUCCACAUUGGAAUGUUUGCACUGCCAUUGAUUUACUUUUGGCAUGAGUUUUUCAAUUUGUAACCCGAGCAGCGGCGCCUGCUCCAUGUCGUAUAAUGAGCUGUUGCCUCGAGUACUGCCCCUUAUGUGGCACGAAUCAAUUAACAUACGUGCCAAGCAUUAGAAGAAGAGUGUGAAGCGAGGAGGCUCUCGGCUCGAGGCUCGAACCGAGACUGACUUGGCAAUAUUUCAAUUAAAUUUUUUGUGUUGCCUGUCUAAAUGGAUAUUUAUGCUUAUCAUGCUUAUGGGAGGGAAGUUCACAUUAGACUAAAAGUCAAGAGGCUGCCAACAUGCCAGCUCAAUUGACAGUCCCGGCCAAAGCGGAACCGUGUGUAUAUGUCCAAUCCUUAUGCUCGUAUACAUCAGUAUACAUGAGUAUUCACGAGUAUCUAUAUAUUUCUUAUACAUACUGUCAUCCUGUUGACAGCCAAGGUAGGCCACAUAUACACAAUCACAUACACAAAUACACAUGAGUGGAUGCGUGUUUGUUGCCCUUAACAGACAUUUUCACAGUCGAGUGCGUUGUUUGGGCCCAGCCUCGGCUGAAUCUCUCCUGACUCUUUGCUUUUGGGGUCUUCCAAGUAAUUUGUAGCAUUUCUAGCACGCCUGCUGGUAUGCAGCAAAAAUCCUCCAGAUUGCCAUUACAUAAGCUGCUGAAUUGUGGGGCAGGGGGUCCGGAACCGGUCCUUAUUCUCGAUUGCUUGGCCUGAGAGGUAGGUUAGGAUUUUAAUGCCGCUCAACCCCCAAUCGUCAGCAAAAGCAAUCAAAUGGGUCAUCGCCCCAAAAGCGUAGGCAUUAAAUGUAUGCCUCUGCCUAACCAAAGAGGCACAGAAACCUAAGAGUAACCACCGACCCACCGGACUUUUAAUUAAAAUAUUUGUAUUUGAGGCACGAGAUAUUGGGAAGACGAAUUUUAAAGUCAGUCCUACAUUACGCAAUCGUAAUCGAUAAUUCAGAGCCACACAGCACGACAGGACACACCGUCAGUCAGACAGGCGUCCGUCUUCUCCAGGCAAAUUAGUAAUUUCUGCAAAAGGUUCGUCUGCCAGUGUCGGCGAAGGAAUGGGGACGGAAUGGAGGCCCAAAGGUAUUGAUUAGCUUUCGCUGGGCAUUUGGUUGGGCAAUAAAUUACCAAAACUAAUGUUUGUCUGACGCUGGCCCCAAAGUUUGCCUAAUUAAUGGCAAACCUUUCAAAGGGCUACACCUUGUUCCAUAUUCCAUUUUUCGCUGCCUCGGCAUCAGGAGUAAAUAGAACAUUUUUGUGAAUUCGUACCCGGACUCGGUCUCGGACUGAGCCUAGUCGAGCCGGUGAUUAGCAUGCGUUAAAAUGGCGUUAAAUGUGUAACGGAAACGGAAACGAGUUGGGACAAACACGCGGACAUGCUUUUACUUUAAUUUCUUUGCCAUAAUAAAAAUGUCAUAAAUAUUUGGCAUUGCCGUGUGUCCCUGUCUUUGCCUUUGUCUGUCUCUCUUUCGCUCUUGCUUCCGUGUCCUUCGCUGUGUGUUAAUUUUUUCUAAUUGUCUAGAAUUUAGAUAAUUACAUGCCAUUAAUUAUUUACAUAAUAAUAACAUUCCCCUUCCUCUACGCAUUUUUCUCCCCUUUUCUCGCGCUUCACAAUUUUGCGGUUGACUUGAAUGAGGGGCGCACCCACUCACAUGUACAGAAAUGCAUAGGUACGAGUAUAGGUGAGCACUGUAUUCAGUAAUACAGUAGUAGUGGUUGGGGGGAAGUAAAAUUAAAUUUACAUAAUUUAUGACUUACUCAGCAGUGUUUCAUGGGCGUUGUGUUGCAUAAUUUUAGGCAUUUUUGUUUAUUGCGGCGUAAAAUUUGAAUUAUGAAUCAGGAAUAGGCUCCCGUUCCACUCUUCUUCCACCCCCCCUUUCCCUUUUCCACCCAUUUCUUCCACAGUUGUUUCCGUGUAAGGGUUACAUUCUGAGGUUAUUAGUAAUUUAUUUGCAUAUUUUGUGGGCAUUGGACAGAACGGUGGAGAGGUGAGCCGCAGCUUGACGGACAGGAGCAGGAACUCAAGUGUCAUACGGCAGUCAAGUGUCGUGUCUUGAAUGAAAUACGCUUUGAGUUGGGUCGCCAAGGUGGGGCAGGUGUGUAGGAUGUGUCCUGGCUUUAGCUUGGGACUGGAACUUGCGUUGGAAAUGUGCCUGGGGUACGGAUAAGAACUGUUCUAAUUAAAGAUUCGACGUUUUUUUUAUGGCCUCUUCUUCUAUUUUUCACUAUACCCACUAUGCCACUCCCUAUUACCGAUAGAUAACAGCUCUCGUGCUGGCCAAUCUGUUGUCUGGCCCUCGAUAAUAUAUGAACCAAUAAACAUUUCUCAUGCCAUGAUUGCUGCCGGCCACCGCUCUCACCGCUCUCACCGCUCUCUACUCUGGUCGUGGGUUCAAUGCCAGACUCCGAGCAACUUUAAUUGCCACUUGCUAAUUGCAAACUCCCACAGACCCAGUCCGAAAAGCGGACCAUUACAUACAGAUGCCAUAUUUCAUACAUCAGAGAUACAUAAGGAAUAUAGAUAUUUUCCCCAUUGAGCAUGUCCCAGACAACAUAAAAAAUGGCAGAAACAGCCACUGAUUAGUAUCAAAGGGAAGUGUGCAGGGUGUGGGUGGAAGGAUGGAUGAUACAGUUGCGGUUGGUUGUUUGCCCUGUAGCUAAAGCUGAAGCUGGAACUAGAGCUGUAACUGAGGCUAGAGCUGAGGCUCCACAGCUGGGCUGUGGAGAGCAGUGAAAAACUUUUGAUUAAGCUGCAGUUAUGGCAGGUUGUUGGAGAAAGAGCAUAGGCAGCCUUCGGGACGCAGCAGCAGGAACAGGAGCAAAAGCAGGAGCAGGAGCUACAAGCUUUUGUUUUGCUUGCUUGUUCGUUAGUUUGUUUUGCUUUUACCGCUAUCUCAAAAAUCUCCCUUUUCUGCGACUCCCUUGUGCCCCAAACCCACACACAUAGACACACAUGACAGAUGCUUAGGGCAACAUUGUCUACUUUUAUGUGCUUUGCCAGUGACAAAUUUGAGCAGCGACGACUACCCGUAUCUGUAUGCCGCAAGAGAGUAAAAAAAAUAACAAACUUUUGAAUAAAACUUUGAUGAUUUUUGUUAGAAAAGAAGCGAAGCGACGCUGCGUUUUCAAUAAGCAGAGUUAUCCUAGUACCCCAGCCCUCCCCCCCCCCCACCCUUUGGCUAGCCCCAUAAAAUAUUACUUUUCUAUCAACAAAACUUGCCGGGGAACCCACUCAAUUCGAAACCAUUUUCCAAACUAUCAUCAUCAUCCUCGUCGUCGUUGUCGUGGAGAAAGCAUAAUAAAAAUCGCUCUUCAUGUGUUUCAGUUCGACAGAGGGCAGAGAGGCAAAGUGCGGGUUAGUGAGGCUGACUGCUGCCAUAACAAAGCCAUAAAACGUAGUUUUAAUUGCAUUUUCGUUGUUCCGUUUUAUGGAGUUCGACUAGCGCAUGCAGGGGCACCAGAACAUGGCCGAACAGACCAACAAGAACACCCCAGGAGUGACCAGAACGGAACAGAACCGAGCAGAAAGCUUCGGCUUUGGACUGGUUCAAUGCGCAGCAUUCUAAUUGCAUAGUGGGAUAGGAGGGAGAGGAGGGGACAGUGUGGAAGGCACUUACGGCUUGCCUGAUCUGGGUGGGAUCUCUGGGCCGUGCCCCCUAGUGCACCCAGGCAAUGUCCCAUCCGCUCGCUGUCUCAGCGCACUUCGCUCUCUGCUCACUUAGCGCUCAGGCAUCAUAAACUAACGCAGUUUAUGGGUUCAUGCGCCGCAGACAGGGAGCGACAGAUACAGGGGAGAACACGCACACAAUCACACACACACUGUGCACACAGCACUUGGCCAAGUUGGCACUUUUGGCCAUUGCAUAUGCGUAGGCGGCGACACUGCGGCUAGCCUGUGGCCCACUGGCCCUAUCUUGGACAUGCUGGGGCGCUAAAAUUUGCGGUUUAACGUUGCCACUGGCGCCUGUCGACUCUCAACUGUGGCUGCACUGUCACAACCCCAACCUCAACCCCCCACAGACACUUUGUCAUAAGCAAUUGCCAAGGGUAAUUGUGUCGAGGCAGGCAUCUUUUGAUUCCAUUCCUUUAGAGCAUGGGCGAAAAGAGAACGAUUUAAUUAAUAUUUUGACUCUCAAAGGCUUCGUUCAGCUUUUGGCAACAUUUAAAUUUAAAAUUAUGUGCGUUAAUUACGCUCCCAAAGAAAGUUGUCGGUAAGGGGAGUCCUUGCUCUGGCUCUUGCUCUGGCUCUUGCUCUCGAUCUUGCUUCUGCUGGCGGUAAUAAUUAGCCAGGCUUUUGUAGAGAUACAAAGUGAGGGAUGCCUUAGAAGGGCUGCCGAAAAGAAAAAGUUCCAGAGUACUCGGAAGAACUCAGAGAAGUGCAAUGAAAGCACUCGGCACUCAUGUGGCUGCCAGAGAAUGCUUUGACUUUGGCUAAAUUUUCCAAGAAAAUUCUUCCAUAAAUUGCCUGGUAGUUCAUUAGCCAAAAGAAGAAGCGGGACAUCAUUAUUGAAUGCUGCCUUUGCUGUUGCAUUGAUUUUCUGUUUGUUCGGCUUACAAGUGAAUAGCUGCGGGCUUUUUCAGAUGCUGCUGGCUCUGAGCAUUUCUUGUACUGAAAACAUUUUCCAAUUUAUUAAACCACGACACAUCAAUCAUUCAUCAGCAGCAGGAGCAUCAGGAGCAUCAGGAGCAGCCAAAGCUGAGGCAACCCCCAAGAGAGGAGAACGUGGGACUAAAUGAACAUUUUUCGGUUAAACAUUGGUUUAAAAUCUGUGGCGUCACCCGGCCACCCAUCCUUCCACUCCAUUCCACUCCACUCCAGUCUCUCUCUCUCUCUCUUUAUCUUUGCCUGCCCCCCGCAUCACUGUCAACAACAUGGUGCUGCCGUCGACAUCGCCUGUAUAUAAAAUCCACAAGGCUUCAGUUCAUCGACCACUUAAUUUAUCCAGCUGAGCUUUGAGUAAGGCAAAAGCGCAUUUGUGUGUUGUCUGGCCAAGAGUGAUGAAGUGGGAAGUGGUGAGAGGGGAAACGAGAGUGAAAGAGAGAUGUAGAGAGAGAAGUGGGGGGAUGGUUCAGCAUGCCUUUGGUCAGACAGAGAAAUGCACUUAAUUGCCGUGCCCCCGCCACGCCCUGUUUAGUGUGGAGUAACGAUUAAAAAAUCAACCAGCCAAAAAUAAAGUGCAACGUGCAUUUAGGCGCGCUGCCUAGUGGUCCUGGUCCACCCUCGUCCCCUCGUGUGGUGGAGGGAGCUGCACUCAUUCAUUAUGCAUUAAUGUAAAUACGGUAAAUGUUGUCCAAUCAUUAACAUAAUUGAAUUACAAACAAGCUGAGGAGAGAGGCCCAAAAUUUCGGUUGCAUGCGCGUGCAUAAAUCGCAAUUUUAAUUACUUGCCUCAGACUAAUGGAUUGUUCCAAAAAACAUACAUACACACAACUUAAGGGCAGUGGCAGACGGGGUACAGAGAGAACACCGAUUCGGCUAUGACAUUAAAUAUUUCAUAAUACAAAAAGAGCCCUCGCUCUCCCAGCCACUCCCUCACGGUUAUAUAAAGCAAUUGAAUUUUGCAGUUAAAAGCUUCAAUCAUUUUCAAUUGCCGCAAACUAAUGGAUGAUUAUAAAAUAUUCAUGCGACAAGCGACAGGCGAUGAGACGACAGACUUCCAUGCGGCUAAUGACAAGCAAAGGCAAAGGACCAGGCCCAGGCCCAGGCACAGAACUGUGCUCAGACCCAGGACACAGUCACCUCAGCUUGCCCCUGACUUGCCCUGGGCCACGUUGAUGAGCCAAUCUAAGACCAGGAAGCCCAGGGGCGUUGCCAGAGCCGCCCCCUUUCCAUCUGUGAGCGGUGCAAAUAAAUUACACCUGCGAAGGGAGAGAGAGCCGUUGUGGUAUCCCCACCUUUUUGGUUAUUGAUUUGCUUGGGUUUUUGCGGUUUUCGGGGAGGAGUGGUGCGGACGAGGGUGGACACUCGAUUCGAACACUCGGUAUAAAGCCCUCAAUUAAGUUUUAUUUUAAUGCAUUUCAUUUGAACGUCUUUUAAUGGGAUUUUUCGUGCUCCGGCACUGCCAUAUUACUCAUUUGCCAUAAACCAAAAGGUGACCACAACACGUAUCCCUGUCCCAGACCCAGUUUCAGACCCAGAUCCAGUCGCAGAUCCCACUCCCCACAGCAGAGUGGAAGAGCAGAACAGAGAGAGAGAGAGAGAGAGAGCGGAUGAGUGGAGGAGUGGACGAGGGAGGAGAACGUUAAGUGUUGGCUGGCCAGAAUCGACAUGGGUCGCUUGGGUGAGAUUUAAGCUUUAAUGAUGCAUGAAGCGGCACAGGAUGUGGCUGCCCAGUCGUGGGUAAAAGGCAAUGAGCGCAAAUGUGCAGAGGAGAGCCAGGGAGAGACAGAGACACAGAAUGGCAGGGUGGCUGCUGGGGAGACAGGACAUGACAGGAGAUGGGUUUGCAUAUUGAGUGCCAUUUAAAUGCUUCAAAAUGCUUCGCUGGCCAAAUGUGUUUUUGGAGGUGUUUAUGAAGAGGUUCUAUUCCACUGCUCCACACAGCUCACAGUAUGGUGAUGGAAUUUCAGGGGGGGGGGGGGAUCAAAUGGGGAGACUAAUAGCAUCCUCCUCUGCCAGUAUCAUUAUCGCAUAAUCUCAUACUCAUACUCAUCGAAACUAUAAUGCCACCCCGAUAUUAAUUUCGAUAUUUUUUCUCUUUCCUUUUUUUUCCCUUCCAGAUGAACCGUGCUUUACAGCUGAAGCCAGCUGAAAAUGAAAGUCGCAGCGGUAAGUUCUCGAUUUCUGAAUUAUCUUUUUAUAUUUCAUAUAUAAAUGUGGACUCCCUCCCAUACGCAUGGGUGGAAAAUCAAUCAAGCCUCUCCAUAGGUGACCCAAAAUAAAUAAUUCGAAAAAAAUAUGACCCGUCUUUCGCUGUGGGCAAAGUUUUUGGGCCAAAGUAGUCGGCCAAAAAACGCUGAGCCAGCACAAGUUUCUAUAUCCCGCAUCUAAGUGUGUGUUACCCCACUCUCGCAUACACACUCUCUUUCUCUCUGUGUCUCUCCCUGUGCCAUUCUUUUUUCAACACCUACAACACACGUCAGCAGAAAUUACGAGCGCACUUCGAUAAACUGUCAAAACUGUCUGCAAAAAUUUGACAUUUCAGAAAAGAAAAAAAGGAAAACAGCAUCAAAAUCGAAAACCUCAAAAAAAUGCUUGGAAAUGGUAGAGAAAAUGGGAAAAGCGUAUAGCAAAACAACGUUCGACUGUCAAUGGCAGUUGGGCCGGUACAUACAGUACAGGGCCCGUGAGUGUGAAGAGAGAGCAGGAGGCGGAGGCCGAGCGCUGGCCAGGGCGCCAUAUUGUUUUUACCGGGACCCUCACACAGUUGUCGUGUUUCACGCUUGUUUGUGACAGCCCAUCGACCCAGGAAGCCCUCCAGAACCCGGCAUACCCAUCCCCCGCCCUGCCAAUGGGGAUGGAAAAAAGAAUGAUAAAGAUUUGCAUAAUUUACACAGCACUUCAACUUUGUUUUUGGGUCAGCUGCCCGCCCGAGUAGUUGUUGCUUUGAUAAACUUAUUGACAGGCUCAUUAUGCAGCCGGGGUUUUCAAAAGUAAUUUCAAUAUUUCUCCCCUUACUUAGGGUGAGCGCUUAGCUCGUCACAAAACCCUGCCUCAUUAUCCUUUCUCCUGGCUUUGGCAGGGACUUCUGCAGAGGUGCAAUCGUACAAGAGUAUGGUACACAUUUCGCAAUCAACCCGUGCUGCCCGGGGGCCCGGAAUCCAUCCAGAAGUUGCAGGAGUCGCAGGAGUCAGUGCACUCUACAAUCUUUUAAGACAUUUUGCAGCUGGCAUCGCUUAUCACAGCAGAGAGAACCGGAGCAGCGCCCCAAAAUGUCCAUUGCACAAAUUGCUUGUGCACACACACUCUCAGCCAGGUCCACACUUUGCUCGUUGGUUGGUUGGGGCAGACACAGCCAUUGCUCAUAACAGUCGCAGUCGCUGUCUCCGUUGCUGGUUGCUGGUGGCUGUGGCAAGAACCUUGACAAAGUUGAUGUGUCAAAUCAGCAGCCAACGAGCGUUGAGCGAACGCAGAGCGAAAGAUGCCAUUCAGGCAGCCAGGCAGUGACAGUCAGUGGUGGUGGGUCCGGCCCUCCUCCGGAUGACCUUUAAACUUUGCCAAAGGACAUGAAAGCACUAAUCGUUACGUUGCUCCUUUCUUUAUUCAUUCAUUCAUUCUUUUGGCUGCUUCGAUUUCGCUUUGCUUUCGUUCUUCGGCUCUGGCUCUGGCUCUGUCUCUGGAUCUCUUUCUCUCUCUGUCGCUGGCUCGGCGGCAACAAUUUAAACUUUCCUAAUCCGCUGGGGAUUGGAAACUUCAAGCUGCACAAGCAACUGAACUACGCUCUGGCAACUUGCUGGCAAUCUGUCCGCACAAUUGUGGACCUGGUCCUGAACCAGAACCUGGACUAGGGCUAGGAGUACAGCUAGGACGCAAUCAAGUCGACAUUUUUGUUUGUUGCUUUGUUGGCGGCUUGUCGUCCCCCUCCCUUGGCAUUCCCGGGCCCGUCUUCAUCACUCGAGUGGGAACAAAUUUCUAAGAAAUUAAAGCGCUAAACUUUUUUGGGCCCCUAUCAGCAACGCACUUGGCAAAUCUGCACCGAGUCCUUUGCUUCUUGCUCAACCCUCUUGGCGGAGACUUUUGACUUGUCCUGUUUGUGUGUGUGCUUGUGCUAGGAGGAGGGAUCUUUUGGCUUUGGGUUUAGGCCAAAAUGCAAUUAGACAAGGACAAGUUUAAUUGCUUGGUCGAGAGUCCUGAUAUCCUGCAGGCUGCUGCAAGCUUCACCCGCUGACAUUUACAUUUUUCGGCCGCACAAAGAAGUUUAAUUUAUUUAAACUCAAAUCAAGCAUGAAAUGUGUGAGAGAGCGAUGAGGGGCAUGAAUACACUUUUUACUGUUGACAAGUGCGAAGAGAAAAGAUGAUUUAGGAGGUCUCUUCUGCCUCUUUUGGGUUCUGUUUCCCUUUUGGGCCCUUUCCCUCCUGCCUUCAAUCCACGUAACUUCAUCAAUUUUAACUUACUAGAGGGCAGAGUAGGACUUGGUUGACAUGUCCAUGCGUUGACCAAACCCCAAACACAAGCCCUGAAAACUGAGAUACGAAAUCACAAAUUGUUGCCGUUGUCUUUCAACCGUUGUCACUGGUCCUUGGCCCUGCUCUGUCCGUCGACAACGUUUGCCGCAUUUGCAAUCGUCUCUGCCAUCACUGAGUCUGAUGAUUUUCGUUUCAUUGCCACACACACAGAACAGACAUUCACACACACGCAUACAUCCCAUGCUUAGUUAUUUAUCUUGAUAUUCCUCCUCACACACAUCCAUCCCAUGCCUCAUCAUUAUCAAACUCAUAUUGUCGUCUGCCUGCCCUUUCUCUCUCUUACUCUCUCCGCACUCUCUUUCUAUCUCUUUUUCGCUUUCACGCGUAAUUUGUACUUGUCUAACACGUAAUGAUGUCACGUAAAUUGCAUACUUUCGCUUACGUUUACGUUGACGUGUUACGUUAGCUCUGGCUCUGCUUUUCCCUGCGACUUAAAGUCAAAUUAAUAUCAUACGACCCCUGAGCAAAGAAAAUCUGCCAGUGCCUUUACUCUCUGCUCGGCAUACAAACAUAAAUUUUGAAAUCCCCGCCGUUUCCUCACGAACACUUUUACACAUACUUUCACAGCCAAACACACAUAUACAGGCAGGCUCACACUCGUACUCACACAGAUUUAUGUUUCUAACUACGCAUUAAUUUCCUUACCUUUAUCUCGGCCGGGUCUUCGCUUGACUCCUUGUCACACGUCAGUAAAUCAGAUGCCGUUGCCCAGCUCUACGCUUCCCGUCUGCCCGUCUUCCCGUCUCGUCUCUCAUUCAUCAUACUUAUAAAUAUUCAUUUCCUGCUGUGGUGCCGCAGGGGAAUACUCCAAAGGGAAGCGCGCUGCUACAAAAAUGAUUGCAAAAGAUUAAAAAUCAACUCCAUAAAAAUGCUCUCGCACCUUGCACCUGAUGAUAAAUGACAAACGAAAAUUAACAAAGCAGCCCCAACCUCUAAAAAAAGAAAGAGAGAGUGCGUGUAGAGCCGAACCUUAAAGAAAACUGAAGGCACAUAUGUGGAAAAUUCCCGAGCAGAAAACUUUCGCAGAGCUCAUUAUAGACACCGUCUCAUCAAAUUGAAAAGCAAUGAGCUAUGAGAGGGAAACCUUCGAAGCCGGAGCACACACCAAACACAUAUCCCCUGCUAAUAAGCAUUCUGCCAAAAGUUGUAGGGCGAAAAACUAAUAAUAAUAAUACGCAGAGUUGGCCCGAAAAACUUUUCUCAUUUUGCUUUCAUUCCCCUAGUCUUCAUCGCAGCUCUGCCCUUUCGCCUGAUUACCCAUUUGAAUUGUAUUCGCUGGCAAUUUGUGUUGCCUACUUUCGGGCGGCCACUCAGUUCUGAUCCGAAUUUUUAUUUCGGCAUAAAGUUAGCGACAACAUUCCAAUCUACCUGCGAUACCUCCAGCUCUCUGCUCCUUCUACUGCUGCUGCGACCUUAUUAGUGUCAACAUUUUUAUGGCAGCUCGGAAAGAAUGCCAUACAAUUUGAUUAAUACCAAUAAGGGGCGACAAAUUCAAUUGAAUUUGUAAUAUAGAUUGACUGGCACUGACGAUUGGCUUCAGCUGCGGCUGCGACUCCUUUUAUCUGUCCCACAUGUGUACCCCCUGGCAGUGUGGAGGUAUGGUGGUUUUGGCGGCUUGAAGUUUUUGGGGGAGUGCAAAUUAAAAGAGACGGCACGGCAAGAUGCGAAGGCCAGGAUAUUCACCACUAAGCCCCAAACAACAAAGCCUCUGAGGCCAGACAAAAGGCAUAAAUAAAGCGAAGCACAUCCAACAGUGGCAGCAGUACGCCUAAAAGCAGACAUCAAUUUCUGCCAUACUGCGUUUUUCUUUUCUCCUCCUUUCUGUCGAUUUUCUUUCACCGCUCCUCUGCUUCAGCGGUCGGUGGUCGGGAGGGGCUCAAUUCUUUAAUCAGCUUAAAUUCACACGUACCAAAAGCGACGCAUAGCCAUUGAUUGGAGGCUUACCCCCAGUCGCUUCCACUCCUCGUUUGGACCCAGCCUUCUUUUGCUUUUAUCAAAGCCAGUUCAAAGGCUCGUAUGUGUAUUUAGGCUUUUAUUGUUUUUGACCUUUUUUUUGCGAGACGAAAUAAAAAUCGAUUUUUCUUCACACACUCACUGACACACACAGAUACAUCUAACUCAGGAAAGAAAGGAAAAAAGGGAGGAAAAGCGAGCCAAAAUAAAAGUAAAUCACAAGCAUCGCUGCUGGCAGCAUUCGCAAGUUCAAAUAAGCGAUAAUAAGUAUUUAUAGGCGGGCAAACAGAUUCGGGUUCGGUACAUAAGGCCCCCCGAACAGCCUGCUAAAUGCGUUUUAAUGUUUUUUAAACUUUUCCCUACUGUCUGCGCUUUGCUUCUUCUCUGUUCUCUUUAAUAUUUAAGUAUACUUUUAGGCGGAGUUUUUCCUCCGUAGUUUCUUUCCUUCGACAGUUUUGUCUGCGCAUCAUUUUUCUUCGUUGCUUGAUUUUGUUUUUACGAGCGACUGAAGCCUGUCAAUUGGCUGAAUGCCUCGUAAAACUGCCAGAGGCCUAUGAGGCAGAGGCAGCUUUCGCUUUCCCCUUCCCUCCGAAGGCAGCAGAAAAACGGAGAAAAAGAAAACGAUUUGUUAUGUUUUCGCUCAGGCAGCGUGGAACAAGAAAAGGAAGCACACAAAAACAACGAAAAAAUGGGCAUGCCCUCUCGCUCUCACACAUUUUCCCGCUGUUUUCCUUUUAGUUUGUUAUUUUGUUUUCUUUUGGCCGCUGCUUAGGCCUGCCAAAUGUCAUCAUUAGCGUUUCAAUUGCCAUUUUAGUCCGUGACACUUGAAACAUUUGCAUAAAAUACCAAAAGUCAAGUUGGUUAGCGUCAAUAUUGGGGGAAGAUUCUUUGAUGUUUACCUUAGUGCCUUUGAGGAGAGACCUACAAAGAGAAGACAAGGAAACGCUCUUACUGGGAUUAUCUUUGGAGAGAAUUGAGUUCUCCGGCAAUGGUUUCUAUUUAUUUUCUUUGCGAGCUCUCAAAUAUAUUCCCAUCCGAACUUUGAGCUGCCCUCAGUCCCAGGCAGAGCACUUGCAGCGGAGCCCUAUUCAAUUUAUUGCCGCAUUCUGCCUUAUUGAAUAGAGUUGACGCGGCUUAACCAUGAUUAAGUCCCCCUUUCUUAUGGAUACCCCCACUUCCGUUCGACUUCUCGUGUCCCUCAGUCAGGGGCCCCCCGCUGGACACUGUACACAAAACAUUUCUUUUUAGCUGAUCUUAUCGGCUCGGCAAUUGUCUGACGCUUUUUGCCUUUUCCAUUGCCAUUGGAGAAGGUCCUUCUCUCCUGCCUUUGGCUGUGGUUGUGGCUUUGGGUGUCUUCAUUUUUGUUUUGGCCAAAAGCAAUGAUAAGCGACACGCAAACGCGACACUUGACUGUGGUGAUGGAGAAGAAACUACCGGGCGGGAGUACAAGGUCCACAAUUGUGACCGCAAUCAAUAGAGCUGGAUGAGCGGAGAGGGGACUAGCGGACCGGGAGGCGUAUGUGUAAUAUAAAAAGUAAUUAUUUCUUAUGCAAUAUGGACGCUUGGUCUGGAUAAGCAUCUGGAACAGAAUUUUAUGGCGGCAGAGUGGUGGGCUGGGAGUCGGACGAGCAUUGUUUUUAAUUGUUUGUCGUGGCAGGGUUGCCAGGCUUCUUUUUGCAAUACAGCACAGCAGAGCAGCGCAGCUGCAAUAUAGAUUGUAAUCUUAAUUGCAUUUAGAGUGCCCUGCAUUGUAGGUUAAUAAUCAUAAAUGUUAUGGUAAUAGUUACGAGUGCUGGGGAGUGAGUGUUAGAGUAGGCGUUGCCGUGGAAGGUGGGAUAUUUUUCGUAUUGUCGAGCUGUGUUUAGUUACAGUUUGUUGCCGUUGAAACAUUGUAAUGGAGAGCCAGCCCCCCAACUGAUUUAAACUUGCCACGAAAAGAGGCGGUGCAAUUGCUCAGAUUGUUAUGAGAGGCACUUGAAAAAGGAAGCAAUCAAUUAUUGGUUUACCUUUAAAACAAAAAUCUCUUGAGGGAUUUGUACCCCAGAUUUCACAUGUAUAAAAGAUAUAUAAAAUCUCUGCUCUCUGUUUUGCUUUGUCCACUCUCUCUCCUUACAUUUUGGUAUCCCUUAUACGGAGAUCUCUCCCCUCUUGACGUGUUGGGGAGUGAUUGACCCAGCUCGAGGCAAUUUCUAUUUAUGGGCAAAAGAAGAAAGAAAAAUGUGUAGCAACAACGAAACAAAGGAGGACAACGAGCAGCACAAAAUCCUAGUAUCAACUGCAUCUACUUUAAAUGCAGUUAGCAGGCGGAGACAUUGGGAGUAAGCAACUAGGAGCUGAGUAGCUUUCUGGAAUCUUGCACAUGACUUUGAAGCGACUUUGAGAAGAGUCAACACUAAAGUACAGGGACAUGCAGGCAUACAGGCAAAAGAGGAAAACGUGUGGAACAUUAAUCUUGUCUGGGCCACAAGCCAGUCUAGCAUUCUCUCUCUUUUUUCUCUCUGUUGUUUAGUGAUACUUGCUUAAUGAGCUGUGAGCCUGACUGGGCAUUAAAAAUUAUGAAAAGAAAGGCAUGAAAAACUGCUGGGCAAAUGCAUUUAAAAUGCAAUAAUAAAAAUGAUAAUGGCAUUAUAAUACUAAGCCCUCCCUCCAAUGCAAACAAACUGUUUUCAUAUUUUUCCGGGCAGCGGAGGGCAUUUGAUGCCAGAAAGUAUGCUACAUUACUUUCAGCUCGUUAAUUUUUAUAGGAUUCUCUGCUUAAAUUGUUGUAACACUCGCCACCUACAUGUCUCUUUCUAGCUCUCUAUCUCUCUCUACCUCUCUCUCUCUCUCUCUCUUUCACUUUCUUUCCAUUCGCUUAAUAUUGAUUUCACCUAAAUUAACGCACGCUGAGAAAGCUUGUAGCCAAAAAAAUAUACAGAGAACAAACUCUAACCGAAAGCUUGUUUCUCCUUGUAGCUGCUCUUCUGUGGUUUCUGCUGUCCCCACCCGUUGUUAUUUUUAUGAGACUUUUCAUAUUAUUUUACUUUUUGGCUUCGACUUUUGGCUUUAAUGUUCCAAAUUUUCACGCCCUUCCCUGCCACCCCGCUGUUACCCAACUGGCCAAAACAUGUCUUUGCUCUCUGGCUUCAGCUACAGCUCUUCUAUUAAGUUAUCAAGAUUUGUAAAGUAUAUGAGCCGAGCAAGCGCUGCCUUUGUACGACUCUGCUCAAGUGUGUACAAGAGGGAUGGAAGAACGCAUAAAAGUGCUAUCUAUCUCUUUUACACGUUCCCGUUCCCGUCAACAGGGAGCAGGCAGCAGAGCAGAGUAUGAGCCAGCCAGAGAUAUGGCCAAAUGGCGUGUUGGCAGGCCACAAGGAGCUCGGUCGGUCGGGUUGUUAGGAGGAGUGCUACGAUAGUGCAGAGUGUAGAUGCCAUGCCGUGUGGUUGGUUAAUACGUUAGAGGACUUGGCCAGGAUAUGGAAAUUAUAGAGGGCGCUUCCUGCUCUUCUCUCCAUCUCUCUCUCUGAGAAUCAAAAAAAUUAUGCAACAAUUUGUGCUCAGUCUGGUGCGCCUUUAAGGCACAGCUUUCUCUCUGUCUCCACCUCUCUGUCCAUCAUUCAAGUGUAAAUGCAGUUGAAACUGUAGCCAGAGCAUAACGCAUCAAUGACCAGCCAUAUAUGAGGGCUGGGUGCAGUCUAUGCACCAUGUGAAGGGUCAUUUCUGCUCCUACUGUUGUUAUUGCUGGUCCUGCUCCUAUUCCUGAUGCUGUUGUUUUCGUCUGGCGUUGAUUUUACGUUAUAGCGGCAGGAGUUCGAGUGCGAGUGAGUAGUUGAACCAGCAGGAGGUGCUCCAGCUGACUAACUCGACUGCUGUUGCUGGACGCUUAAGCCUUCAAUAACAGCAGCCUGAAGCAGCAGCAGGAGGAGCAGCAACAACAACAAAACUUUUUAGCCUUUUUGUUAUGGCCAGGAUCAGGAGCAUAGCUGGGCAUAGAAAAAACAAGAGCUGCGACUAAGCAAAAGAAUUUAUAUGAUAAGCGUAGGACAGGCGGGCGUUUCGGGUCCGUCAAUGUGAACUCCAGGGCCAUAGCUCAACGGGUCCGGUCCCGUUCGGUCCGGCAUGCCAUGUCCUUUGGGUCGGUCUCAGUGGGGAACUUUCUUCUCCUUUUUGUGCACCCCAAAGCUUGUCAGAGAGAGAGAGAGAGAGAGAGAGAGAGAGAGUGAGAUAGAUAGAGAUAAAGUACGAAAUAUGACAGCGGCAGGAGGCCUUUUGUUCUCUUUUUCUCUGUAGACAAACAACAUCAAAAAUAACAGGAAGCAACAACAACUAUAAGUCCAAUAUGUACGCUUUAAGCAUAGCAUAUUAGUUUGCUCAGUGCGGUGAGUGCGAGGGGAGCAAUAGAAGUUCGGAAAAGUGAAAAGGACGAUUCACUCCUCCAAAUAGCCAGAAAUGGAGGGACAGAGAGAUACAGAGAGCUUUCGGGGGCCAGAGUUUGAUGUAGUUUGUUGUGUUUGCAAAGCCAAAUGCAUGCAAAGAGCUGGACAGCUUGAUGUGAGCAGAGUAGAGCAGGGAGGAGUGGUGUAGAGGGAGGGUAUUUGGGUAUAGUCCGGGGCAGACAAAGGCUUCAUCGUGCGGGUCAGCGAGCUUCGCUGCAUGACUUGCUGCAUUGCAUAGAUGGAUGGAUGAAUGGAUGGAUGGACGGAUGGCUGGAUGAAUGGAUGACUUGGCUGGCCAAACUCCAACUCCCUCUUCAUAUAUAGAUAGCUAUAGAUGGAUGUAUGACUAUGGCCAUGUUUUGUUGCAGGCCACAUUUGCCCCAGGCAAAUAUCCCUGCCAAAACAACAAGCGAUUUGUAGGGAGUAAGUGCAUUGCGUUCGAUCACAAGACAAGAGAGAGAGAAAGAAAGAGAUGGAAGUGGAUUUUAGAGCUUUAACUUCACUUUUGUAGUAAAUAACAAACAGCCAGAUGGCACAGUGCAUCACUUCGAUUAGCCAGAGACUAAAUCGAGAGAGAUCCAUGGAACUUAUUGCACCCAUUAUGAAGUGCACCCGAAAAGGUCGCAGAACUUAGGUUUAUCGCAUCCUUGCAAAGAUACAGAAAUUAUUUGAUGAAGCCCAGUUGUACCUUCUUUGCUCUCUCUCUCUCUCUCUCUCUCUACACACACAGCUCUUACUCUGAAUUGUAACUUUGGCUAUAACUUGCAAUUUGUGCCAAGCAAUUAUGAGUUUUCUUCAAAACAUUUUGCCCCUUCCUUUCCCUUCGCCGGGUUAUAAUGUUGCAAGAACGAGUUGACUGCGCCUUUGCCUCUCUGUCUCUACCUCUAUCUUUCUCUGUCUGUCUGUCUGUCUGUGCAUUGUUUUUAAUGUUCUCUGGCAGAGCAAAUGUAAUGCAAUAUAAAACAAAAAAAUGCCAAGAAAAAAAAAUGAGCAAAAGGCAUUAAAAGGAAAUGCUCACUUUCAAGUUGUUUGUCUCUCUGUUGCUACUCCUCCAUCCCACUCGCUCUCUCACAGCCUUUUUUGUGCACACAAUCGUUGAGCAGAGAGUAGUCCUGCGUCCGUCUGGUGCACAUGCCUCCCAUCCACCAUUCACAGCACUGUUCUAUCUUGUUUGCCUCAAGUUGCACAUUUUCUUGUUGCACUGUUUGACGUAAUUAUAAUUGAAGUGAAGUCGUGAACGAGUUUCAGUUUCCUUUCCAACCUCCACUCUGCCAUUCCCGUUCCUGUUCCAGUCUGUGUCUGUGCCCCAAGCUUUGCCUUUGCUCACUUUCUGCACCCCGUGCACCAUAAUGAGCAUGUUAACAGGCAGACAAUGGCACUCAAAUGCGAGUGUGGUCUGGGCCAUAAGCUUCAUCAUAAUUUUAUUACCCUUCUGUGCAGCGCCUGCUGCCCUGCUAUGCAGCGUUUGAAUGUCAUUUCAAAGUCAAACGCGUUGCCAUUGCCAACUUUCAAUUAAACUAGCUCCCAUAUAUUUCUACGCUAGUGCUGCCUCUGCACUGUCCCCCCUCCAUCCCUGUCAUCCGCCCACAGCUAAGCACCCAAUAAAAUGUCAUUUUUAUCGCGCGUUCUCAGGCACUGGACGGAAAUUCGUAGCAUACUUUGCAGAGCUUCCUCUAGCUCUCAUCCAGCCAUCACUUUGCUUACUUAUUAAUUGCCAAACUCAUCUAUCUGGACUUUCAUUUGAUUAGAAGGAAGAAUAUUUUUUUUCAUUAUACUAGUAAAUUUUUAACUAUGAGACAAUGUGACGUCUCCAUCCAUCUGGGCCUCGGGGGCUAUCCUUCAUCUCUGGGUAAUUAAAAACAUGCGCGUUUCGUUCGCUUAUUUGAUAGACUCUCUCUCUCCCCCCCUCUCUCUCUCUCUCUAUCUACAAUACUCUAGUAUCUUGCAGGGUACUGCUCUGAGUCACACUGUGACUGAAUGGCAAAUUUCAUUACGUUGAUGAGUUUAUAGUGCUGCCAGCUUGUCUCUGAAGGGGAUAAGUGGCAACAGUUGUGUUUUAUAACCACCAAGCGUUUUGCUAAUUAUUAUUUGGCAUUUAGUUUUCGAUGGCAGAUUGGACAGCAAGUCAGCCACGCAGCUGGAUGAUGACUUGAUGGAAUUGAUUGCCUCAUGUUCCCCCUUAUUUGACGUAGCAGCUGCUGCUACGCUGCUUGAUCACACUUUGCCGAAACGGGUUUGGCUGUCAAUUGAGGCUGGGAUUAAUUCUGUUCCACAUGAGUGGAGAGCAUUGCCAUGACUGUCUUCAAAGGGAAACAGUAUUUCAUUCAAGCAUUGAGGAUGGCCAACUGUAAGCGACAUAAAUAUGCAAGUAAGCGCCUUAACAACGAUCUGCCAAACCCCUACCCAAGGCACUUCAGGGUCCACAGUAAAAACUUAUUAAAAUUACACAGAAAGAACAGAGGGAACUACGAUGCUGCGAUGCUGGGAACACGCCAUGGAUAUGGAUGGCACUCCCUUUACUCGUAAGCUGCGUCUGCAUAAGCAAUGGGCUGGCGCUGGAGCAGGCUAUAAAUUUCUGCCAACUGUAUUUUAAAAGAAUUAUGCACGUGCAAUUAAAUAAAGCGACAUCGCCUGAAAGUAUGCAGCGGAUAAUGCAAUAAUAACAGCAAUAAAUGCUCUUGGAAAAGCUCUUGCCCGACUACAGACGCCGCCUCCUGACAGUUAUUGUUGUGUAUUUAACUGAGGACGAGCUUCAUGCAAAUUAACUUUCAAUUUCCUAGCCCCGUGUGCCCCUCACUACUCUCUGUUCCCCAUUUCCUCACACCAGCCAUCACCCUGCUAGACAGAGACAAUCAAAACUAAUUUGCAUAAAUGUUGCCCAAGCAUAAAACCAAACCAAAAGUAGCCGUCUACUCCUCUACGCUCCGCUUUAGUUCUUGUAUCUGUAUUUGUUGUUGCUUUCUAGUUUUGGCCAACGACCCUGGGACAGAGAACGCGAGAGCACUUCCAACGUGAAUUUGCGAAACAAAAAGUCUAAAUUAAUAAGUUUUUGGCCCCUCAGAGAGAGGAGGAACAAUAAAGAACAGAUUUUUUGGAUAGGGAGGUACGAGUGGAGUCCCCCUGAAAUAAAUUACUGCUGGGGGAUCUUGUCCCGUCAUCUCUCACAGUGACAGGCAGAGCGGCAGGGAUGAUGAGGCAAGUGGGGGAAAUACAGGCUGUGGACAACUUCUCUCAUUUUGUCUGCGCUGUUCUGUUAUUGUCUCCUCCACCUACGUCUGCUAUUGUCCGGCUCUGGCUUGGACUGAGUCCUUGUUCUGCUGCCGGUUCUUGGUUCAGAGUGCAGCUGUAAAAGAUAUCAAUAAAAUGGAUACCACUGCUUUGCACUGGGGAGGUCACAGGAAUGAAAAAAUUCUUUAAAUUUAAGAAAACUUAAGAAAGCUGCCAGUUUCGGAUUUAAACAUGUUGGCAUCUCAAAGAGCAAAUAUCGACAGUUAUCAGCUGUCCAACAGCCUGGCAGCAAGCCCAUUCCCCGCGGUUUUUCGUUCAUUUUCAAUUUUCUCUGUUGCUGCCGUCGCAUGACGAUGGCGAUGGCGCUGGCUGUAGCCAUGGAGCAAAAAUUUCACAACUAAUUGAAUAUUUAAAACUGCCAAACCGCAAUUUCAAAUUUAUUACCCAAUGCAGCGGAUCCAAGGGGAAUGCAUACACACACAUAAAAAUGUCCGUUGGUGGGCAGGCCAGACCAUGGCCAUUACCUCACUUUCGACUGGGCACCCAAACACUCUGAACAUUGCAAACUGGACAGAGCGUGGACUGAAGGCGCGGUGAAACGAACCGAACAUGGAGCUGGUAUAAAAUGUCACUUAAUUGCAAUUUAGUAAAUUGUUUUCCAUGUUGUAUAACAACAGCGGCAACAAGCAGUCACCACUGAUGAUGGAGGGCGUGGCAGGCAUGACUGCACACACACACAUAUCCAUGUCUGUAUAUUAAAAACCAUAAAUUUUGCGGUGAUUUAUCUUAAUUUAAAUGUUGCAACAAUGCAUCGAGGCAGCAGAGCAGCGUCUGUACUCGGCUUUUGUUUAAAUAUAACAAAGCAACUAAAAGUAUGCAGCGGUACACAUUUUUUCGUUACAAACACAUACAUAUAUUUGGGUUGAGUGCUGAUGUGUGUAUGUGUGCUUAUAUUAUAUGGCGCACUUCGUGUCGUCUACCCCGGGUAGAUGGUAGAUGUAGAUGGCAAAAGAAUGUAGCUUUUGUUAUUUGCCGCCAUGCUGUGUGCGAAAAAUCAAUUAAAAAUUCAUCAAAUAAUUAACAAAAGCAUCGCAUUGAGUGCCGAGUAGCGUAAGGCCGCAAAGGGGUUAAACAAUAGCCGUCUUCGUCUCUCUCUCUCUCUCUCUGUCUCGGGGGAGUGUUUAACUUGGCCUCUGCAUUGGGUAGAGGAUUUAAUGUGGCAUGGUGCCGCUCCUGUUCUUCCAUGGUCCAUGUGUGCGACGCGCAAAACAAAUUAAAUUCAAUUUAGUCAGCAGGAGAAGCAGGGGAGCCAGUUCCCUAGCAGGGGUAAGGGUUGAAGAUCCUACAAGAAGGUGCAAUUUUGAUGGAUUGCUUUUGCCUGCUCUUCCUCCCUGCUCGGAUGCCUGCCUGCCUGACUGUUUUACUCCUUGCGAGAGUUCAGGACUGGGACAGGACCUUGUUUGUUGCUUAGCUGCAAAACUUUGCCAUGUGUGCGUUCGUGCAUCUGUGUAUGUGAAUGCUUGCGUAAUUUGCAUACGUAUGUGUGCGUGUGAGUGAGUUGAGCCCAAGUUAAGGCAGCUGCAUUUAAACUUUGUUUUGCCGAAUGAAUGGAGGCGGUGGUAGAGGGGCAGAAAUAAAGUGGUAAGCAUGAGGCAGCUACACGAAAUUAAAAACUUUUCCAGCUUAAUGACAUUAAGCAUUAAAGUGUUGCACAGUGUUGUGUGUAAUGGGAAAAGUGCCACUGCGGUUUGGCCAUCCAUUAACCGUAACCCAUUCUUGGGCUCACUUUUAGCCCACAUAUUCAUAAUUAAUUGUUGUGGCAGGCGUAGGCAGAGACAUCUAAGUGAAUUUUCUGUGCCUUAUUAAUGACUGAGCACCUCGGGCUGUCUGUUUGCCUGAGCGGCUAAUUAAACACGAAAUCUGACCCAACGCUAAGGCGCGAGGAGCAGGCAAUAUCUCUCUGCUGAAACCGCUUCCGCACGAAACAAGUCAGAGGGCAAACCAAUCACAAAGUUCCGUUUUUUAAUGAAUGGCCCAACGCGAAGACGGGCUGAGUGGGCAGAGCUCUCGCUCUGCCACAGCAAUUGUGUCGUGGGCGUGGGUCGAAACGAUAACACGUCGAGAGCCGUAACUAUAACUAACUCGGCUUCGUUCCGAAACUGAAGUCGCUGUGACAUGUCAGGUUCUGCAGGCAUUCUACGAUUUGUUCAAAGGAGGAGAACGCCCCAAGUCUGCAACUUCAUUUAUAACAGAAAUAAAAACCCUUUUCUGAUGUGCUUUUUCCCCAGUCCCAGCCCUUGCCUGACUUUUGCCUUUUUGUAAUUUAUACGCGCUUAAAGGCGUCAUGUUGGCAACACCUACAAAAUUCUUUUGCCUCGCGUUCUCUGAGCUUUUUUUGCAUAACGUCAACGUCUGACAAAUGUGCCAUAAGCAAGGGAUUGGCCAUAGAGGCAGGCGGCGGUUGAGACAAACUUUUGCGUGCGGUUUUUGGUUUUUGGUUUUGGUUUUUCUGCUGUUGCUCCCACUGCUUAUGCCUCUACUGCUGCUACUUCUGCUGUUUCUGCUGUUGGCCAGCGGGUAAAAAAGUUGUGGCCAAAUAAAUGGGAAAAUGGCAGAAAAUGACAAAUGACCGUCAAUCAUGACAGGCCAGACGACGAGCACGAGCAUAUUGUGGGAGAAACACCAGGCGGUGGGGAGGGAGGAACAGGGCUAAGCUGUGUCUGGCCGGGAGCCGCACACCUGCUGGUCAAUGACAGUCGAAAGCUCAUCAUUGGUUCGUCCAAUUUUUUGCUUCCUCUUUCUCCUCAGGAUAGGGUAAGGUUAUGGGCAGAGGCGCCAUCUAAAUGAGUGUUGUGUGCUAGAUAACCUGACUGGCUCCUAAUCUUCUGGGGAUUGAGGGAAAAUAAAAUAUGGAUGGGCCAUUACAGUGGAACUUGAAGGUUAUAUGAGUAGAACUGAAUUUGGGUUUUCCGUAACGAGGAGGGGGAAAGUGCGGUGAGUUUUCGCCAUUUUACUUUGGCAUUUAAAUACCCUCCAAAGAAUAAACACUCUCUAUAGAAGGAACAAAAAAGUAAAUGAAAGCGCGGCAAAUCACUUUUUAAAUUUAAUUUGACACUUUCUUUUCUGCGCUGCUAGCAUCAAAGACGACUACAAAGUGUAAACUUUUCCAAAAGAAAUUUCAUUUUCGUUGCCCAAGGGUUCUCCCUCAGCAAACGGAGACCAGGACGAGCACGGGCUGCGUUCGGUGUGCGGGUCGGAGUCGCGGUGGGGAUCGGGUGAACUGUGGGACUUUGUAUUUAAAUUUGGUUGCCUCCUUUCUGGCCGAAAGUUAAAUGUUUUGUAGUUUUCAUUUAAGUGCAAAGUUUUUUGCUGCAUAAACUUUGCGUUAUUUCACACGCAGGUAUUAUAUGGCCCAGCCCGAGCACAAAAGCAAAUGCAAUAAAUGAGUGACACAAAGAUAGAAGAAGAGAGGCAUAGAGCAGUUGAGAAAAUGUUUGCAAUCUCAUAUUAAAUGGCAUCAACAACUUUGUCUCCGUUUUGGGCAGAGCAGAGCCAAAGGAGAGGGCGAGCGAGAGAAAGUUUCCUCUGCUUAUUAUAUUCAAUAAAAUACUUUACAGUGGCACUUUGGGGUAUGGCCCACGCCCACGCUCUCCUGUACCCCACGAAAACUUUGUCAGCUCGCGAAAAAUGUUGAUAAAAUUUUCUUUGGUCCGUCCAUCUGCCGGGAAACUCCCCCCAGUUGGCUUCCACUUAUUUGGCUCUUGGCGAGAUUGCAAAACUAAAAUUAUAAAUUUGAGUCGGCAAACGGUUUUGUUUACUAGCGCAUUGCUCAAAAGUUUUUUACUGCUCGCAUUACCCAUACGCAUCGUUUUCCCAGUCAUUCGAAUGCAUUCCAGGUUGCUAGAGACGGUAGACAUGUCAUGUAUGGGCAGAGCCUGAGUAUCUGUCACUCGAUGACACUUGCUCUAGCUGUACUAGCUGAAGGAGUCUCUGCUCGAGUACAAACAAUUUUCCAUUUCCAAGGCACGAACUGAAAUUUGUGCCCUCCGUUCAAUAGGUGUGUCCUUCAGGUGCGUAUGUGUUUGUGAGUGAAAAGUCAACGUUUUUCCGUUUGACUUGAUUUGAAUGCAUUCCGCGAGGCGCUGCUGCUCAUCCAUUGAUUCAUUUAUUUCGUAGGUAGAAACCUGUGCCUGGGAUUGUGCCUCCUGCUCGCUGUGUUCGCAUUCAAUGACACUUUUUUUGGCGCCGCACUUGGCCCAAACGGCGUUUGAUUGAGUGCCUUUUUCAUUGGCAGGCAACAAACUUAAUCAAUUUCAGCGCCUGUGUCCAAACAAAAGGCACGCCCAAAGGCUCGAAAAUUGCUGGGCUCAAUUCUGUUGCAUAGUUUUAGGGGCUGGUCGACUGCCAGACAGACAGACGGUACUCCUGUGACUCACCCACCAGAGCCUUUGACUGGUCCUUCUGCCACUCAGACUGUGGGGCUUGGGUUGCGACUGUGUUGUGUGUUUGCCCAACGCAAACGCCAUAAAAUAAUUUUGUUUUAACACAAACACACAUAGCACACACAGAGAGAGAGAAAGAGAGAGAGAGAGAGCGAUUCGGGUACGGCCUCACAGAGACAUAUUUGCCGGGCGCAAAUACGAAACGCAAAUGUAUAUAUUUAAUUUGAGCAAAUAACUAUUUUUGGCAGCAGCCAGACAGACUGACAGCUCCUACCCUUCCUUGUUCCACCUUCCUGCACUCUGUUUACAUUCAGUUGCCGCUCCCGCUAGCGCAAAAUGUUUGAAAUAAUUAGUGUAAAAUAUUUGCAUAGAAAUGAUUUGUUACUUGCGGCAGGCGAGAGUGCCCACAAAUACUUGGUCGCCUUGCUGAGCCUAAUAAUUGGGAAGCCACUAUAAGACCAGAACGGCAUGACUGCAAGUCUUGCUGUAAGAUUGAGCUAUAUCAGGGCCGUUACUGUGGAAUGAGCCACUAUGCAAAUCGCAACCGAAACAUCGCACUAUACCCGCACCACCACUGUAGACAGUCUGAUUUUUGCGACCAGUGUAGACAGGGCAGAACUGUGACAGUCAGACCUUUUAAUUAAAUACUAUUUUGCUUUGCAUUUUUAAAGUCUGUGGCGUUGCUGGAGGGGGAGGACGGCCAAUGGGCGUGAGCGAGUACUGACGCCCACAGCUUGAGCUGAGAAAUUUUAGCAUUUUAAUUUUAAUUUAACGUGGGCGUGGCAUGGCGUGCAACAGUUACCCAACAGUCGCUCUUGCAACCGUACAACCGCUUCAUGUGUCUUGCCUUUUUUCUGUCCGUUGCCGUUGCCUGACUGCAUUAAGUCAAACGUAAUCCGCACAUGGCCAGCCACAGCCGGGCAUAAAGAGACACGGACUCUGACACGACUGGAGGACACGGAGUCGGAGACGGGUUCGAGGACAAAGCAGAGGAUAUCUCACACUCGCAGACCUCUUACUCCUCUUACUUUUUCACUUUGUUGGUGCUGGUGCUGGUCCCGGGCCUCGUGUUGGUGCUCGUUCUGUUGGUUUUUUGGUUAGGUCUCUUCUAGUCUUCUGACUUCUGGGGUUGGGUCGAUGUGGUCUGGGUUCAGUUCGGUUUGGUUUGGUUUUGGCUUACGGUUUGCUUUGACUGGUUUCCCAGCUGCCAUCGCCGCUCCCGCUCCGGCACUCCUUCCUUGCUGCGCUGCCUCGUCGUUUCAUUAAGUUAUACAAUUUAACGCCCUUUCAGCAGUCGGACUUCUAUUUACAUUUGCUUUGGGUCAAAUUACACAAAAUUCUACGGGUGUUGCGGCAACAAAAGCCAUCGACAGCCAACCGGCGGCAGCAGUGCCUGCGUCUCCUUCCCAGUCUCAGUCUCCGUCGCCGACUCGGUCUCGGCCACUGUGUCUCUAAAUAAAUUUCAUACGAAUUGUUUGCACAACGUCUCUGGGUAAUUUUAAACUUUGCUCUCUCUUUUGUUUUAGUGGCCAGACAAAUAUUAUUGAACUCGGGGAUUUCCCUUUGACUUAAGACUUUGGACUGGUCUUUAAGCUCUCUAUCCUCUAUCCGAGCAUUUCCGCUUACUGGGCUUCCCUGCCAGCCUGACCCAAUUAGGCUCCUGCUGCUACCUAUCCUUUGGCAUUGUCUGACUUUCGAAUGUGUCGUAGGCAAAAAGUUACAGUCUGAAGACGCAACCCUUGGCGCAUUUUGUUUCUGCUGCCAUGUUGCCAUUAUCAAAUUGAAUUUCUCAUGCAAAUUGUUUUCGGUCUUCCAAAAAGCUUUCAAGUUUUAUGGCACGGAAAUUGGCUCUUGCAAGUUUCUUCCCAGCCAGGAUGCUGCUGCUGCUCCUGUGUCCUGUCUCGGCCUGGCCUAUACCCGCAUAGAGAUGUGCCGCUGCUCUUUGGGUAUCGUGACUCACGUUCCGCGUGCACCCUCGCCCGAACACCCAUCCUUAGCACGUUUUUUUGCACUUUUUAACCUCUAACCCCAAAGCAUGUCAAGCUAAUUUCGAGCUCCCAAUGCUAAUUAUGAUGUCUUUUACGUGCCAACAAACGCUCAAGUGAGUUAGCCCAGUCGGAGUGCAGGCGUCCCAGUCGCAGGCUCCACUUAAAAAUUUAUUUUACUGUAAACUCAACAUAAAAACCCUACGAAUACUCACUCGUUCCCAACAGAGAUGAAUGGUACAGAACGGAACAGAGCGGAGCUACGACGACGACGAGGACGAGUACGACUGCCAAACCCUAUUCAAAAUUCAAGUGGGCGUGUUCUGAUGACAUGCUGCCGGUUUACCUUCGGCACGUAAUGCGCUAGGGAUUCGCCAAUAUUAGCCAAAGGAGCGAACGAGCGAUAGAGAGAGAGAGAGAGAGAGAGAGAGAGCUGUAAGAGAGAGUUCUUGUAUACGGAAUAGAGGGAAAAAAAAAACAAUAUUAAUAACGGAGAGCCAGCCCACCGAGCCCAAUCUAGAGGGCCAUAAUAAUACAUCAGCUGUGGCAAUGCCCCGCAAGGGGUUGUGCCACAGGACACAGGACGCAAGACAGACGGCGAGUACAUUGAGGACAUCAUCCCAGCCACGCAGCUAAUAGCCGGGGCUGCUUCGAUGUCCCUGUCCCUGUGCCUGUCCCUUCCCUGACUGACUGAAUGACUGACUGCCUGACAAACAGACACAAAGCGAGAAAGCGGUAGGGGGAGACGACAUCCAACGUUCGCUUCAUUGAAAAGUUUCAGCGUAAUGGCUUUUGUUUGGCGUCGUCGCCGCGUAGUCGCUGAUGGGGGACCCGACAAGAGUGGGGGCUUUCUUCUAUAGCAUUAAGUAAUUGAUUACAUCUCGAGGGACUUUUAAGCAAGCCGAACCAGGCACGCCACGCCACGCUACUAUACUCGUAAACCUCAUAAAUUUCUAUAAAACUUGACUGCUUCUCCGCACAAUAUAAUGUAAAUACAUUUUUUGCCAGCUAAAUACUACGGGUCGAAGCUUGGGAGGGGAUAGAGAUCGGAUAGAAGAAUAAGAAGCGUGUGUGGUUGGGGCGCGGAGAACUGAUUCGGCUAGACCCCAACCCUAACCGUGUUUUACCAUAAACAAUAAACAAUAAUUUAAUUCCCCUGCCACCUAGGCAAAAUGUCCGUUAAUGUGGUUAGUGACUGAAAAAGUCUACCCAAAACAAUGGGAAUGGAGCGCCAUUAGUUGGGAGAAUAGUUUCCCCCAAAGAAUACAUCUACCUGCCAUCCAGAUCUGAUUGUAAAUCAAGUUCGUUGACUGAUCUGAACCCUAGACUAAAAUUUCCACCACUCUGAUAUCUCAAUACAGCUCUUUCCUGUCCACUAUAUACUCGUAAUUGUACUGUAUAACUCUCCGCCUUCUUUGUUGUUUUGUUGCUCACGUUUUGUUGUGGACUUUAAAUUAAAAAUCCCGUGAGGUUGUGCGGGUUGCGGGCAGUGAGAAUGAAAAAAAGAAAAAACAAAAGACGCGAAGAUAAACAACCACGCCCAACUGGGGCGGUUAGCCAUUUUUAUGGCGCCUAAUUGCCAAGCGCUCCCAGAGAGACAGAUGGGAAUGCGGGAAGUACGGCGGGUACUGCUUCUGGACCGGGCCUCGGCUGUUAUAAUCAUAAAAUUGCUUUUGUGGCAUACAAACCGGUUAUAUUGCUCCCGUGUGAUAGUCCCCCACCAGCGCCCCCCACAGACCAAACAGCCACAUCCAGACCCGGCUACUUCUUCAUUUUACCCAUACAAAUGAAAAAUGUUGCGGUUUAUUUUCAUUUGGAGCUCUUCCCCGACCAAGUCCGCGCUCUAAACAUAAUUUGUUGCAUUAAUGUUGGCCACAUGCACAUGAAAAUAGAAAAUGCAAACACGCACACACACACACACACACACACAUAGUUUUUGUUUAAUUUCAAUGUAAAUUACUUGAGGGGAGCAGGGGAAGAGAUCUGGCUGCUUGUGUGUGUGCUCUGCUAAUUGCUCGGAGCCCUUGAGCUAGAAAUUUUGCGCAUAAUUAGUGGCAAAUGUGCAUAUGGAAAAUGUGUUUGGAAAUUGCCCGGAAAGCCGAACUGGAGACCCCAUAAAAUACACAGAGAUGUUGUGCCACUGUUAUGAUAUGAGGUUAAAUGUAGCACAAAGGAAAGAGCAGAGAGGACUUCCCUUUAAGCAAAAGUUAAAGUGCAAUUGAAGUAACUUUAUGGAGUUCUUCUUUGGCGAAGAGAAAAUGUUCAUUACCAUUUUAAAAAGCCUGACCCUCAUUUUCUCCAUCUCUCUACCUCCUUUGUUGACGCAGUCCAAUUUACCUGUCACACCAUAAACCUACAUUUUGAGACUGCGCCUGGUAAAUGUCCCAUCAAAAAUACAGAUUGCCCCACCCACAGAAGCGCCACCACCACCGUCGCUACCAAGGUGAAUGGACAAACAUAAAAAUGAAAAAUAAUAAUGCCAUUGACAAAUACAAAGCCAUAAAUUAUAAAUGCGAAAUGCUUACUUAUACACGAAAUCUACUUGGAGCCCCGGCAGCAAUAAAAAGAGCGAAGAGACAGGACACAGGACGGGGGCGGGUUGCGGGCAGGCUAAGGAAAAUGGAAAAUGGAAAACUGAAAGCGCAACAGAAACACAAACCGCAACUUGUUAUAAAAUUAGUAAAAUUUUCUCAGCAAACAUUUACAUUAACUGUGAGGCGAGGCACACACACACACACUCGCAGAGAACGACAGGGAGACAGGGGGAAAAUCCCAGCUCUGGGAGCCCUAAGCACCCACAAGGACUUCAAAAGACCCAUAGAUGCGGAACAAGGCAUUGGGAAAGGGAAAGCCCAGGCCAGGCCAUUAGAAGUAGCAGACUCAGCGCAAGCAAACAAAAAAUACGAGUACUAUAAAAAGCAAACGAGUCCUCCUAAGCCUUGUCCCAAAAGAAUUAAGAGAGCAAAGCAAUUAAAAUAUGAAAAUGUACAACUUUCAUCUUUUUGAGCUCAUUGCAUAAAUCAUUUCGAAUGCCUGACACUGGAGGAAGGGACACACCACCCGACCCACCCCACCACCCCACACUCAAAUUUACUGUGUCGCUUUCCCUACUAAUCAGCAUAAGUCCUUGCCAGCCGCACAAAUGCUGCCCACGACCACGACUCAGGACGAGGACAAAAAGUGAUUUAUUUCGAAAAUUCUUCUUCUUCGUUUACCUGUAGCUACUUUUGGGGGAGCCAAGUCGUUCGUGGGGAGGGCUGCGGUGGUGGCCGGACGACUGCCACGCCCACUGGCAGCCACUGACAAUAUAGAACAUAAUUAUAAUCAUUGCGGCCAUGGUCUCAAUUGUAAUUAUAAGUAGGAAACUAAGCCAUCUCCCUCACCCAUCCCCUUCCAACACCCACUGGCAAUGCCCGCGAGGUUGAGCGCUCGACAUUUUACAUACAACAACGCGCACGGAGGCAAAUUUCCAUCGUGGCCCCGCAGCAGCAGCAGCACAGGGGGAUGGAAGGAUGUAAUGGGAAUGUCUCAUGUUCAUGUCGCCUUCAAUUAAAACUUUGAACAAAUUGCCAGCAAUUUGUGCGCGACUCGGUUAAUUGCUGGAAGGGUAUCACAGAAAGGGCACUGCCAGAGUUUGACAUGCGAACUUUUCAACAAAUUAAUUGUUAUUAAAAAACUCAUAUAAAAUCAAAUCAAUGUGAAUAACAACACUUUGCCGGGUUACACUCGAAAUUUGCAUACGAGCAUAUUGAUUACCGAUUUUGUUGCAUAUUCCCGACUUACAGCGUGUAACAAACUAACAAACAUGAAAAUCAAAAAUCAUAUUUUAAACCAAAAAUAAUUGAAGUAUCGGCAUAGGCAGUGUAUGCUCGUAUAUUUUUACAAAUGAAUACUCGGUACACAUAAAAAUAUACACUCAAAUAGAGUGUGGAAGCGGAAUCGACAGUGGGUUGAUCCAGCCAAACGAGAUGUGCGUAUAUAAACACAAGUAUAACCAAUCAAAAAUCCAAUUAAAAUUGAGGAAAAUUCGAUUUGCAUGUAAAAUAUGGAGAAAAAAGAAGCGAAGAGAUGAGAAGACGAGAAAGGAAAAGCAACGAGCAUGGGGGGGGAGGGGAAAACAUAAAAAAUAUUUGCUGUAUGUGAAAUUGAAAAGCCCGAAAAAAGGGCAGCCCGACACCGAGAACAGAGAACUCUGUUAGCAUUGGAUUGAUGUGUGCUCGAGAGGGAGAGACGGAUCUGGCAGUGGCACUGUGCCACUGCCGCAGCCACAACCAGCACUGGUGGCACUGCCGCCAAAUAAAAAAAAAAAACAAAAAAGCAUGCGGCUUAAAAUGCAAAUAAUAAAAUAAAACAAAUUUUGUUGCUUAUAAACGUGCGGCAUUUACACACAGCAAAUAUUAUUCCGGCAGGCGUGUAUAGUGCUUGGUGUUGUCGUUGUUGAGGGAAAAGGCUCCUACCGAACGUUGCACAAACACAAAUAAGAAACGAGAACUGGAAGCAAACACAAAUUGAUUUAGACGGGGGGAGUUUCAUACACUGAAACAACAUUUAAUGUCUCAUUUUCAUAACUUAUAACAUAUAUUCUCCCUCUCUCUCGUUCUAGGUAAGUCUUGUCUAUCAUAUAUCUAUUCCGGUCAUAUCUAGAAAUAAGCUCGCAGUAAGUUUAUCGUUUAAUAAAUAUAGAACAACCAAAUCUUUCAUAUGUACGUUACGCUUUUACUUCUGCAACGUUCACUCUUUCACUCCUUCGAUUUUCGUCCUCUCAGUGUUGAACAUUUCCUUGCUGUUUCUGCAUUUGUGUUAGCUCCAUUUGAGAUACUUUUUUUCGGGGCUAUUAUGUGUGCAUUUGACACAUUGCAUUUUUCCAAAAUUCCCUGAAAUUGAGUUGGCCUGAAAUGGCAAUUUUCGAUGUAUUAAACACUCUAUUAUACGGCCAGGUUUUGUCGAUUUAAUUAGUUUAUUAUUUGCAUUGUUGAGAGUGUGUGGUUACUCUUUGUGGGCAUGUAUGUAUGUAUGUGUGUUUAGGGUUUGUUGAAAUUUUCUAAUAAUUAUUAUUUAUGUGUUGUUAAUGCUUUUAGCGACUGCGAUUUUUAGCUCGCUUAUAAUUUUAAUUGCAUAUUUUUCUGUCCAAUAUCACUGUGUGGCUGAGUGUUAAUUAAUUUUGCGACUGUAACGAUGUCAGUUGCAGGUACAGUUUCCAAUGAAAGCGAGGAUCGUCACUUUUUAAUUAGACUUCAGUUUCCAAUUAAAUAAUGCUCUUGCAGUAAUUAAAUUUCCAUUUUUGCGCGCUCGUUGCUUACUCCCUCUGUUAUCCUUCCAACCCCAUCCCAGCGCCCGAGCUGCAUGUAAUUUGUACAAAAUUAAUUAGAAAUGUUUCCCCUCCCCACCGGCUGGAGAAGAAAUCAAAUCAAAUCAGAACUGUCGUGCGCCAAGAAAAAUAACUCGAGGUAAAUAAAUAAUUGAAUUCAUUAGGCAAAUGAAAAACUCUGUCACGAAGUCUAGAGACAGAUAAAUAUAAAUAGAAACACAGAGAAGGACAAACUCGACUAAGAAACCGAAACUCAACUCGUAUUGACCUAAAUCCAAGGGAUAUCCUCUCCGACAGUCGCCUGCCAUGACUGUUAAAAACGUGAAGACAAAUACAUAAAAUACCAGUCACCAGUCCAGGCCCCCGCCCCUGCAGUGCGUCACGCCCUUCUCAAGUUCGCUGCUCUUUUACGGCUGCUCAUUAGUGACGAAAAUCGAAGAACCCGACUAAAAACUAACAACGAUAAUAGCACAUACUCUGCCUUCGUACUCCUAGUACCCAUCGAGGGAGCUUCAUCAAAGGCAGAACAGGAUAUCAAGGAUAUAUGUAUAUAGGUAUAGUCACACAUGUACAUAUGUGCAGUAGGAGAUGUGGGGAAAAAAUACGAAAAAUAACAAUGGCCACGACAAGGAAGCAAACAAUGCGACAGAAAUAAUACAUAGAGGGAGGGAGAGACAGGAAGCCUGAGGAGUCCACUCUCAUACGCGUACGCGUCUAUUGUGGUCACAUUAAAGGUGUGCUGUGUGGUUAGGAGCCGCUCACUCUGUGUGUGCGUGAGCCUGAAUUUUUGCUAGUUUCGUAGUAGAUAUAGCAUCAUGUUAACAAAAGCAGCGCCACAGGGAUGGGAUGGUGGCAAUGUACAAGAACAGUUACAGCUAAGGGGAGAAAAGGGUGUUUAGGGUGGGGAUGGGGAUGGGGAGGAGGUGUUACAUAAAUCGAUUCGAUUCCAUGCGAGCGAGUAUGUUGGGCAGAGAGCGAAAGCGUAAUCAUUGAGAGGAAAUGUCAUAUGCGGAAGUGGAAGGUUGGAAUAUGUAUCUCAUUAAGUUGUGAUACCCGCUUGAUUGAUGUUAUCCAAUUAUCUGGCAUAGCUGAAGCACCCCCAGCAGCAGUACCACCAGCACCACAACACAUCAAACCCAGAGCAAAAUCUGUCCAGCUCGAAUUCCACCACUAAAUUGCAUUGCAUAGUUAUAAGCUGAAAUUAGCAAGAAACAAAACAGGCCAAAAGAGCAUUGCGCUAGAGGAGAGGCUCCUCCUACUCCUCCUUCUCAAACAUAGACAUGCUACACGCUUAAUUAUGCAGCAAAUUAGGCCCAAGAGGGGGGAGAGGACUGCAGAGUGCUGUAGAAGGUGGAGUCGGUGUCUGGAUGCAGAGAUGAUGAAACGAAAUUUUGCAUUAUGCAUGGAAAAUAUGCAGUGCCAGCAGGCCAAACUCUGCGAGGCCAUGCUCCAUUACACGUCAACCAAGACGACAACGACAACGACAACGAAGAACUUGGCCACCUAGGCACCCAGACCAAGCCAGCUGCAACCCUCUCAGAGGGUAGACUUUAUUAUUAAAUCCGAAAACUUAAACGCAUGUGGAGGAGAAGGAGAAGAAGCAGGGCAGAGCAGAGCAAAGCAAAGUCCUCUGGCUGGUAGCUCUCUAGAGUGCACUCAGUGCACAGUGAGUUAUUAACACGCUUUGCCACAUUUGCUGCCGAGCUAAUGUGGCUUGGUUUAGUGGCUACCCCGGCAGUUCUCCUCUGCCUCUGUCUGUGUCUCAUUCUCCUUCUCCUACUCACCGUUUCGGGGGCCAUGCUCCUGUGCCUGUCAUUAUGCUAAACUAAACGGCAGGCAGUGCUAGAAUUUGCACCCGCAACCAGGUGGUCUCCAUACCCCCGUCCCAGACCAGCACAACACAACCCCCUUUUUGCACGUGCUCUUGCCAGGUAUAACGGCAACAUUUCCGUUGCAGCUUCCGCUGCUGCGAGCGCUUUAUAAUUAUUUCGCCUGGCGGGCCUUCAGUGGAUGGCAUAUGCUGCCUGUUGCCAGGAUUGUCAGAACAUGUACGUGUUGCACGUUGCAAGUGUGUGUGGGUUGAGGGAGAGGGUGGAAGACGGCGGGAGUUAUAAGCUUCAUUAAGCAUAUGUACAGAACGUUGUAAGCUCUCUCUCUCUCUCGCUCUAUCUCUGUCUCUCUAUAUUUAUAGGGGUAUCUGAGUGCCUCGCUGUGUGAGUUGCAUUUAAGCAUAUAUUUGGCAAAAGGAUUUGUCAUUAACGCUAAAACUUCUACACACACGGGGAUGGAUAAUUAAAUGAGGGUUAAUGAAAAUUUUAAUUGCUGCCAACUCAAGUUCAAGGAAUAUGCAUAUGCCUUCCCUACAUACAUAUGUGAUAAGUCCCCUUAUCUGGAUUCGGCUCACUUUUAAGGCCAAUUCUGGCUGACAUUUCUAUUAAAAGCCAUCAACCCAUGGUCGCCUCAAAUUGCUUUGACCUUUGUACACCAGAUGCCACUCUCCGUACUCCGCCUUCUCAGCGAACCCGCUCAUAACUCUCUCCGGGCUGCGACUGGAAUGGAAAAAUUCUUCCACACGCACAUUAAGUCACGUUUUCGCACCAUUAACCCAUAAAGAACGAAACUCAGAGCAGGAAAGAGUGUGCGGGGAUUGCGGGCAACUGAACCAAGAAGCAGCAAAAGAUUUACAAAUAUUGAACUUUUGCUGCUGGAUGCUGGGCUUUCGAGUCGUAAAGCAGUCACAAGCAUAUUUUAUAGAUUUUAAUAUGCGCGCUACAUAGCAUCACCCCCAACCAGCGUCACCCCCGGCCCAAGAAGAACCACCCAUGAUUUCUGCCUUUUAAAGUCACGCCGAAAAGUAGGCAAGGUUUUUUUCUCGGCUGAUUUUUUCACCCUUGUCAGAUACCUCCGCGUUUCGUUUCGUUUAGUGACUUUUCUCUCCCCUCCAUGCCUGACUGGUGCCAUGCCCCCUGACAGGGUGUCAACGUGACUCGUGUGUGGUGGGGAAUGUGCGCCUAAAAACCCACUUGAUAAGGGUUUAUCAAUGCGACACAGUAACUUAGUGAUUUACUCGUGUGUACGCAGACUUUUUUCUCAUUUUUUUAAUUUUGAAAAUUGAAAAAGUGACUUUUGCUUUCUUGACUCCAGAGAUGCUGUCGCUUCCGGGUGCCCCUGGGGCUUAGGCUGGGUUAUGGAAAUGUAAUUGAAACUGGCUUGCGAGCGGAUCUUUUGGGAUUAAAAUAUAUAUACAUAUGUAUAUCCUUGUAGCCUCUAUCUGAUGCUUUGCCUGUUCAGCUUCAACUAUCUCUCAUUGUAAUCACCAUUGACUGCUCUCUUCAGGAAACUCUCUUUUGGCAACUAUCACUUCAAUCUGGCAACUCACAAAGUUGCCAAAAAUGCUUGAGGCUCUCAACGGUCACCUCAUUCCCCCAUAAACGAUUUCAAUCCUCCCUCACAUACAGAAAAAAAGGGCAGAAAAUGUUGUGCGAAAAAGCGCUUUUCAUCUUAUGAAAUCAUUUUUGGCUCUCAAUGAUUUUGAGCGCCCACACAAAGAAGAAACCAAGAGAAGAGCGUCAGAAAGAUACACCUGCAUAAGCGGGACAGAGUUGCCAAUGCUUUUUAAAAUAAAUAACAGCAUGCACACAGAGAGAGAGAGAGAAGAAGAAAGCAAAUAAAUUGGUUUCGUAACCGCAAAAGCCAAACGAGCUCAGUGAAGAAGGAUGAGGAAGGGGAAGAGCACUCACGCUCUCUCACACAUCCAUUCAAUUCAAUCAGACAUCAAGCAUAUACAAUUUUCACUCGCAAGAAUUAUACAAUCAAUGGCUUGGCAGAGAGUAGACUAUCCAGCUCAGCUCAGCCCCGCAACCCCACCACAGCUGUCCCACCUUGGGUGCUCCAGGAUCUUUCUGGAAAGGAAAUAAAAUGCGGCAGGCACGUUGCAACACUAUUACUUAUUUCGUCGAGCACACAGACAGGCUGGUUCCCAGGCAGUGGCACAGGCUGGGGCAGAGGCUCAGACGACAAGGACGACGUCUGACUGAAAUGAACUACGUUUGUUUGUGAUUGUGUGGUCGUGCCUGUGCCAGUGCCCAGGUGAAAGCAGGCAGGAUCAGAGGUGAGCCGGGGUGGCUUGGCAGUCUAAAAAUGCAAUAAUCUUUCAGCGCCGGCGUCGUCAGCGUUUAAACGUGACUUUUAAGCAUGAUGUUGUAAUAUUUUAACCUGACUAAGAAAGAAGGAAUGUAAACGGAGGACGGUACAGAGAGAGAGAGCCACAGGACGAGGGUUGCUGGUCCAUUGUGUGUAUGGCUGCAAAAUUGUUACAAAUGCCCCCAGCGUGCAUUUUAUGGCCAGUGCGAUAAAUAAAAUGUUGCAACAAACACAAACACACACACUCACUGUCAGAGAGAGAGAGGGUAGAAAUAUGUGCAAAUAAUAUGGGAGCAGGCCGCUGGCAAAAGGUAGUAGUACUCGUCCUACGGUCCACAGCUGCUCUUCUCCUCCUGGCUGGCAGGCAGUCAGACAAACAAUAACAUAAAUUUCGUUAGCUAUUUUAUUUUGUGGCUCCACUCACUAUCUCUCUCUCUCUCUCUCUGUGGCAAGUAAUUGUGCAAUAUGUUUUCGAGGAAGACUGGGAGGAAUGGAAUAGUAGGUGCAGCCUUGACCAGAAUGUGAAGCGGGGCAGGGAGUGGGCAGGGGAGUUGCUAAGUAGUGGGAGUUGAGCGAAGAUUAGGAGAGACUUGAAGGAAAGACUUUAAAUUCGGGCUAUUUCUCUGUUCACGGGUUAAGGGACCGUUAAGCUGCUAAAUGUUUUGCCUACUUUGUCUGUCAUUACAAUUACUGUUGGCCAUUCUUCUUCAGAAACGGACUCAGACUGCGCUCUCCUUCAUGUUGUUAUGUUUUCUGUUCCUUCUCUGCUGUGUUCUCUCUUUUAUGCGUAAUUGUAAUUGCAAUGGCUUCGAGGGUCCCUGCCGUUCCAGCGCCUCUCUGCUAUCUAUCUUGGACGGAAGCUUAGACAAGUUUGCUGCUAAGCCAGCAUAAGACCCGCAAGCAUUUCAUAUACCAGAACGGAAAAGGCAACAAACUACACAACUUGCCUGUGUAUUUGUGCACUCGCAAUAUCUGUGCGUUGUUCUCUCUCGUCCUGUCUCUCUAUCCCUCUCUUUUUCUCUCUCUUUCUCUCUCUCCCUCUCUCCUUCUCCCUCUUUCUCUCUCUUUAUCUCUGUGCUCUGUGCUCUGUUUCUGUUGUUAUCGUUGUGGUUGUGUUUGUCUUAGUUAAAUGCCGUAAAGCGUAACGGGGCAAACGAGGCUGAGCCAGGGACUGCAUUGAGUGUGGCUUAAGUGUUCAUCGACUCAACCGCAGCAGAAACUCUUCCUCUCUGGCUAUAUCUCCGAAGCUCUCUACCAACCCUGCGACCAUCCCUUCCCAGCUGUCAAUAGUCUCGGGUCUGCUGCAAGUUCAAUUAAUUGCGCGCAACGAACAAACAAACAACAGCAAUGCAGCAGCAACAACGACGGGGAAAGGCAACCACAAAAAUUAAAUUAAAGUAGAGCGCACAUUGUCUUCCCUCUCGCACUCGUCUGGCCUCUCUUCCUGCUCCCUUACUCUUCCCUUCGCUAGUAUAAAUGAGCGAUGUGCAUGGCGAGAGUUCUAAAACCCUUUUGUUUGCUUGUGUGAGUACGUGUUGGUACAUACUUGCAUAUACAUACAUAUGUAUGUAUGCUCUUUCGUUUGGGGCUAGAUGAAGACGUAUGGUUAUUGUGAUGACUUGGAAAAUUGAUAAAUAUUGCACAACAUACACACACAAAUACUAUACACAUGCACCAUAAAGCACACUUACUCAAAAAAGAGAGGGAGAGAGUGAACAAAAAUAUAAUUUAAUUAAAAUGUUUCAUGUAAGACAUGUUUAUUGAACCAUUUUCUCUCAAAACUUCCCAUAGCAAUUUGAUUGACGGACCUGACUUGGAUGUUGUUGUUGUUGCACAACCUCUUCUUUCUCUUAAUAGGGCUGUUGCAGGUGUUGAAGAGUGUCCCAAGCCCCAAGUUUUUUAUUGAUUUCUUGCCUUGACAGUGUGUGUGUAAUGGUUUGUGCGUAUCCAUACGUAUGGAGAGGCUUGAGGGUUGAAUAUGUUGAGAUUGAACAGAACCAUCUUUUUCAAUUAGCAAGGCACUCAUUCAGGUGAGAAAAAUCUAUGAUUGAGAGCCUUGUUUAUCAGAUCUUGCUAAUAUAUUUGAAGUUUUCCCCAAAUCGUUGUACAUAUUUCUGAUGGAUUGUUCAACGGAAGUAUUCAAGUUGGCAAGUCAAAUAAAUUAAUCAUCAAAUCGGACACAUUUCUGAGGACUGUUCUUACUUUAUUAAACAUUAAAUCGUAAUAUACUGUUCCAUUGUUGUGGUAAUUUUGAUGCCUUUGGCAAUAGGCCUUUCUUGUUGGUAUUGCUAACAUUUAGAAACUGUAUUUAUACUUUAGCCUUAUAUCUAAUAUUAUAUGUAUCUAAAAACAAUUAUUUCCAUAUCUGUCGUGGUUGUCGUGUAUUUUAUAAUAUUACCUAUACUCGUAUCUCAUGCGUAUAAUACUAUAUACCCCAAAAAAAACAUUACUAUAUAUCAGUUAUCAGACUUUGAUGCUUUUGAACAUCAGCAAUGAAUUACUCGUACUCUUAUAAAUUGUCAAUUAAUUUGCUAUGAUUUAUCUAACACCCUAGCUAUACCCUUACACUCCCUUUAUAAAAUAAUCAAUUUAUUCUGUUCGUUUUUCCUUUUCCCAUUCCUAUAAAGUUUUUAUAUCUCAGUGUUAUUGGUCCUUGAUGUUGUGAAAAACUCAAAAAGAGUGGAGACAAUCCAAAAAAAUCUGAAAGUGUAUGCUAUAUGUUGUGCUAUAUCUACAUAUAUAUUCCAAACCAACCACUGCAAAACAACUUCAAGCAAGCAAAACAAUUUUUCCAAUUCGUUGCAGUAUGACACGUAAAUAUUUGUUGUGCGUAAGUUUUCCGUUGCUAAUUUUCCGUAGUGCAAACAACGAUGAAACCUAAACUUAAAUGCGUUGGAAAAAAGACAGAUAAACAAUUAAAUUAAUUAACAAUAAGCGACAACAUUUUCAAAGUAAAUAAUUAAUUUUUAAAGUCCACAAAUAAGAAACAUCCAAUCAGAAAAAAAACCACUGAGAUAAUAAAAAUUUUAUUUAUUCUUACUUUUUCUCUUUCUUUUUUCUGCUCUUCUCUUUCUUUGCGCAAAAACUUUAACAAACCAAAAAAACAACCAUAAGCUACCAUAAAUUUGUACACAAAUUUAGCAAACGUCGUGACAAGCUGGAAAAAGGCAGCAUUCAACUAAAGACAGCAGCCGAUACCGAGAAGAUGGUCGACGCCAGGGCUAGGAGCCUCGACCACACAGUAACUAAAAAAUUAACCAAAUAAAUAGAUGUCAGCGGAUCGAUUAAUGAGAAGUAGUGCAAUUGGCUGAGCUUUAAAAGCAUCAAAGUUUGUUACUGAUGUUAACUUAGUGUAAAUCAUAGUCGAGCGAUCAGUCCUUACCUAUCCUAGGUCUGCCUAAAAGAGUGCCUCAUAAAGAGCUUUGACCUCUCAAGUCCUUCAGCUCAAAUCGGCAAAGCUAUGCGGAGCUCUAACACUACCACAGGGAAAGCUAAAAUAGGUUAUUAUUAAUACAAAAUAAACACACAAAAGCCAGAGAACGAACCAGAAUAAAAUCCAACAAAAAGUAAGCAUUUUUACUAAUACUCAAAAAUUAAGAUAGCUCUUUAAUUAGAUUUUAGUAUUUAACGAUGAUUAUUUACAAUGCUCUGACCCGAUGGCGAUUUAUGAGCCAGUCUUUUGGCCAAUUCUGGCCAUCUCUGGCGCGAAUGGGAUAGCUGGGCUCAUCUACGAGGAGUUAUGAAAGCGGCACAGACCACCAUAUAAAUGCGAGAGGGUUGGAGGACCGGAGCUCUGCCUAGAGCUCAUAAACUUAAAAUUCCGCUUUAUCGCGGUAUCGCGGAUGCUCAGCUUUCCCCUUAUAAUAUAAACAUAGGUUAUACUAGAGAGUACGAGUAUGAGUAUAUGUAUAUGAAAUAAAAAACAAAUCUGCACGCACAUAAAGCGCCAGCCACAAAGAGGACCCUCCCCGGGUGACAUUUCCCUCUGUUUCUCUAUCCAUUCUCUUCAUUCUCCCCAUUUUCCCCCUUUCCACUCAUUCUCUUUCGCUUUCCUUUCUUUAAACAUUUCACGGGGUCGGACGGACGGUGGACACUUUUAUGCGUUUGAAAUGAAAAUGCCAUGUGCCAUUAACAUUAUCCCUGACGCGUCACUACUUAAAAUAAAAAUUUAUAUAUAUUUUAUAUGUAUAUAUGUACAAAGACAGCCAGAGAGAACACCUUUUGGUCGUGGCUCGCCUUUUAUAGCCAAUUUCUGGUUACCCACACCCACAGUGUGCAGCCAAUUUCAUGUCAAACUGCACCAGCAGCACCACCACCAUCGCAAAAUGAUAAUCCCGCGGUCGUAAAAAGAAUUUUUACUUUAUAUUGACUUUUAGUGUGAUAGUAGAGGCAGCUGAGAAAAAAGCGGAGCCAAGGUGCACAUGAAAUGUUAAUGGCAUGUCAAGAUUGUCCUUCCACAAAGCACAGGGAACACACAAAUGUUUUGCCACCUGCAACAAGAAAUGCAAAUGGAAAGGAGCCCAAGGAUGAUUUUAAAGGCUCCUUUUCUAUAUCUUAUUUGCCUAUGCCCAUUUCAUUCCCCAGACACAGGAAAGUUGAUCCUUUCCAAUAUUAAUUAACACUUCAAUACCACAACACCAAGAAGGGAGCGGAGCGCAGAAGCCCAAGACAAAGUUUUGCCUUCUGCCUGUUUCCGUUUGGUCUGCCGCUGACUUUUGGCCCCAACCAAACAAAAACUUUUGUGCCUAAAAAUGUGACUAUAGAAAUGUCUGCCACUGUACAAACCCACAAACAAAGUCACGCUGACACUAAUUAACAAUUAGGCGCAUUUUAGCGGCAUUUCCCCAGCCUUCGUUCUUCUGAUUCUUCCUUUCCAUCCUAGAGGCUGUCAGCGACUUGAGCAGGAACUUUGUGAACUACUUACAAGGCUAAUAACUAAUUUACUUCUGACUUUGGAUAAACUCCAUUCCACUUUUCAUUAGCCGGGUUCAGCUGUAGUGUCAUUUGCAGGGUUUGUCCCCAGCCUACAGUCGAGUUUUACGCUUAUUACUCAAGAAUUUCAAACUGACAAAUAAACACGUCUCUUAAAGUCGGAAAGUAGAAAGUCAGAAAGAGACCCACAGGAUUCUCCGCCACAAUGGCAACAAAAGCCACCGAGCACAGGCCUUGCACUUUUCGGUUUCAACGUCCUCCGGGGGGCUGGAAAAUGCCUGCCUGACGUCCUGACUUAUCUCUAGUCAUAUAUAAGCGUCAAGUUGUCCACGAGACGGAACGUAAUGGAAUGGGACGACUCGGGAGACUUUUAAGAAUUGCCACACAAUUGUCGAGAAACGACACCAACUGCUAGCCUCCGUCGCCGUCCCCGUUCACGUCUUCAUAUCCGGACCGUUCUGGGAGUCAUAAAAGAAAAAUUUAGCUUAUUUGCUGUAUAAAUACUGAGACCUCCGACGCUUUGGCUGUGCAGGGAUGGUCAUCCCUUCCCUUUGUCUGUCUGAGUGCCAUAAAAAUGGGAUGUGGCCUGCAGCGACGCUUAACUGUGUCCCCCUAUCCAGAUGAGAUGAAGCAUAACAAUUGCCGGUAAUAUUUAUGGAACAGCAGCUGAUGCUGAUUCCGGAUGAUUCAGCCCCUACAUAAGGCAGAAAUCUAUAGGAAUCAUUUGCAUUUUGAAUAUAUCUGAGAGUGGAGUUCCUUCCUCCAGGACCUUUCCAUUUCUAUCCUGAUCUAAGAAUCUGUGAGAUUUUUACAUUAGCCUCGUUACAUGUCAAAUGAGUGUCACUAAUUACAUAUUAAUUAGUUUCCUUUUACCAGGCACUCCCACUCCUCCUCCUCGCUCAUCCAGCAAAGCAGGCACAUCAUCAAUCAAACAGACAGAGAGAGAGGGGUCCACUAAUAAAAUAUAGAAAAAUGCAAAUGAAAAACUACUCAAGUCCGGGGCUCAGACUGUUGCCCUUCACUUAAUCAAUGUACAUAAUUCUAAUUAAAUUUUCAUUACCAGCAGAAAGGAAAAACAUCAACAUAAUAGCAGCAGCUGUGGCUGUGCUGGCUGUGCUGAUGUAAGCGUUUGGGGAAAUAUUAAGUAUACGGAUUGGUGCUCAUUUACCCAUUUCCUGCCUAAGUAAUUACAAUUUCAAUAAUUUAUUGGAAAAUAAACGUAGUCGAAUGCACUGGCCAGACAACUCCAGAUACAAAGAUACAAACCAGCAUAAGCAGCAGCAUUAAAUGGAGACGUUGAGACUAUGAUGCCUUCACAUUUCAAUCAAUUUUUGCCAAGCAAAUAUUAUUCGAAACCAGCACUCAUGUCCCACAAAGUUUUGCAAUCAUAACAGAGAGAGAGUUGAGAGCAAGCAAAUCCCCAGAAAAUAAUUAAUAACUUAAAUAUGUUUGCAUUGCAUUCUGAGCUAUCUGGUGUAAUCAGAUUAAGGCCUUUUCAGAUAUGAAUUGGUCGCAUUAUGGCAGGAUCUCAGUUGUCAGGUCCUAGCUCCUUCUCCGAGCUCUGACUAAGCUGUGAAAAUUAAUGGAGUAUUUAUUUGUUUGCUUAAUGAUUUAUUAGCUGCAAUCAGAGGCCAGACGCCUCGAAUGCCAAAGGGGUUUGCAGACAAUAAUUUAAGCCAUGGACAGGAAAAUUCCAGCAAUGUGAAAGUUGUGGCAUCUUCUGCAUUCAUUCACCAACAGAAUCAACAGAAACUCCUUCAUUAACCUGCCCUAAUUUAUUCUGCUUGGACUCCUUCUUCUCUUCUCUUCUCUUCUCUUCUCUGCUUUGAGUGCCACGCUCUGGGAUUGAGAACUAAUCCUCAGACGCUCAUUAGCAACCAUUAAAUGUCAAUUUACAUGUCAAUUGGCAACGGUGCACAGCAAAACAAGCCACCCUGCCAGCCAUCCAGAUAGCCAGCCAGUUGGUACAGUAAAAAAUAGAAUAAAGAACAGGGUGGGAAUGAGACAUGUGCUUUGAGCUUUGACUCUUGCGUUGUCAGCGACUCUCGGUUUAGUCUUUUUUUUUCCUCUGGCGCCGCUGUCUCCACUGUCUCUACAGUUUUUUGUAUAAUUUAUAGAGGCAACUGGCGCUUCCACCUUUGGCUUUCGCUAGGUCUUAAAAUACAAUUACGUUCCCCCCGGGGGAGGGUGGGGGGGGGCAAGGCAGCACAAAGGGAGAUAAGCAAAAACAUAACAUGCAACAAUUAGUGGCCUGUCCUUGCCUCCUGCCGUGGCACAUACAAAAGUUGCCAUGUGGUUAACUAAUUUAAUUUGGUUUUCUUUUUGCCUGUGCCACUCGACUCGGUUCUACAAGCCCCCUGCCCAAGCCAUCCUUUGACGACAGCAUCAAAGACAACGACACGUUAAUGACUUAUUUUGCCCCUUUGCCUAGGCAACAGACAACGAGGAUAUGGAACGAGAGGAGCAGGCAUGAACAUAAAAUCUAAACACUGCCACACAUGGCCGGCAAAGGAAUCACGAACAAGGAUGGAGACCAGGAGCCACUUAACUUGUCUAUAUGAGCCUAAUGGCCUUUAAUAUUAUUUUCACUGCUCUUUCCUUUAGCUCGAGGAGACCGAAAAAAAAGAAGCGACACGGGAAGGAGCUGAAAAAAACUGAAACAGCCAAAAGGGAAUCCCUGAAAGCCCUGUGUGCAUUUUAUCCCUGCCGGUCGCUCGGUCGGUCGCUCAGUCGGUCUCUGUCGUUGGGCCCCAGGUAAUUGUAGAAAAUUGCUGCAACGCCAGGCUAAACAUUGUGCAAAUCCUUUUGUCCUGCUCUCGUGUCUCCUCUGUCUACUUGGCUCUAUUUCCCCCUCUUCAGUCUAUGUAUGCUCGUUCCUUAGCCACCUUUCGCUCUCUAACUCUCUUUGGUUUUUUUGGCCGCAACUGUUAACAGCCAGUUGAACUAUGCCAUUUCAUAUGUACAACAGCAGGCGCCGCAAAGCAUGCUGCAUUAUUUUUACCAUUUCCCAGCCAGCCCCUGACCAAUGCUUCUCAUCCCGUCUGUUCCGACCCAACCCACUCUCAGCCAACGUGCUUUACAUUUUUAUUAAGCCAACCCUUUUCUCCUACUCCUCUUCGUUUUGUUGCUUAGCAUGCCAGGAGCGCUGUUUGGCUUAUUGCACGUGCUCAGGGUGGGGCGAAAGUGUAAAAGGCCAGAACGGGACCCAAAUGCCAUUAGGCUUAACCCGGACACAAGACAAUUGCCUGCAGGCCAUGUGUGCAUGCAUGGGUCCAACGUGUCGUAUUAGUUAUUUUCUACUUCGAUUGCUUUUGCCACUUUAGCGCGACAGCAGCUGUGCGGCGGGCUCCUUGUCUACCCGUGCAAGGACUGCCCGUGUGCCAAGUGUUUUGCCAAUUAUGUGAUGCUCAAUUUUCGAUAUGAUACGUAAGGCCAGACCUCAGAGCUCCAAAUAGAAGCUUAAAUGGUGUUUGGGCUUCCAAAGGGUAAGGGAAAGGAUUGGAAGCAGUCCCCAAUCUGGGUCUAUCCUUCCAAGCACAUCCCAGUAGAUUAGACUUAAGCGAAUCUAUUGAUCCCCAUUUUCCUCCCUUUGAACCGCUUUCUAGUAUAGUCUAGUCUAGACUAAGUACUCGGUAGUCCGUAAGUAUAAUUAAGCUAUGCAUUUGUUGAUUCCCAGCAUAUAUUUACCAUAUAUUUUCCAAGUAGUGGCUAACGUUUUCUAUUCCCCCUCAAUGUCUAUCCUUAAUUCCGUAGCCAGCUCGUAAUUGUGUGCGUGCCAGUGGCUGUUCUAUAUAUAUUUAAACAUACCACCAUACCGUAUACGUAUAUACAUAUCUAGCCAAUUAUUACUGUCAAUCAUUUGACAAUUUCUAUUCUCGUAAGUUAUAAGUUAAACAGAAACAAAAAACAAAUUUGUGCGAAAACUUUAACUAAAUAUCACCCAUUUUUGUCUUCUUUUCUUUCCUUUUUAUGUAACACUUGUACGUGCUCUGUAACAAAAAAAAAAUAUAUAUGAUUGAAAACGGAAAAAAAUAUAUACAUCAAAAUUGGCAAAAAUUGGAAAACUGACAAUUCUUCUACUUAUGAUUUUCCGAAAUUUCUGUAUUACUUUCCUUUUAUUUGAUUUGUUUCGACUCGGUUUGAAUUUUUCUAAAAACAAUAUUUUUCUUUCUUGAUGCAACAAUUUCCUCAAACCAAAACAAAAUAAUUAUGAAAACCAUUUGUUCCGCUUUUAAUAAUCCAAAUUUAUAAUUCCUACCCAUGACCCGAACCCCGUUACCCCACAUUAAUAAAUGUUGUAAAUGUAUUUGCUCUAUUGGUGCUCAAAAUAUCCACCCGAAACACCAACAAAAAUCUCUCGUUAACUAAAUGUUGUUGCUUUUACUUUUCUUUGGGUAUUUUGCGCCUGUUGAAAUCUUUGAAAUUAUAAAAAAACUCACAAUUACAUAAAUGUGCCUGCCUCGUUCUCGUUACUCGUUACAAAAACAAAAACAUACAACAACAAAAAAUUAACUAAAAAAAAACGAAAAUAUAUGUGCCACGUAUUAUGUAACCUUGUUACAUUUACAUUUGCAUUCCUAAAUAUGAUACAAAUACAUAUACCAAUAUACAAAAAAAAACAAUGAACACUUAUUCUUUUUCUGAAUUAAUUUUUUGUUUUCAUUUUAAUUUUGUGCGAACAUUUUCUGGCUAUGGGUCCUGAUUAAAAAAUUUUAAUUUUCUAAAAAAAAAUAAAACAAUCGCACACCCACAUUGACACUGCCACAUUGCCAUUUAUCCAUUUUGCUGCCUCUUUUGGUGCCUGAAAAAUCGAAAUCAAUCAAUCAAUCCGAUUCAACUCGAUCGUUUCGAUUCAAUCCGAUCAUAACAUUACAUGAAACAUGAACAAAACAUAACGAAAUCGAAACUGAAACCGAAAACGAACCACAACCAAAAAACCAUAAACCGAACCCAAAAUAGAGCAUCUAGAUCGCAAACUCUUCGUUGGCAUGCUCAGCAAACAACAGACCGAAGACGAUGUUAGACAAAUCUUCCACCCGUUUGGCUCUAUAGAGGAGUGCACCAUAUUGCGGGGCCCGGACGGUACGAGCAAAGGUGAGUACAGCCCCCAGAUAUUUAUUUAUACAUAAACUACAUCUACAUCUAUAUCUAUUGCUAUACUACAUAUUUCCUGUUUCCUUUAUUUAUUUGUUUCUUAUACUGUUUAUAUCAAGUAUACGUAACGUGUUCAGCUCGUUAUCCGUUGUAAUUGCCAGUUUUAUUCCAUUGAUUGAUUACCAAUUUUGCGAUUUUGUUGAACGUGACUUUUGGUAUUAGUUUUGAUUGUGUGUAGAUUAUCUAGCAUCUUUUUAUAAACUGUAUAUUUAGGAAUCUGCAUAUUUCAAGCAUAUCCUAUAGCUGAAACCGAGAAGCACAUUCUGGGCCCUCUGCCCUGGCAAAUGGCCCAGCUGAUAAUGGCCCAGCCAUGUUGGAAGCUGUGCAACGAGCCAAAUAAUCAUUACACACAUAACCCUUACAAUUACAGUGCUCUUGGAUAAGAUCGUGGGAAGGGGUGUGAGCUUCUAGGUGGCAUAAAAUAAAAAUCGGGUAAACAGUUCAAUUAAAGUUGUUUGCUUUUGACAGCGCUGCUCGUUUCACACGCUCGCCAUUUGCAUUUGCCUCUGUUUAUGCGUCUCUAUCUGUGUGAGAGUAUUGUUACUUGCAAAUGCCACUCAUACACACAAAGACAGGGCAUAAAAAAGCAGCGACAGAGAGAGAGAUAGAGCCAGAGAAGGACAGAGUGCGGGAGAAAAGUUUCGUUUGUUUUAAUAUGCAAGUAACUUUUUUAACAAUAACAUUCCAUUUUAUUAUGUCAAAAGUUUUGGUUUUACAAACACAUAAACACACAGUGUAUCUGUGUGUUUGUUUGUAUCUUUGUUAUAUAUAUUUUUAUUUUGCUUACAUUUGCAACAUUUUUGACUGCCGCCUGUUGUGUAUCGUAUACCCCCGAAUACCUCUCCAUUCCCUCCCCGGGUUCGUGUGUAUUUUCAUUUUAAUGUUUGUUAUUUCUGUUCUUUUGUUGGCGUUUAUUGUUGCCAUUUUGAUAUGCAUGAAAAGACACUCGGAAGGGGCGUGUCACGCGGCCAUGUGACACUAUGCAUAGAAAACCACUGCGGAGGGUAGAGAGGAAAACAUAUUUUUUUUGGAUGUUGAAUGGAGAGCGACACAGAGCUCCUGAGAUUGCAGCCCCCAAUCGCUGCUUCAGGCAUUCUUUAAGCCAAACUUGUCCUACGACACAAUAGCGAAAUAAAAUUGAUGCCACAAGUGCCACAAAUUUGAAGUGCUGGAAUAUCUCUGUAGAGGCAUUUCCCGCCCUCCUCGCAGUAAUGCCCCACACAAAUUUUUGACAAAGCCUCCACAUAAUUUGAAACGUAUUUUAAGUUCUAUUUAAGUUUCUAUGUUACAUUCACUUCGCAUCCCGUUGAGUGGGAAAACUAACUGUCGCCCUUCAAGUUCGACAGCUACCGGCGUGCAAAGUUCAAAGCCGCGAAAGCUGUCAGUCGAUAGAGGUGGUUGCGGUAGCGGUGACGGAGCAGUGGGUCGAUUGUGGCUGUUGUGGCUGCGAUGCCAACAUAUCAUUCUUCAUUAAAAUGCGCUUCAAAGUCAGCAGUUCUGGAGCUGCUUUUUUGGGCGGCGGAGACAGAGAAGGAGCAGGCUCUGGGGUGAAGUGACAGGCGCUAGCCUGUGUAAGUGCCAAAAUCCAUCAACGUCAAUGCUUUCUUUCUACCACUUCUCCUCCGGUUUCGUUUCCACGCAGCUCCGCGAAUUAUAUUCAAGUAAAAUCGUGUCAGCUUAGGCGGGGAAAAAGGCAAACAGGGACAAGCGAAAAACGAACGAAGUAAUGAGGAAUGAACAUUGACUGACUGAGCGACCUGCAAAUGUAUGCAAAUGAUGAUGCAUGUGGCAGCAGAAUGCGGUGGCGCUGAAUGGGAGGACAGCCCAACCAACAAUAAUAACCAAGGAGGUGCUCCAUCUGCUUCUGCUUCUGCUCCUGCUCAACUCUGUCCGAGUCGUAGGUGAAAGUGUGUGUGUGUUUGUGUCUGACAGGCAACAGGAAUAAGCGCAACCAUCAUGUUAAAUUAUGCAAAUUCGAUUUCAGUGAGUGAAUGAAAUGAAACGAGGUAAAGGCAAGGUUUUUCUGAGGGAGCGGCUUAAACUGACUUUGAAACUUUUGCCAGCACAAAACACAAAGCAUGUGGUGUCCCGCCACACUGAGCGAAAUUAAACACCAAAUGGGGAUUAGACAUGAACUAGACUGAAAGCGUUUGACACUGGUUUUUUCUCCGGGUGUAAGCAGCCAUAGACACUGGCAAAUUUUCUAUCUCGACAGUGGGCAGGAGGCAGACUCAAGCCCAGACCCAGACCCAGACCGAGACAGAGAUCUGGCCGGGACACUGGCUGGUGGCUCAUUUGAUUAGAAUAUUCAUGCAUGCACUUCAUUGUCAUCAAGGCUUGCAAGGCAGCAAAGUUGUCAUCUCGUCCUACGUCUUGUCAUCUGUGCAAUCAACACAAUUGUGUGUGCCUCCACGUACCCCUUCACUGACUCUGGCGGUAAUCAAAGCAUCCCUUUACCCGAGUAUAUGGCAGCAGCAAGGGGUGUCGUCUAGUGGCAGAGCUGAGCAUUUUGCAUAAGUAGCAGCAUGUGUGUGGAGCUCAGGCCAUGACAGGCCAGGCUAGGACACUGCGGACUGGCUCUUGUUGCUGACAGACAGUUGGCAUAAGUUGACUUUGAAUGCGCCGAGUUGGCAUUGGCAAUGAUGCUCAGAGGCCAGAGGCUUUUCCAGCUUAAAGCGGGCCUCGGCCUAAUCGCUGGAACUGGAACCUGUCAUUAAGUAAUUGCUAAUGGGGGUGAAAUGGUGGCAGAGCAGGAUUUUGGAGAGGCAGUGAAUUAAUAUCCAAAUAUGGCUCCAAAUAAUAUUGAAAAGAUAAAGAAAUUUUCAAGCGAAAAUCUUUGAUUGCCAGAUAAUAUUUACCAUACCGCAUAUCUUGAAUAAGACUCAAUCAACCCACUCAACUCGGGGCAUGGCAUUGUCAAGUUGUGCUGCCAAAAACAUAAAUUGAAUUAAAACGUCGUUUAGACUCAAAAUUAAUUCGAAUGUCUCGCUUUGUCACAUUAACUUUUAAUUGCCGCAAAAGCCAGCAGCAUCGGAAGAGGCAGCAGAAGCAGCGUGUUCUCUUGCAGCUGACAUACAAAAACAAAUUUCAAUUAAUACAACCGUACGCACACACACGCAUGAAGAUGCCAUUCACACAGACACACACACUCGAAGAAACGACAAUAGCAGGCGGAGCUCGCCGUAAGGUAGACUUCGAAUUUCGGCCUGCAUGGUCGUCUAUCAUAUCAAAAGCAGCGCAAACCCCAUAAAUGCCAAUAAUUAAUGUGACAUUUUCGGCGUAAUUGAGGCAAGUAUGCAGCACCAGCAGGAGCAGCAGUGGCAGAAGCAGCAGGCAGCCUGUCGCAACCACACAUAAACUCUCAUAGACACACACACACGGCCAAUGUGCAAUGUAUCUGUCUCUCUGGCUUCAAAGCAUUCCCCAAAACUGAAUGGCAUGCCAAGUGGCAAACUGCUUCUCCACAGCUCACCACGCAUGGCUGGCUAAUUGAAUUUCUGCACAUGCACUGGCAAAAUUCUAUGAGUGAGCUGCAGGCCCGAAAAAAUAACCCCCGAACCCGAAUCCGAGCCUCAACACAAGAACCGGAGUCGUGUGGAGUGUGGAGUGUGUGCAACAAAAUUGUGUCGCCGUUCAGGGCUGUUCAGGUAGGUGAGCUCUGGUUGAAGGGAAAAUGUAUUGCCUGCUAAAAAAAUAACUGAAAAGAAGCUAAGUAGCCUUCACAUAAUUGCUCCGAGAAAAGUUUUUUAAUACCUCUCCGGUGCCUCCGAUGGAGUAUACUCUCCAGCUUUGCCUCAAACUUUCGAAUGACAGUUUAAGUUGUUUUUCAGGCUGUUGCUGAUGCUGCUGCUGCUGCAGCUGCCACUGCUGCUUUUGCUCUACUUGUUGUUUGGCCAACAAAUUUUUACAGGCAGUCAUUGUGGAGAAGCUCCACAAAGCUCUCCUCGCUGGUUGUCAACUCUCACCAGCAAUGGCGCAAACAAAGAUACACAGAUACACAUAUACAUAGAUACACACACUCAGAUAUCAACGUGGCAGCUCUCGCAUCAUCAUUUCAUUUCAAUUUCAAUUUAUAUGAGCAAAGUUUUAUGAAGUGCAUGUCAUGCUGCCUCUCCUGUUGCCACUCUCUGUCUCCAUCCUCAGUACCACACAGACCAACGCACUGCAUUUAUUAAAUUUCAUUUCAUUCCACCAACUCUAUGCUCGUACUCAUGUUUAUUUUACAGCACACUAAAAAGUUCUAACAAGUGCUGAUUGAGAGCGCUGCAAAAACUGUCAAACAGUGCACAACAAAAGCACACAAACACACACAACACACACACACACAAAUUUUGUAAAACUCAAAUUGAAUUUAACGCUUAUGACAUGCGAGAGCUCUGCUUUAAUUUUUUUUACAAUAAUGACCGAGAGUGUGUUGGGAUUUCGGAAUUUGCCGCUCAAGCGUUGUUGAUUGAUUCUGGUGGGGAAAUCCGAGCCCAACCCAUGCCAUUACAUCUAAAAUGGCAAUGCCGAUCUGCCAACGUCAUUAAUGACUCCCCCAGCACGGGCAUAAAUCUGAUUUAGCUGAACUUUCGAUAAUUUAAGUUUCUGGAUCAGUUGCAUAGAGAGUGAGAGAAGCAACACACCCAGGCCUCGUAAAACAUUCCACUUAAUGUGCCUUAAUUAAACAAAACUAGCUCCCUCUCUCUCUCUCUCUCUCUCUCUCUCUCGCUCUGUUGGUGGUCUCUCCAGUCUAUAACUAUUUAUUGUGUGGCACGAAGAAGCAUUUGAACAAGAAUAAGAAAAAAUCGGAGUAAUAAUAAUAAUGUAAGUUGUGGCAUAAGCUCAUAAGUGCCAUUUAAGCCAGAGUCAUCCUUGUUGUUGCUGCGGACUGCUACAGCUGCUGCCGCUGCCGCUGCCGCUGCUCGUAAGCUAAAAGUCCCAGAGUCCUAAAGCCCAACUGCAAAAUGCCACACAGGCCAAGGAAUUAAAAUACAUAUCAAAAAGGAAAAGGAACAAACGCGAACUUUGGCGUACCGUCCAUAGACCAGCCAAAAACCAAAACCAGAAAGCCCAGCCAGCAAACUUUGCCGUCGGAGUCGUUGCCAUGGCCACAAGUCUUUUGUGAGGUCUGAUCUCCUCUGAGCCUGAGUCGCUCUCUCUGCCUCUCACGCUCUCUCUUACUGUAAGUUUGUGUGUGGGCCGCAGUUUAAUGCAGCUUAAAUUUAAUUGCAAUAUAGCAAAACUUUCAUAUGCAGAGCGAACCGAGCGAAACAAGUGAGGGAGAGAGAGAGAGAGAGAGACCACAGCCGAGUCCAAUACAUUUUUAUCACAUACGUUCAACUAGCAACUCCCUCUCACCGUGGCCUGUUUAAUGCUAAUUAACAUGCAACACGCCCGAAACUAUACAACGCAUACUGACACUCGCACAAAGGUCAAGGCAAUUAAGGGUACCCAAGGCUGCGACAGGAGCAGCCGAGUAAGUGCACGGAACUAGCUGAAAUGUGAUAUCCCCCAGCCAAGGGUCAUAAAAAGGAGGGAAUAAGGAGACAGCUACCCUCACCAGAUCAUGCACCACUUAAGCAGAUCUUUGAUCUUGUCUCUAGCCAAAUGUUACCAGCUUUGAGGGGUGACGUGUAUACCCAGCCUCAUGUCGAGGCAAUCUGGGUUUCUUUCCGCAAUUUCGUUUCAUUAUGUGGGCCGCUGGUGGCAAGUGUGCUUUAUUAACACAUUUUGAGGUCCACACACAUAUACAGCUACCACACAAACAUAUACCUAAGAAUAUAACUUUUUUAGUACCCAGCGCCAUCGCCCAUUCCCUUGGAAGGCAGCCCUGAUCUGCCCUGCGUGGACCGGCUCUACCGGCUGGCUGGCUGGCUUUAGUUGUAAUAGUUUAAUAAAGUAGUAAAAGCUGCGGAAAUUAGAUUUGACCGCAACACACGGGCAUAGGAGACCCGAGACCAGGGGAAACUUUGCCGAAGCGCAGCCCAGGAGGUUGGCUCGAAAAAAUGUUGUUCACGACCACCACUGACAGCAAGGGGGAGGAGAAGAGAAACCUUUGGCUUCUUCUGUUCCUUCUUUGGGCUGCAGGAUUCUUGUCAAUAAAAAUGUCCAAAAAGUUUUGGCUUAGCAUUAAACAAAAAGUUGGGGCUGGCUGAGAGAGCUGAUAGCUGAGAGGAUGAAAAGGGUUGCACAAGCAUACUUUGAGAAUGUGUCUGGGGAUAGGCAUAAGAAUGUGGAUAAAGAUGAGGAUGCGGAUAGGGAUGUGCUGCUUAUUAAAGGUCGAGCGGAGCUGAGUCCCAGAGGCAGUGGCAGUUGUUACGGCAGCGGCAGGAAGGAGGCCUUGCAGCAAAUUUAAUUAACUCAGUUGAGCGCGUUCUCCUUCGCUUCGUAUCGUUGGCAGUCCCGGCAUCAAUAAAAGAUUAGUCCUAUCAGCCAUGAAGUAUGGCACUUAAGAUAUUUGUUUUAGUUGCGCAGGAUUAUUGAAAAAUUAAUGCAAUAGUAGCAGAGGCAGCAUAGGAGGAUUCGGAUACGGAUACGAGCUUCGACUGCAAUUAAGCGAAAGCCAAACUGACGGAGACGCUGCCUCCUCCCUACUAAUGGUUAUUGAUGUGCCCGGUCAUAUACUCGUAGAGGCAUUCUAUUUCCUCAGCCAGCACCUGGGGCCCUAAGGUAGGCUUUAAUUUUAAUAAACGCCAUAAGGCAGAAGCCACUGAAAGUUUAUUAAAUUUCAGUCAACGGGCAGGCGCUUCUCUUGUGUCUGCUGUUGGGUGGCAGCUCCUGGGUCCUGCCACCUGUCAGUUGCACAUAUUUUGUUAUUAUCAGGCGCCGAGGCGCGGCGCCAUAGCGUAUGCCACAUACAUAUUCGGAAGCUCAUUUUCUAGCUCAUUGCCGGGGCCAAGACAUGAGCUAAAUUAAUUUAUUCCACUUUUGUUGUUAGACAAUAUCCCGAGCAGCCGCCUCCACCUUUGCCUCCUGUAAGAGGAUUCGGGAUGGGUCUGGAAGAGCAGCGAAGGCAUUUAAUGAAAAUGAAAACGUCUAGAGCCCGAACAGGAUACGAGGCUGCCUCGGUCGCUAUCCUUUUACAAAAGUGAAGGCACAACCUGAUAUAAAAUAAUAUAAAACUGACACUGACGAUGGAACUGCCUGCCCGGGUGGCUGGCUUCCUUAUGGCUUGCUAAGCUGCGUCAAGUGUCGACGAGCCGCCAAGGCUAGGGCUGCUGGGGCUUCCAGACUCGGAGCGCCCAGUAAAACAAAUGUUUAUGUUUAUGCACUUAAAUCCUGGGUUGGUUCUGACAGUUUUUCCUGUGUUCCUUUGAAGUUUCCUUGGUUAAACCUAUUAUAUUCGUAAACCCGAUCGAUAAUGCUCUCCUGCUUUACCCGAACUCAUUGAGAUUUCAUUCUUCUCUCUGUUUUAGGUAAGUGCACAAGGCUUCAUCCUUACAACAGAACACGUGAUCCACGUGGCGGUAAGCAGAUGACAAAACACUAUUUAACCAUUCAUCCAAUGCAAUCCAUACCAGAAGGUAUCCUCAUCAGACCCCUCCUCCAUGCAUACUCCUACUCGUAUGUUACACUUACCAUUUUACACCCCUUCCCCAUGGAGCCAAAAGCCCUUUUGCAAUAUGCAAAUGAACGAGUAUCCCAGGCCUCAGAAAAAUAUUAAGUAUCAGCAUAUUGUCAGGCAACAAUGAAUAACAAUAAGAGUAAACAUACUUUCACAUGUAAUAUAUGUCGAAGGCCAGUCUUUUGCAUAGUGUAAUAAAACCUUUAGGUGCACCCGAAAACCCGAAAAUGCAAUAAAUAAUUUCUAAAAAUGUUGCUUGGAAACUUCACACUUUGGCAGUCCUGUGGCACGAUUAUGAGACGUUGCAUUUUAGCCACAUCAAAUGUACACAGCCUUAGGCCUAAGCUUUUUCCCCUAUGGUUUUUGCUUCUGUUUUGUCGGCACUCAAUCAAAAAUCACAUUUCCGUGUCGGCUGUUUUGGCAAAAGCAAAAAAGAAAAAUGCAAAUAGCACUCGCUCCAACCACACGGCCACACAGAUGAAGCAAAUGUAAUUAAAAUUCGAUAUACUUGUUUUUGCAAAACUGCCCACAGGGAGAAUCAGUAUUGGAGCGGAGUUGGGUUUAGGCCAGUGCAGCAUCAACCCUCUGCCGUGCAGCGGGGCAGGGAUAGGGUGGAGCAAUUCCAUACAUUAUCAUCGUCAGCAUCAUCAUCAUCGUCAUAGCAGUCGCCUUCGUCAGCUUCGUUGCAGGCUGCAAAAUUUGGCAAAAAUUUUAGCUUCAAUUUAAAUUUUUGGUCAGAUUUGCACGUACUCGACUCUGCUUCGUGUGUGUGUGUUUGUAAUUACAUAUACACACACCACACGCACACUCAACGCACACAUACAGCAACACAACCACACAAUUCAUGCAAAUUGAUGUUGCUUUUAGCAUACACAGGGGGAAAACGGUGGAGAAGCCAGGAGCAGCCAGAAAUGGCAACAGGAGGGAGCGUUGAAAAAUAUUCGGUAGUGUCCGUCCUACUUUACUCCGCUCUCGGGCCCAAAACAAUGAAGAUUUAUAAUGCCCUUCUGGCCUCUGCUCCACUCCUCUUCACUCCACUCCACUCUGCUCCACUUCUUCCCUUUGGCCACGGGGCCAAAAGCACUGUAUGCCAUAAUAGCCAUAUAUUAGGGUUCAACAGCGAUUUGGCUGCAGCCAACAAACAUUGAAGCUCUCGGCCACCGAGGAAGAAAAACACUGAACAAAAAAUAUCUGCUUGGAUAGACGAGGCGAUAGAUACCCUUUUAGAACGAGAUGCAAACAAGCAACCAGAAAUUUGGACUGAAGAUCUCUGAAAAUAUCCUACAUUUAGACAUAAAAUGGGUAUGCACGUCUACAUUAAUGUCCUCUUUGUGGUGCAAAUAUGUUUCAUGAACCGAAAUACCCUCUUCACAGGUCAAACACAUGAAAAGAGAGAGGGAACUUGAGGUUUUUGAUCGCUAGUAAUUGGAAGAAGCUUUGACCUGAACUGAAUCAAUCUAGUAGAGAUCCGACCUCAUUGAAGUGCGGUUCAUAAAACACUCUUGAGAUACAUGCAUAGAUUCCGUGACGGACGCUCCUGAUGCUGUCUAUGGCAUUGUAUAAGUUAUGCCAAUCACAUAACAAAUAUAUGUUUUUGCUCUUCUCAAAUUAAAUAAGAGCAGCAUAGCAUCGCUACCAAACACCACCUCCACAGCCACCAACAGCAACAGCAACACCAACAACAACUGCGAAUUGCACACUCGAGCGCAGAGCGUAACAAAAUUCAAUAUCGCUUUUAAUUGCAUGUUGCCCCGGCAACGGCAACAGCAACAGCAGCAACAUGCGACAGACAUUGUAAUCCCCUUGCAAACUGAACUGUAGAGCGGAGAGGUUGGGUGGGAUGAAGGCCACUUAUAUAAGCCCGAAUGCCUGGGACGAACCUGUAAUUUAGCAAAAUGUUAUGUAAACUUUAAAUCGAGUUAUGCAUUUUAAUUGGUUGUUGUACAAUUUCGCAAGCGGCACGUUUUGUUUGCCACAUCACAGAACACACGGCCAGCUUGCAGCACACGGCUCAGAGCACAGGGCACACAGAGCCCUGAGCCCAGAGAGCAGCCAUUAUGCUAACAUACAAUAUACAUACAUACAUAAAUACACAUGUACACAAACAAUUGAACUGCUUCACAGAUUUUUGCGUAAAACAAUUGAAAUCUUGUUCAAUUAAAAUAAUUCUCAAUAUGAUUUAAAAGCAUUCUUACUGUUUCUUUCUUGAAAGUUUUCCAUUGUACUUGCCGCUGUGGUGGCUUCUUCUUGCUUUACUAUGGAAAAACUACCCAAAAAAAAAGCACUCGCUCACCUGUUUCUCAUUUCUGGCUAAUUAAAUAAAUUUCGAGACACACAAAGCCCCCAGGGAGUGCAGCGGGCGCAUUUGUCUCGUCAAAGGCAGCGGCGGCUUCAAGUUAAUCUACCUCGUGGCUUAAUUGCUGCCACUGCCACUGCGAUGCCACUGAAAAUUGCACCCAAAAGGCCAACAGCAACAGAGCAGUUGCUUCCCCUUCUCCAGUUCCUUCCUCCAUCUGCUGGUCUUGUCUAGGACGCUAACUCAUUUUAAUGAUGCUUCUACCUGGGGCGCCUUAAGUGCAGUGCCAUUGGAAGUGGCUUGGCUGGUGUCGUCUUCCGCCGGUUUGGUCUCAGUCUCAGUCUCGGCGCAAUUAUGGCCAACUUGGCUGUGCUUACAUGUGGCCAAAUUGUUGUGGUCGUUGCUAGCUCCAUCGCCGACUCGGGCGCAUUAAAAAUGAAUAAUGUGCGCGACUUGGGCGCACAAUUUAUGCACUCGCUGUCCGACCGCAUCCAGAUGCUUACCGGAGCCUGAGCUGGAGCCCGAGCCCAAGUCUGGCCUUUUUCAAUCAUAUAUAAAUCCAUGCAAUCAAAUUCCGUUGGGCAAUACAAUUAGCUUCGUCUUGGUUCCCUCUACUCUUCGGGUGAAAUAAAUUUGUUGCAUGCUUUUGGGCGCGCAGUUUAUUAGGCUUAACCCACCUGUCCAGGUCGAGAUACGGCACGGGUCCAUGUCCUGGUCCCUGGUACCUGGUCCCUUGUCCCUCAUGCCUGGUUCUUGCUUAUGCUUUGAUGUUCCAGCUAAGCCCGGGUAAAUUGAUUUUCCUUUGCCGGCCAUGGACCACGGUGUUGUCUUUAUUUUUAUUCCACAGACCCCACGGAGUCAGCAAUAAAGUUCAAAUGAAGCGAGUCGCUAUUAAGUUAUGCGGCUUUAGCUCUUUAGCUCCCCCGCUACUUUGUUCGGUGUGUUCCUUCGGUGAAUAAGUGGUCGCAUAAAUCGUCAAGGAAUACUGCAUGAAAUGCUGUGGAAUAAGCUGAAACAAUGCCAGGCCAUUGCUAGGUAAGCCUCUCACUGGAAGGCCGUAACAGUUACCUAGAUGGAGCUACCACCUAUCAGAGUCCUACAGCUGCUGGAUGAGAUUAAAGUUUAAUUCCCGAACGUCUUUCCCUCUGCUGCAUUCCGCUGGCCCACACUACCCCGGAAAACCUCAGCGCCCCAAACUGUACUGUGGUUUUAGUUGCAUUUGACUUUGCGGUUUGACGUUGUUGCGUUCUCCCAGUGUUUUGUUGUUUUUAUGUAUUUGUUACUCCUACUCUCUGGCCCGGACCGUGCCCCACUCCUUGUGUGCAACACACGCAACAGCUUUUUGUUCACACUUUCGCCGGGCAAAAACAAUUUUCCUCCCAAAUCAGACUAGGAGAAGGAGCCGAAGGCAGACAGCGGUGGGCAGAGCGCGUAGUGACUGCUGCCUGCCCCGCAUGCAUUGCGGUUUCUGUUGCAUAAUUAUUAUGUUGCGGUUGCCAACCCUACACCCCUGCACCCGAACUUGCCACCAGCCUCGUGUUGCUGUUGUUUCAAAAGCAUUUACCUUGUUUGUGGUUCGCUGAGCGCUGGCAGCAGUUUUUCAGCGGCCUCUUUCUGGGCUGCCUCUAAAUUACUUUUGUCUGGCCGGGGCUGGGUAUAGGAGUACGUUGGCAGGCUGGUCGAGGCCUUUAAAUCUUUGACGUUGCUCUUUUUUCGAUAUAUGUGUAUUCAUAAUAGUAAAUGUUUCUGCUCAGCACCUUUCUCAACUUUAACGACUUUUAAAGUGGUAUUUGUGGGUAAUUCUCAUUAGCUGAUUUGAUUUGAAACUUAUUGGAACUGCACUAAACGAAAAUUAUCAUCUGUUUACCAAUUCCAUGCUAUCCAAAAAAUUGCUUUUCUUUAAUAUUUAAGCUUGUUAGUCAAAUUCCACUGAUGUUAGAGUCGCUUUGACAUGGGUUGGGUUGUUAUGCGGAGAAUCUGUCCCACUGAAGGGUUCAAAAAGGACACAAAACUAAACAACAGAAGUGCGACUGAAAGUGGAAGGAAGGAGAACUACAAAAGGAAGAAGUUCUACCAGGAACUUUAGAGGGAGGGGAAGCAGCAGCAGCAGCAUACUUUUUCGGCUAUGCUCAACAAAUGUUACACAAGGCAGCAGUAAGAGAUGGGACACAGAGGAAGCAGAGCGACAGAGAAGGGUGAACAGUGACUAUUUGGCUUGUCCUGGUCGGGCUUCUUCUUCAUCUGUUGGUGUCAUUUGUUAAAGAGGCUUGUCAACAUGCCUUAUAACAAGCUGGCUCGGACUUCAGAGUCAGACUCAGAUCCCCAGCCAGACCCCCACAGUAGACUCUAAAGUGGAAGAAGGCAAGUCGAAGAACUUUUGGAGAAAAGAAGCCAGAGACAGGGACAGAGGACAGGGGACUGGGAUAGUGCCAAAAGCAAUAAUAUUCCAGCUUUUGUUAUAGGUUUGGCUCUCGCUUUCGUAGCUAGAUCGUAGCCGGUGUUGGUGUUUGUUCGUAUUUUGUAGCAUACUUUUGUGCAUUAUUUGCACAGCUCUUGUACGGAACUGGAGAAGAAGGCGACGCGUCGCCUGGCUCUGGGUUUGGCUUUUCAAUUUGCCAGAGACAUUUGUCUCUGUGUGUGUUUGUUUGUGUGUGUACACAAAAUAUUAUUUUCUUAAUUGGUGUUUAUUGUGUGUCAGACGCACAUACACUCACACACUCGCAAACACAGCCGAGUAGAGGCGGUGAGAGGGCUGUUAUAAUUUUAGGCCAGCACUCGAGAGUGCCAUAAAAAUGUCAGCAAUGUGGCCCUGGUCCUGGAUCUGCCGCUGGACUUGGAUCUGGCCUCAUCUAUUAAAUGGUUAGAGAUAGAAACACACACAAUUUCUGCCUUGUUGAAAUGUAAUUUCCAGUUUGCCUUUUUCGUUUGUGUGUCCAUGCCCUGUGGCGCUCCAGAACUCGUACGUCCUGAGUGAAUCAGGCAAAUUUCCUAGUCAGUCAGGAGAACAAAAAGUCUCGUCUGCGACUGUAUCUCUCGUCCAGUGGCAAAUUGCUUAUGAAAUUGCAAUUUGAGCCCGCUCAGGACACUGAUUUUUAUUUAAUUUGACUUGCCGAUGCCUUAGACAACAGAGCUUUAGAGUCAGUGGAAAAUAUAUCACAUUACACGUACAGGGAAAACAUGACCAAAGGGAUUCGGGCAAGAACAGAGCUCCAAAUAUUUUGCAUACGACUUUCUAGGGAGCCAUGUGAAGUGACUCUGAGCCGAAUUGCUAUUUACUGAAGUUGCAAAUCCUCAAAAUGCUUUAGGCCUCUGUCCACCCAAAGUUUCGUUGUUUAUCAACUGGCAAAAGGUAGUUGAAAGUUUCUUUCUUUUUCCCUAUCUCGCCUCCACCUCUUUCUGACCAAAAUCAAGAAUAAUGCUCCCACUGGGCCUGUCGGCUGUUUGUACGCUGCACGCGAGAGAAAGAGACAGACUGUUGGCUGGGGGAUGCUGAAUGGACAUAGACCCCCUGUACUCUGUGUGAUUUGUAUGCAAAGUGCUGUGGCUCAUGCCUGGAAUAGUUCAAUUUCAGGCGGCUGCUGGGUCACAGUUUUGUUUGUGUUUGUGUAUUGGCAGCUCGUACUCGUCCUCGUACUCAUACACGUACUCGUAGUUGGCCAUAUGGAUAAGUUCUGCCUGCGAUAAACUUGAUUAGAAAUGCUGGUCAAAGUUUUGUGGACACAUAUGUCUGUGCUCUGUGUCUCUCUAUUGGAGUGACAUAAAACGACAUUAGUUACCUGUCCGGGACAUCAUAUGUUGCAUGCGGAUGAGUUUAUUUGAUUUCUUUUGGCAUGAGACGCAUUCAACUGCGAGUGCAAUGCCACAAAUGCAAUUUUCAGUCAGUGCAUCCAUCCACAGAUGAGUGGAGUGGCGAGACGAGCAGCCAUCCUAGCAUCCUUCAUCAUGCAUCAAACAAAUUCGAUAGCCUUGCCGGGGCAUAAUAAGCGUAAACGAUGACUAACAAGAUUCAUGCUACGCUGUUGCGCCCAAGAGGCAAACAUGCAAUGGCCAUCAACGUGGUCCAAUCGGGUGAGCAACUCAUCCUCACUCUCGCUCCUUCACUCGGUCGCCGGUCGUCGGUCGUCGGUCCUCUCUCCGACAAAUGACUGUGACGCGACCGGUGGACAACGAAUGUCGCGCACUUAAUGCAACUUUGUUGCUGAUGCCUGUUCAGCCAUCCCUGCCUCCGCCCCUUGUCAACAUCGGAGGAAGCAGCAGCAGCAACAACAGUAGUAGCAGCGAUUGAAAAAUCCCACUAGGGCGUUUUUAAUUGGAUUUUAAAAUACUUGUCCCAUGCAGCAACAGCAGCAGCAGAAGGAGCAAUGGCAGGCAACAUCAGGCAUCACAGGCAAAGGCAGAGGAAGAGGCGGAGGUCCUGGGCAGGGCAUAACAUGAGCCUGCCGCUGCCGUUGCUACUGCUGCUUCCACAAUCCUUCCAGCCGACAAGGCCAACAUAUCGACCCAAACCCACGUUAACAGUUUUGGGAAGGUGGUGAGGGUCCUCAACACGCUCGUUAUCCUUGUUUCCCGCUGCCGCUGCUGCUCCUGGUCCUGGUGCGGCUUCUCCCCCUGAUCGUCCUGCUGCUGCUGCUCUGCACAAUUUGGUUACUUGUUUGACCAGCGGCGAUUUUUCAUGCCAAGGCAUUUUGGGGUAUUUUUUUGUGUCCAUGGGGAGAAUUGGGGUUUCCCAUACAUUAAUGGCAUUGCAAAUUUGUAUUGCAAAUGUGCAAGUUGUGGCCAGGCAUGAAUACUCCUCUCCAGAGCCCCUCCCCCCAGCAUCCAGGCCACCAUUCCUCCCUCCCCAGUCCCAUAAAUACCAUAAUCGCAUGUGUUUGCAUGAAAUCUCGUGCAACUCAAUUGUCGUACCAUACUUUCUAUGGUAGACAGAGAUUGACCCAUAAAGGCCAAAUGUCGCCCGAUAACCAGUUGGAAACUACACAGCACAACCCAUUAUUAUUUGUAUUUUCCUUAAUGCUGUAAAUACAAAUUAACUUAAGCUUGAGGACGCUCUGGGAGAGCUCUAAAAACAAACAACACAACUUUUUACUCGACUAUAAUUCUAAUGACAGCUCAACUUUGGCAUUAUCAUUAGCAUAUUUGAUUAAAAAGUGUCAUUAGGCUCAGCUCUUCUGCUUCUCUCUUCAGUCUUAGCCGCUGCCUGCUGCACUUCUCUGCACUUUUCACGCUUCUCCGGAAGUUGCGAAAACCGGAACAAGACGCUAAAAACUUGUCGCACUCACUAACAUUUUAAUUUCAACUAGUUGCCGAGACUCAGGGACUCAAAGAGAGGGAUAGAGGGGGCGAUCUACCCCAUCUCUCUGGCAGUUAAGUAAUUAAAGCGUUGCACUUUGUUAGCACUUUAAGAAAGACCGUUGUCCUGCCACCUGUCCUGCUCCGCUAAUUCUCCGGAGUGUUCGCCGCUGCCGCUGCCGCUGCCGCUGGCUUGGCUUGAUUUGUAUGCAAAUUGAAUUUGACUUCUUCUGCGAGCACUCGUUGGUACAUCAAAGCAAAAGUCGAGCUAACUGAACUGAUGAGCUCCGACUUCCUUCCGUCUGAGUCACCUCUUUGCCUGGCUAAUUUCCUUUUAAUUAAUAUAAUGACUCCAAGUUCGACUCACAAAUUAUCCCUGACGACAGUUACAUCGUCGCCUGAAAAAGGAAAAUAGUCAAAUGGAACCAUUCAAGUCCAAGACCUCAGCCUUGUAGUCAAACUUCAGUCAAAGAUACACAAAUUAGCUGGAUGGCCAGUCAUCUUGAGUGUUUGUCCAAAACGCUAAUGAAUAUGGUAGUACGAGGGUUUGACUUGAGCCAGUGGAACUUUUCAAUAAAUACGAAAUGAGAUAAAGAACUUACGCCUGCCCUGAUGUAACAAAGGAAUCAUUUAUAAAGCAGAUCCCAUUUAGAGCCUUCAUAUAGGUGGGACUGCUACAAGCCUCCACAAUGUUGUGUCAGAAAAGUUAUGCCAAGAAAAAUAUAUUUCACAGAAACAUAAAGAAGUCUCCCUUAAAAAAAUAUUGGACAAACCAAAAGAAAAACAAAAAAAGGACAGAAAAACAAGAAAAAAUAAACUUUGAUUUAAGUUUACAAAAAUGCUUAGCAAUUUUGUUGCUUUUUUAGCUUUUUGUUGUGUGUUAUUUUCUGUUGUUUUUCCAUUUUGUUGUUCGCUCUCGGUUUUUUUCGGCUCUGUUUUGCAGCUGUGUGUGGAUUAACAGGCAACAAAAUAUUUUAUUUUUUAUUGUUUAGCAACGCUGAUUUGCACUCUUGUGUCCCAGCCCAUGUCCCCUGUCCGCCUACGCGCCUUUCCGUUGUUUGGGACAGAGAAAUUCUGGAUUUUGUUGUCACUUCAACACAAAAAACAUAAAAUACACAAGAGUCGACGAGAGUCGAGUCGAAUCCGCAGACGAGACGGGGGCCGAACCAAAAUCCACUUGAAUUUUUUACACUUUAUUUUUUGUACAUUUUCUGGGAGAGGAAUACCAAAACAAAAAACAAAAAACGAAUACGAAAAGGGGAUUCGCUUCCAGCUCUUCGCGCUGUUUGCACGCGAAAUUUGUGCUUGUCUGCCUUUCGGCUUGUCAGCUCGCAUGUUGCAUGGUUUUAGGCGGGAUUUGUUCUGUUUUUCUGCCUCCACCUCUGCCUCCCUUCUGGAAUAGCGUCAACUACAAAGGCAACAGAUACAACCAACAGGGAAACCAGAACAAGCAGCGCAGGAGCAAAAGCUAGAGCGCAGGCCGCAAUUUGGACACCCACCCAUUCCGAACCCUCGCCGGGCCUGUGUCAAGGGUUUGGGAAUUAGACAUUUUGGAGGGUUUUCAAACGGGUAGCCAUGGUCCCAUCCCAGCUUCUGGGGUGGGUGCUGGAGGGUCUUAAUUUUCAGCAUUGUUGAUGUUGUUGCAUAAAAAACAGGAAAAAACAAACGAAGAGCAAAGGUUAAGCUCGUAGAGUGAGCGGCAAAAGCCCUAAUUAAUUCCUCGGCUUGGGGGUUGUGGAAAACAGAAGAUAAAUAAUCCAGACUUCCUAGAGAAACUGUGCAGAAUAUAGUACUAAUAUUAAAAAGCCCAACUAUCCAGGUAGAGUGCACCUGCCACUGGUGAAACUCUUAUUUUGUUCUCCAUUUACAAAUGUAAAACAAUAUUUGAACCAUUCCGCUUUUGCCGCAUUUUAAAAUCGCUUUCAAGCACCAGCUUACAUGUGGCAUAACCCGCACUUACUACGCCCUGUACCAUGCUGUGCCCGCCCCGCCCGGAAAGUCCUUACUUUUUGUGGUUAUUACUGUAUAUUAAAUUAGCAUAAAUGAUUUUUAAUAAUUAUGCCAUUGAAGCCGGGCCCUAAAGACUCAGCCUUGGCGCCAGCCCCAGCCCUCUCCAACCAGCAGCUGGCACCCAAAUUACAAUAUAAUGAGCGGCGCAAGUGCAGCGUAUAUUUUUUUUGUAUAUUUUUCGGUUUGAAUUUUACAUUCCCUCCAUGCCAGUAGAGCGCAGGCCGACUAUUAUUUUUAUACAAUGGACGAUGAUGGGAGCACCAUGAGGCCACCCUAUGUCCAUGUUGAUUUUCAUGCAAGAGUGCACGGAGCGAUUCUUGCAAAAAUGUUUUUUAAUUGCACUUAAAAUUUUAUUUAAAUGCCACACACACACGCAUGCCGCCGAAACCGUCGCGGCUGUACGAGUAUCUGAUGCUGCAUCAGCUUACGGCUCUCAUACCCAGUCCCCCACUCAAUGCCACUCAAUUGGUCUUUAUGGAAUUUUUACUGAUUUUAAAAUUCAAUAUUAAAUAUUGAAUAUUGUGAAAAUUUCCCCGUUUAUUUUCGCAUAGGACGUCGAAUUGAGUUUACCUGACACAGUUAGUUACACGAUUACGAUUGAUUUUCAUCCAUUUCCGAGUGUUAUGUCUCACCACCUCUUGUAUGUCUCAUUUACAGGCUGCGCUUUUGUCAAAUUCGGCACGCAACAGGAGGCUCAGUCAGCAAUAGCCAAUCUACACGGAAGUCAAACUAUGCCGGUAAGUGCACCAAUUCUAUCCCAUAUUCGCGUGUGUUUAUUGUAUCUGAACGCCUGCCCAGACAGGCUGUGACUUCCCACGCCGCUUGGGCGUGAAAUUAUAACAUUUUUAUUUUGAGUUCACCUUCUGUCCAGGGCCCUCCUUGGCUAUGCUUUCUAGAGCACAUGAUGGCACUUGUGUGCGAAUAAUACGAAAAUAAUGAAAUUUCAAACCUGAAGUACGCGUACUCAGGUUGUUGUUCGAAAGUACUUAGCAAACUUCAUUUAAGCUACAAGUGCCCGCCCCGCCCCGCCCCAUUCCAGCCCGCUCCGCCCAUCUCAAACUUUCACUUCACGUUUUAUAAAUAAAAUUAGAAUUAAAUUAAAUGCCGAGCAGCAAAAUGUAUUAUUAUUUUUCCUUUUGCGCCGCACUUCAAUGGGAAAUCAAGAAGCUCGUUCUACUCUAAAUUUCUAAAAUAAAAAAAUACAAACGUAAAAAGCAAAAAGUGAGGAAAAAAAUAAAUCAAAAUAGCUUUUGGCCUGAGAGAAAAGCGGCAGGCAGAAGAACUACCAAGGUUUGCCGCCAAGCGACUUCAUUAUGCUCGAAUUUUGUAAGGAAUCACCAUAUAUAGUCGAGGCUGAUGCUGAUGCUGAGUCUGAGGCUGUGGCUGUGGCCAGCAGUGCGGCUGAAUCCAUGGCUACAGAGUAAAGAGCCGUUAGCUCUAUGACAACGUAGCCCGGGAAUUAUUUCGUCUUUUUUCUCGCUUUACUUCUUGCGAAAAAUAAAUGAAAUUUGCAUGACACUUGAGUUAUUUUGCACGUAAAUUGCUUCUUUUGACAAACAAACAAGCAAAUACACAAACCAGCUGCCGGAGAAGCAGAGGGAGGGGGGAGGAACUGGCAGGGGCUGGCGCCAUUGUUGUAUUUUCGGUGUUUACAGGCAGCAGAGGCAUCAGCAGCAUCCAUCCAGUGCAAUCCCAAGUCUCCUCGGAACCAUCCUUUUACCACUCGCUUUCUAUCGCUCCUCUUUCAGCAAACGAAUUUUACAUUUGGGUUUUUGUAUGUGUUUGCGGGGUUGUUGCCGUCUCUUCUUGUCGCUCCAUCCGUCUUUCUAUCACUCUCGUUUGCUGGGAUUCUCAAGUCGACAACUCGUUGCCGCAUUUAAAUUCAAAUUCAAAUAUUGUUGAUGAAAUUUGUUGCUUAAUUUGCAAUUUAGAUGCGUUUUAAACAAACGCCGCGCUGCUGCUGCCUGAGAAAUCAUGUGUUUACUUAGGCGGAAGUUGAUGAUGAUGAUGAUGGCGACAGGAUGGGGCAGGAAUUGUGGCAGUAACUGUGGCACCAACUGUGGAAGCAACUGUGGCAGGAUGGAGGACAACUCCCAGCCGCGUAAUUACAGCUGUUUGUGUGUGCGUGAAUUUAGGGACUCUCAAUUCGAUGCCAGUUGCCGUCGGGCCACAGUUACACUUUUUCUGAGUCGGAACCGCCGAAAACUUCAAAAAUAUAGCCGCAAGCGAAGCGCCAGAUCCGUAGCUACAGUCACAGCCACAAACAAACAAAACGAGACCCAAUUCCACUUGGGAGGCAAGCGCAAACAGUUGAGGUUUAAGUCAAUUUCAAUUUCAAGGGGAUGCCGCCGUCACAUUUUAUAGCUGAUUGCAGUCGAUAUCAAAGCGUAUCCUGGGGUCCUCUCAAUGCCUCCCAAUGAUCGAAAAGGGUUCUUCAUCUUAGAUGAAAUCUGUGUAAGUUGCCCUGCCCUCCUAAAGAUUUACAUAAUUAUUUCCCUGUAAUACGGCGGAGCUGCGUCUUCGCUUCAGGCCUACAUCCAACUGCACUUAAACUCAAAUUAUGCUGGCCUGGGGCUGGAGGCACCAUUUUCCGGGGGCGAUACACGUUUCGAAUGUCUGACCUGGACCGACCCGUGACCCGUGACCCAAGAACCAGGACCUCGAAACACCCCAUGACCGACCGGCCUCGUCUCUGGCCAGCAGCAUGCACAUGAAGGACUUACAAACGACAGCUGCAAUUUUUCACCUGGCCAGUUUUUAAGAUGAGCAGCAUUCCGGACCCCUAAACGAAGACUAUGGCAAAUUGCUGCCUUGGAAAAAAUCCGUGUGCAAAGGCAUAGUAAGAGCAGUAAAAAACGAGGCAAAGCAAGUUGUAUACAUUUUUUCUACUUGCUUUUUUUUAAUUUAAGAGCGCGUAAUUUGUGUAUACCUGCCUGAGCAUUAAGCAUUUUAAUGUCAGUGUGGCACCCGGACCUCUCCACCUCCCCUUCCAGAAACUUGGCUGUAAUUGCAAUUUGGCAUUACGACUGCUGCUAGGUCUGGGUUCUUGGAUCCCGGUCUCAGGUCUCUCUCGUGCAGUGGAGUGUGAGUGGGUGAGUGCACCCUUGGCUGGGAGUGAGGUAAUUAGCGCUAAAACGACGCCAGCUGCUGUGUUAUAUAAAAAUUUUAGCUGCCACACUUUUUCCCGCACCACGCAUUACAUUAAUUAUAUAACCAAGUGCACAGGCAAGGAGAUUAGUGGGGUGCAGCGGUACAGGGGGCACCGAAUUGAUUGCCUACCUGCAGGCGUCAAAGUUGCGCCAGACAGAACCGCAAGUUAAUUUCAAGCUUAACAAAGUUCUCUCAUUGGUGUGGUGUGGGAGUCUGUCCACUUUCCAUGCCCCUCUCCUUUUCUCCCUCCAGCUGCCUGCCUUUCAUGUUGAUGUGCCACAGAAUGCUUUUAAAAAAGAGAUGCAGAAGAAGAGCAUUUUUUGAUUACGCCAAACCUUAAGCAGCUUAUGAACGCCCCUCGUUCCGGGACUGGACGCUCAUUAAAAAGGAAUUUUCAGGGCGAGAACGAGUCCGCAUGCAACACUGGGGCACCACCACCAGGUCCAGCAACCCAACUCAUACCCCACACGUUCGCUCCGUUGUUAAUCUCUUGGCACUCAACAUGUUAUAAGUCGCUUUUAGUGCGGUUUGCAAACGUUUUUCUAAAUGUAAAACAAAACAAAAACACACAAAAAGAGAGAUAUGGAGAGAGAGAGAGAGAGUGAGUGUUGGCAAGGGGAAGGGGAGGUGGGAAAAGUUUACAGUUUACAGUUGUAAACAAUAAUUUCGUAUUCACUCAACACCCACACAAGUGGACACACACCGAGGCAUUUGCAUAAGCCGCUGAUGCGAUUUUUUUACUGUCCGUCGAGUUUCUGUGGGCGCGGCUUAGAAGUGGGCACGGACCGGGCACUUGUUAAUGAAAGCUCGCGCAAGCAUUAAAGCUGCCGCUAGCUCUAAAUGCUUUUGAUUGACGAAGCGCAAAAGCCUCACUGCCAAAACAUAUACAAACACACAACAGAAAAUACAACAGAAAAUACAACAAAAAAUGUAACUGAAAAUAAAAAUACCGCAACGCACCGCGGGAGGAAGGUGGGAAGUACCUGCACAACACAUACAUAAAUAUUUGAAAUUUCAUGCAGAUCUCUGGACUGAAACGAGGCCAAACGGCAGUCCCGCACCUUUGGCUGCCUUCCACACUCUUCCGAAUAAAUUAGUCAAUUAGCAUUUCCAUUUUUAUUUGUUUUGUUUGGUUGCGAGAAAGAGUAAGUGGCAGAGGGUGGAAAGUAGCGAGAUAAGAAGGGACCAGAUACAAAUAGUGGCCAUUACGGUCGUAGGGGGAGAGACACACUUCAUAAACAUUUGUCACACCUUGCUCAUUAUGCUGUACACACACUCCCGCGCAAAUGCAGGCGAUGAUAACAUGUGUUUUCCGGCCAGGGAAGCACUUGUCACCCAACGUUAUCGUUAUUGUCAUCAAAGACGCUUUUCCCAGCAGCAAACUCUGCUCAAUGCGCAUUUAAAUUUCAAAUUAAUUUCUCGCCAUGUGAGCACAAAACAAAGCAAAAAAAAAAAUAUCAAGAAUUGAAAGAAAUAAGAAAUCUGCAAGCUGACAACAUACCUAUGGAGGGGAAAUUCCCUGAAUAAAUACGAGUAAAGUCCGCGCUGUCCCAAAAAAUGAUAUGCGAGGGAGCCGGAGGAGUACCUGGAUCUGGGGACAUCUCGCUUCCAUCCCAUCAAACCUGUUUUCACAGUCAUUUCGCAGUGAGGGUCCCGUAAAAUAUGCAAAAGAAGAACCAUUUUUGCGCGCAGUCCGUACUGCUUCUUUCUUUUCCUCUUACAGUUAUGGGUAUAUUGUAUUCAGUCAAUUCUAUGCAAUAGUCAGAUUCAGUCAGUUCUAGCAGACUGCAGCUUGAGCAAGCUGACAAUUUAUUCUACGUGUACAUAUAUGUAUAAAUAAUAUUUUUUUCAGUUCACAGAAGAUUAAUGGGUAUCUUUCGAGUCUCUACUUGGUGAUUACUUCCCUCCACUGAUUCUGAUGCUGAUGCUGGGGGUUCCCCAUUUUAUUUUCGCUGCUCAUGGCUGAAUUGACGCAACAUAUGCCAGUCGAAUGCUGUGCGACUGCUGCUACGCCAACUUUUCCUCCUCCUCCGGCACUCGCUUCUUUUGUUUUCCUUCCCUCUGUUCGGUGUGUCUCGCAUCAAUUAUGCUUUUAUUUAUACAACAAUUUUCGUUCUGCUGGCCGUUCAAUUUUCGUCAGCAGACGAGCAGAACGAGCUGAGCGAACGAGCGCCGCCUUAAUGCGACUUGACAAAAAUGGCGUCCAAUAUGGCGCAAAUGUGGCUGUGGCUCUGUCUGAUGUACGGAGUGCGGGCUGAAGCUGGCGUGUUGGGGGCUUCUUCUUAACGCUUGAGCGACGCCCACACACGCACACACCAUCAAACGCAUACAUACUCACACACAGAUCGCACCUUGGCGCGUCAAGAUGACGACCAGGAGAACGUUCCCGGGUCUGUUCUGGGGUCUGGCUUUCUAUUUUAAUUCACACGCCAUUGUUGCGCGGCGCCUAAAAGAAGAGACGAGGCGAAGUUGAAUUUCUAAUGUGCAGCAGCUGCGAACAAUGGAAGUGUGGGGUGCGGAGGCGGGGCCUGUAAGGCAGGUGAUUGUGGCAUGGGGCAGCAACCUGAUUGUGUUUCGGCUGCUUCUUCUUGUGUGUGUUGUGCGCUUGUACACGCGUAUUGUGUUCUUCUUUCUAAAGCAUACUUAUGAGCGCGUUUAAGCAAUUUUUAAAUCGCAGUCGUGUAAGCCAGUACCAGUAUGUGUGUCCUCCACCGAAGGAGGAGCAGUAGUAUAGGGAAACACAAAUCUUUAUGAAAAGUUAGAGAGCUGGAAAUCUUUUAAGUGGAAAUUUAAGCAACCCUAAUUGGGAUAUUUACAGCAAGAAAAUACAAAGAAAAUGGAGGGCCGUUUGAGCUAUUGUCAGUUUUUGGCCUAGGGGCCAUUCUUUUUUUUUUCAAUUGGUAUGUUUUUUUUAGUAUAUUGUUUAGUUUUAACUGCCUGUACUGGCAUAGUGAACUUGUAUGUAUCUCUGUUCCUAAGCGUACAGCUUUCACAACUAAUUUGCACGAAUACAAUAAUGCGUGGGCGACAUAAAUCUUGAGGAUGGCGCGGCAAAGCCAAGCUGUCUCUUCCACGACUAAAUCAUGUUUGAUGUUUAGCAUAUUAGACACAUGCUCAGGGCCCUCUUCCCGGUAUUGAUUUGCCAGCCAAUCUGGUCUCCACUCACACCACUCAAGGACCACCCCCUCGCGCACCGCCUUCAGCUUUCAGGCACCAUCAAUUUCAAUUUCGCUCCAGCAGAAAAUCCAAACAACGGCUGGCACAUCCAAUUUCUGGCACUGCCUGCAGUCUACCUCUCUCCCCUCCGCCUUGAUCUCGGCCUGGGCAUCGGGGUUUUUCGGUAAACUAAUUUUCUUGCUCAAUAUCUUGACAGUGAAAUUGGCACGCGGCAAUGUUGCCAAUCAAACCCCCACGCACCGACAGACAGACGGAGAAGAAGACUGGGGCUGAAAUGGAGGGAGCGACUUCUCCUCCCAAGAGUGCAGUAGACUUUUAGGUGCCGUUCCACCUGUUUAGCUAUUGACAUCACGUUCCGCCUUCGCGGCGGAUUCUAGCCAAGUCCUGCCUGCUGGCUGAACGCCUCCUGGCUAAAACUUCCUGCAGAGUGGACAUAAAUAUUUGGUUUUUAGUCGUCCGGAAAUUGAAGCUGAAAGUCUUGCGAGUGAAACAUCUACCAGUCGUUGACAGAGAUAGAGAAGUACAGUGGAAAAAUCUCUCACAUUUCCUUGCCUUAUAAAAGAAUCACUGUUAAUAGCUUUCUUUGGGGUUCUUCCGCUCAUAAAACCAAGUCAUGGCAGCUAAGAGCUCAAAACUUCCUGCUUUUUUGGGUCCGAACGCGGGUGCAUCAUUAAAAGUGGCAUCGAGCCGCCGUGUUUUUGCGGCGUUAAAACUGUGUGCAACAUAAAAAGCGAUGCAGCGUGAGUUUCGCGACAGAUUCACUCACUGCUGCUGGAGUCUUUCGCCUCUCGGGCAGCCUGUUGUAAACAAUUUUAAUAGACUUGCUUAAGGGCAAACAUUUGCAGGUAGCCUCCCCUCGACUUGUCUGUGCUGCAGUCAUUCAGCGAAACAUUGUGAAGGGACCUGCAGCUGCUUCAUCAUCAUCGUCAUCAUCAUUAUCAUCCACAUCCCUGAUGUACCCCCAUUGUCUUUUGCAUUUAUUUUUGCUGCAGCUACGUGCCGCUCUGCAUUCGACGUCGUCCAAUGCAGUGGCUACUUAAUUUAAUGCACGUCUGUUUGCAUAAACCCAAACCUUAUUGAAUCGGGCGAAGCAGCAAACAGCAGGCGGCAGGCUGCAAGCAGCUUGCAACAUGCAGCGGGGCAUCAUCAAUGUAUGGGCACGUUCGCCGACAAUGCUCAGGGAGCCGGCGAAUGAUGAGCAAACUUCAAUUCUCUGGCAGUCCUAGCUGCCAGUCUGGAGCAUAAACUUUAAUGAGCCGCACGAACUAGCCAGAAGAAAUUGAAUGCUGACGUGAUUUUUGGCACACGGAAACUCUUGCAUACUUGCGACGAACGAGUCGAGCAAGUUUCAGGAAAUGACUUAGAAAAACCCACACCCGUUCCCGUUCCGUAUCACAGUAUCUGUAUCUGGUUCAGUUCGCUUCUAUCCUGUUUGGCUUUGUUUGUUGCAUACCUUGAGGCGCUGUCAACCGCCUGGCUUUUGCAUUCGCCUUUCAUUUAAGCCGGAAUGCGAAUGAGAAUGAGAGAACCCUUUCCCCGAGGCGAAUGGGGCUGUUUUAGAUUUCUAUCACACAUCGGGCGGUUGUAUGGCUGUGGUGUGGCGUGGAGACGAAACCAAACACUUCAAGUCAAAAAGGAAACCGGGCCCAGCCUUCUUCCGCUUUACGUGCCAAUGAUGACAAUUGGUUUUCUUUCCAUUUCCCUUCCUGGCGCGGUCGCGGCUUCGAUUUGCUAUUUCUUUCGUUUCGUUUGGUUUCCUUUCCGUUGCUGUGUUUUUGUGUUGCACGUCGUCGUCAGUUUUUCGCCGCUUGUCUACAAUUUCAAUAAAAUUUUAUUAACGAAUUCCGGCAAAUGGUCGGUCGGCGGACGGAUUCGGCGAUGAAAAGGCAGGGCCGGGCCGGAGACCAGACUGUGGACAUUUUUAUACCUCCUCACGAAUGCGAAUCGAUAUUAUUAUUACAAUAACAACAGCAGCAGUAGCAGCACCAGCAGUAGCAGCAGCAGCAGUAGCAGCAAAAGGAUGGCGGGCAGGCAGGAAAGGAAGUGUGGCAUGGGCAGGGGCAAGGCAACUGUGGCAAUUGCCUGUCAGCAUUGUACUUGUCGAUUUUGCAGCUUACUUUGCUGGCAUUGCAUACUUUUAAGGCGCUUUGACAAUUCUUUUUAUCUGCGCCCAGGACCGAAGCCAAGGACUUACUUGGCUUGUUUGUUUGUCAUUUACGCCACCACCCACUCCCUCCCCUUGCAUGCUCCCCUGCCUGCCCCCUGCUGCUGAACCAAGUUGAAAGCCCGCAGUUCAAUUCUCAAUGGCGCAGCAGUUUUUCUUUCUUUCUAAUGGCGACGUUUCCGCUCCGUGCCCGACGUCGCCGUCACAGAGUUUGUUUUCUUCUCCUGACUCUCUCUCACUCGUCUUCACUCUCACUCCUCCUCAUUCUCGACGACGCUGCACCCAACCACCGUUUUUGCCGCCCAAAAGUUGACAUCAAUUUCUGUUCAAUUUUAUUAUUUUCAUCUUCAUUUCAGCGCCAAAUCUAUAAUUGUAUUUAUGUCAACUUUUUUUUAAAUAGAUGAUGUGCUUAGGGCUGUCCCCUGGUAUUCCCACGACUGUUCCUGGUCCUGCUUUUGCACUCUCUAUAGACUUGUGAAGUGGGGGCGUGGCAUUAUAAUAAUGACUUUGCUUUUGUGAUAACGACUUACGGAAAUAUUUGGGCAUGUCAUCAGCGUUCGGCAAGAAAUUUGUCUUCAAACGAUAUUAUUAAUAGUCAGGAAAGGGGGAUUAGAGGGCAGACUAGAGUCAGAGCGAACAGCGGACAGCACGAAGACAAGUAUAUUUAUGUGGGCGCCAGAGAGAACGAGUAUGCAAAACAGCAACUAGCCGGAAUAUUUAUGGCGAAAGUUAAAAGUGCAAUAUAAAUUAAAUGUGUGUCUGAGGGGAAGAGACAAAGACGAUGUAGCAUGAGUAAUGUGAACAUGCAACUAUCGAAUGGGGCACCGGAAAAGAGAGAGAGAAAUCUUAUUAAAAGCUCAAGAAAUACUCUGGAAAUUCAUAUAUUUCGACUACCAAGAGUAGGUUGCAGAACCUCCAAGUAGCUCUUUCAUCCUCUCUCAGCUUGAGACCAAACAUUUUCGACUCUCAAAAAACUUGCUAAAAACUCGAAACGAACUCAGGCUAAAAACUAUCAACUGUAAUCAAGUCGGCUGGCCUGGCACUAAAAGCCAAUGCAAAAGCUGCUAAAAAGCAUUAAGGCGCUGUACCUCCAGGCAAGCAUCAAGAGCAGGGGAGCAGGGUGGUGCAGGGGAAAAACUAUAGACGGAAGUCGGCAGACAUUAGUGCCAAAAGUGCGUCACAAACAAUAUUUCCGUAUCUGGCAGUAAAACUAAAGCGCAGGCAAAGCCUAGACACUUUUUAAGAGAUUAAAUUUUGGGUGUCCCGUCCCCAGCCAUGCCCAUGGAGCAGUGUCUGCCAUGAAGCGACGAAACUGUAACGAAACAUUUACGGUAAGCACACAGAUACGAGUACAUACAUGCAUGCAUCCGAGCACAUACACGAGAAGUUUUGCCAAACAACAAUGGGAAGAACAGAUGGGGAGGUGAAAGGCUUAGGGAGGAUGAUGCGAGGAUACGAGAGGGUGUGGGUAUGGAUAUGGGUCUGGUUAUGGGAACCUGCAACUAAAAUAGCCAGCAGCAUUUUUGCGUUUGCGUUGUUUAAACAUGCGCAAAGUUGGGGGUUUUGAACUUUUAUCAAACAUACGCCAAGCCAACCUGAUCCGAUCCUAGGCAGAACGGAACAGAGCAGAGCAGAGCGGAGUAAAACCCCGUCUGGGACAAUCUCUGCCGGGCCAAGAGCAAGCCGAGACAUGGUUUUGGGAUGGCCCAACAACUCUAUCCUACCCUCCUCGUUUGCUCUCUGUGUAUUGGUGAGGAUGUAAAAGAAAAACUAUCAGCGCCCUGGGGCCGGGCUCUUGUUAUUCCAGCUUGGCUCAUUUCCUAGUUUUGGAGGGGGACUGGCCGCCUACGCUCGAUAGAGCCAGAAAGGACAUUAAGGAAAUUACCAAAAUUAGUAAUGGCAUAUAAAUUACUUAAAGCACAGGCCGAAAUUUAGAACUCUAGUCGAGAUCUGAGCAAUAGAUAGACCUUAAACUUUUUCUCUACGCAUUCUACCUUAUUGGCAUAAGUACUGCAUAAGACUCGCGGCUGUUGCCGAAUAAAAAACUGGACAGCUUGCCGCGCUGUCUGUCUCUUCCUUUUUCGCUCUCUCUCUGACAGUCUGUCUGCUCAAAAUUUACAUUGCAUUCAUUUGGGGACUCUUGACGGUUCUGGCUUUCAAUUUUCAUUAAACUAGACGGAUAUUAGCUCCUUGAGGACUGCUGUCUGAGAAUUUGCUCAUGUUUAGAGGGCGCAACAAAUAACUAAAUUGCACAUUGAAAUCUUUUAAUCCCAAUGAACUGUGCAGAUCUGUCCGAGUUUGUGUCCGUGUCGUCAUCUCUGCUCCUCUGCUGCCCUGCCUGGAGAACAACAAGUAAACGUUUCAGGCAUUCACUUUAUCGACAGGGGAUUAGGUCUGGCAAAGAACCAUCCACGUAGCAGCAGGUCCCCUUGUUCAAGCGCCUUGCAGUGUUGCUUUCUAUUUGGUUUCGUCCCGUGCUCACUUUAAAUUGAGAAUUAUUGUCGCAAGCAACUGUCUGUGUAUUUGUGUGUCUGGGUCAGCCCGGGGGUCCCAGCCCCUGAUAAGGAUAUAUUGUGUCUCACGCAGUUUGGACAGCUUUAAUCUCGGGCCAAGCUCCGGAGUCCGGACGGAGCGCGUACGUGCUUAAUUUUGUUUGCACUUUUAAGCCAGCCUCCAGCCCCAGCUUCAGCUCCUGCUUCGACUCUGGACCAGCUACGCCUGCAGUUAGGCUACAAAAAUCAUGGGGAAGCGCCAGAGGAUGGGGCCGCCGCAUGCGCUUGGCCAGGGAUUAGCGCUGAUUGAAAUUGCAAAUGAAAAUUUAUUUUUACUGCGCCUGGGUCGAGACACCCUGACUCCCGUCCCCGACACAAUGUUAGUUUAGCUUAGCUCUUGGCCAGUGAAUGAGAGAAAGGGAAAGAGACCGCCUGCGGGUCGGAGAUAGCUUUUUUUUCCACCGCUACACUACCCCAUUGUAUUAACAUUUUAUUGAGUUACUGACGUUUUAUUUUUGUAUAAUUAAAUAAAGCCCCGGCUUAGCGUUUGAUUUUAAUUUGUGCGACAUUUGUCCGCUCAGGAAGCCCGGAUAGUUCCGUCUGCAUUAAUGUGUCAUAUAAAAUGCAGCUGCCCCAAUCCCUGCUAAUGUUCCUGCCCCGUGCAUCUGCACCAUCCUAGUUCGGAACCGGCAAUUAUUUUGCCAUAAAUAUGUUUUAUAUAAAUAUUAAUGUGACUGCCGCAGGAUUAAUUUCAAAAAUUAUUUCGCUUUUUUCGAGGCUUUUUAAAGCCCUGUUCAGUCGCAGGCGUUGGCGCAUAAUUUAUUGUCCUGCCGAUUGAGUGUCUGUUUGCACAGCUGUGUCCGCCCAGCAGCUUAACCAAUUGAUUGCCCGGUCGGACAGAGGGGGAAAGUGGCUUAUAUGGAAAUUAAUAUUCCCCCAGCUCCAUGUCCUCGUAGUACUGCUACCACUCUGAUAAAGAUCUUUAUUGAAGCUGGACGAACUUGUGCUAAUUAAGAUAUGCUCGGAGGAGGAGCGGCACACACAGUUUGCUGUGCGGAAAACAAUGGUAAAGAGGGCGCCCGCUCGCCUAAGCAAAUAUUAACAAUCCUCCAUGUAAGCCGCGCAUUUUCUCAGCCACUUUUUUAAUAAUAAAAAUUUCAUUAUUUCAAAAAACGGAGGAGUGUUCUCCUGUUACCCUACGAUUUCGCCAUUUUCCCUUUGCAUGUACAUACAACGUUUUUAAUUAAAAAAUCCUUUGGUCAAGCAAUUACGGGGCCACAUUAAAAUAAACACUGAGCCAGAACCAGAACCAGCCCCAUCCGCAUUCGCAUCCCUAGCCCCGUUCUCUAAAAGGCAAGAGAACCCUGGACCCUUGUUGGCACAUUAUUAAAGCGGAAUGUAUUACAAACUAAGCUUUCAUCUAAGGGAACGGGCGCCCCGGCUGACCUAAGUAAAUAUUAAUAAUACAUAUUAAUAACGACGGGCACUGCCUGCCCUUUCGGCUAUUUGCACGUAAUUCCUGUAAUGCAUAAUUACGGGCAGCAUAUGACGAUGCAGAGGUCCCUUUGGGAGGCUGCGCGGCUGUGGGCUGGGAAUUCGGGAUUAGGCAAUUACAAAUAUUUUUCCGUUGCAAGUCUAAUGCAUUCUAAACUUUAAUAUUCAAGAAACAAGAACCAUCUUAAAUACAUCUCCAUAGCUCAUUUCUCUAUCCCACCGCAUGCUCCAGCAGAAGCCACACCUUUGCAAAGCUUUGGUUUGGAAUUUAUGGCACACUUUUAGGCGCACUGUCAUUAGAACGGAAAUAAGCCGACAAAACUUCUUUAAUGCCUUCAGUAUCGGUGUCGGUGUUGGUGUUGCUGUUGGUGUCUGUGUCUGUGUCGACGGCCUUAGCCGGGCUUACUUAAAAAUUACAUAAAUUUUGCUUUAUGUGGCCCAGAGCCAGAGCCAGGGCCUGGCCUGGUCCGUGAAUAAGCCAUGCAAUCUUUAAAAACCCAUCCAUAAAGUAUGCAAUUAAAUUUUCACUUAAACGAUUAUCACAUAAAUCCCCACAUAGCACAUAGCACACAUUGGAACUGGCACUAGAGGGAGGGAAGGAGUCGUAAAGACCAGGCCGGAGUCAAACGUGUUUGCAUUUAAAUUAAAAGAGCCAUUUUUCUUCGACACGGCCACGAUUAGAGCGGAAUGAGCCAAGGUGGGCAUGCCGAACAGACAGUGUGGGAGGUGUGUUACGACCACAAAGAACCCGCCCACCUUAUGAUAAGACCAUUACAGAGUCUGGCCAAGUAUCUGGCCUGAACCGCAGCACGCCUCUCACGUACACGGAACACAUACGGAACCGAAACGAACCGAACCGAACCCGUUGUGAAUGUGUAUAUAUUUGUUUAUGUUAAUUGCCAUUGAAUCCAUUUCCAUUAAGAUGCAAGUCCUGCUCUUGACGAUAAUUCCACACAUACACGCACACACACAUACAGAGCUUUAAGGAGGAUAGGAGAAGGAUGCUCGCAUAAUUGCUUACAGGGGAAAGCGCACAAAAGUAUGCCUUGACCGUGGCAAACGUUAAGCUCCGACCCAGCCCGGCCCGGUCCGGUCUUGCUUCCUCGUUGCCUUUGCUUUUCAAUAUGCACAGCAAUAUCCUUGGGUAAACACAGAUCCUGGUCCCUGGACUGGUGCGAGCACUAGUCCUGCUUCUGCUCUUGGUCCUGGCUCUGUCGUGUGGCAGCUCCGGCUUGGCCAUUUUAUUAUACAAUAACAAAAAAGCUCCAGCAUACCAAGUGGCGCACUAAUGCCAACGCACCGCACCGACCCGCUCUCCAUUGCCACUGGUGAAUCUCCGGAACGUGCCCUUACAUAUUAGUAAACUUCAUAAUUUUUAAUUGAUACAUUAAAUUCCGUGCAAAUAUUGAUCGAGCUGAGUAGUAUGCCGCCCCGCUGGUGAAAUGUUUUUUUGUCGGCUUUCACAUGGAUUUUUUGUGGGGGAGGCAUCUUAGUUGAGUGACAGCUUAACGAUGUAAAGCCCAGUUUAUUAUGCAUGGCGAGAUGGCUGGGAUUACUUGCCCAAUGCUCAAAAGAAGGCAAUGUUUGCCCUACUUCGUCUACUCCUCAGACAGUAUUUUGGCUUCUUCCUACCAUAGAUGUUUUAAUAAACAGCGCCUAAAAAAUUCCCGCAGAUCAACCCAAGUGCUGCUGUUCUAUGCAUCAGUUUGCUCUGGAGUCGUGUUCCAUUAGUGGACUGUUGCCCUUUUCAUAAUCUGCUUCUUCGCACUGUGUUCAAGAAAUUCACACAAGAAAUUCGCAUUCAUACUCGUAUAUUGGGCAGCGGGAGCGAGUAUCCCCCGGUCCGACUGUUUGCUGUCUAGGGCCAAACACUCAAAAGCAAUUUGCCCGCAUUGACUUUGCCGUUUUCAGUUUUUUCCAGCGCCAGUGCCCAGUUUUGCCGUUUUCUUUUUCGGCACUCUCUCUAUCAUCCACGUCGUCAGAGCAACUGGGGCCCCAUUUGGCACUCAACCGCAAAUGCAUUUCAACGUAAAGUUUUUAAACAAAUAUUUGCUCAACUUGCAGCCGAGGCUUGCUGGGUUGGGCUUCAUUUUUUCCCUUUUGGUUCUGUGCCUCAGUUCUGGCAUUCAAACAAUGCACAGGCUGCCGAGCAGGCACGCAGCCAGUAGCCCAGGUCCAGGCCAUGCAGCCAGCCAUAAAAUGAGCAAACGGUACGCCAUGCGGUAUGCAACAGUUUUUUGUGAGUGUAUCUCUCUCUGUGCACGCUCCUUUCAUAUUCGUAGGCAGGGACGAGGCAAACAAAUGGCACACAAAUGUAUUUGCAACUGUUGCGGCCAGGACCUUCUCCUGGCAGGCAACUCCAUAAAUGAAUGUCCUUUUGAUUUUGUUCAACGAGCCUAGCAGGCGACUCAAUUCAGCAGCUCCAAAAGGAGCUACCGCAGCUUCAGAGGAGGUCCUUUUGUUUCGGUCUGGCCCGGCAUUCUUCUAGGCUGCCCCACCUACUACUUCCUCUCUGUUUCUUUCUUCUGCUCGUUUGUAGGAAUGUUUUAAUUUGUUUUCCUAUCCGCCAGUUCUGUGGCGCUUCUUUUUAUUGCCCUGCCACGGGCUCGGUUUGAUUGUUUGCCUCUGCCACUUGUUUAUGUGCGGCCGCUUCCUAGACCCACCCGCCUUCUCCGGCUGCCUCCGAUUUCUGUUUGCAUUCAUGACACACGACACACGCGGAAUGCUACGGAUACUCGUGAUUCCCUCUGCUUUCUACUCCGAGCACUGUAGUGAGGUCGUUAAAUCUUCUUCUUAUAUACACUCGUAUAUUUAUUUUAUUGUUUGCUUGGAUGAUUAAUAGAAGUCAUAAUAAUAUGAAGAGAAUUUCAAUUCCAUACAAAAAUAUUUAAUUAAAACAUUGGCUCAUUCCCCUCUCUUGUUCUCUCUUUACUUACAGGUAAGUGACGUCCAUCCAGAACAUCCUGGACAAAGCGUAAGUCCGUUCGCCUAAUGAACAACAAUAUCCGCGGGCAAAUCUAUUUACUGGGUGUGGAGUGGAAGUCGGAGCGGGAGUGCAGUCACCGCACGCUUUUGUAUUUAAUUACAAAAGCAACUAUCUUUCAAUUAUUUACACCUGCAACAAAAACCGUAGCCAGACCGUGUCCGUAUCUGUGUCCGUGUCUGUGUCUGGCCUCAAUGGGGCUGCACUUCUUGGCAAGCCAAACAAAAUAUAUAUCCGCUCUUUACAUUGAUUACCCCAUGGACCUCCUGGUCCUGAGGGGUCGGAUUGGGACUUGGACGGGGACUGGGGCUGGAAUCCGCGCAGUCACUUACUCUCGCCCACUUGACGACCGCGCCCACUUUCGAUAAUUAAUUGCAGACAUCAGUUGCAGUUGCCAGUGUUUUCGACUGUGGGUGGGGGUUUUCGUUGGGCUAUUUUCCGGAAGUGGAAGUGGAAGUAUGAAUGGGGUUUGGGGGAGGGAGAAAUGGAGCAUCCCAUCAAUUUGUCUUUCAGUUUGUAGUAUACUUUUAGGUGGGCUAGCAAUUGUUCUGCAGACGCGAUUCGCGGACCAAACAGAGCUGGAGUGAAGUGCAAUUACAAAUGCAACUCAAGUAGCAGCGAAUCGGGUAGUCAGACGAGAAGCGAGCGGAAAAACGCUUCAGGAAAUGCUAUUAGUUGGAGUGACACAGGCAAAUAAAAGCGAGUUGAGUGCGCAGGCACACUACAAUGGAGACGAAUGUCGAACGCCAAAAAGUAUGCAACAAUUUGGUAUGUGGAACAAAGGAAAAUCCUGUUAUGAAUACACCAGUGCUAGUAUUUUCCACAACAUUGGAAAACCAACAGCUGAUUAUUUGAUUUAUCGAGUCUUUAAUUUAUACCUAAAGCUGGGUUCUACGGACAUGUCAAUUUAUCGAAGUGAACGAAGAUUUAUUCGUUGUGCCAGUUCAUUGGAACCGGUAAAAGCAGAUCAGUUCCUUAUCCACCAGCAGACAAAGCUGUGCAGACAAUGACCGCAAAUCUAAUAAAAAUAAAUAACAAUUAAUAUGUGCUUUGUCUCUGGCUCUCUGCUUUUCUGCUUUGUUUUCCCACUUUCGCUAUAGUCCAACGCUUUGCGUGGUUUUUAAAAGCUUAAACGUGUUGGGAUGCCUAGCUCUCGCUUCCUCUGGCUCUCUCUCCUUCUCCUUAGAUCCAGCUCUUAAAAAUUAACUUGGAAUUUCAAAUUACCUGACUGAGAAGUGGUAGAAGAGAGGAGAGUCAUGCGGGAACGCAGUUAUCUCGCGGAAUUUAAUUAAAAGAAUUGUAAAUGUUGCUUGUGGCACUUUUCCUACUGCCGACUCCUACCCGACGCAGCGAAAGUUAAAGUCUGUCUGGUCUACUUAGUCAAGUACAGCUCAUAAAUGCUCCCCGGCUUCAGAGUAUCCGCUGACUAAUUGCAUUUUAUGAAUAUUGCAUUGCAUUUGCGGUACACGGCACUGGCGGAACUGGUGGCACUGCCACGUUUCGGGCGGAGCGGGAUGAUAAAUGGCCAGCAAGCGGCUAAGUGGCUGGCCCACUCCUAUGCGAUGUGGCCGGUGCGAUUGUCAUCGUCCCUCUAAAAUGAAACCUCAGGUGUGUCCCUGCCAGUGCAUUAGAUUAAUGAAACGCUGCCGGACAGUCGGGAUGGAACUUUGGGGGACUGAAACCCUUUUCCAAUAAAUGCCAAAUUAAUUAAAAAAUACAGCGCAGAAGUAAAGAAAAAGCCAAACUCAAGCAACCCGAAAAGAAAAACUUGAGACCCACAAUGAGGUUUUCUUUUCCAUUCUCCCUUUUUUUAUAUGCGUUUUCUUUCUUUUCAUUAUAUCCCGUAUCUCUGUGUGUAUUGUAUUUUCUCUUUUUUUUCUCCCCCUCCCACUCUCCUGAUGCUCAACUUGAAAGUGUUAAUUAAAAAUUGUUUCACAGUUUAGCUGCGAAAAUGAAAAUUGAAAAAGGCAAAGGGAGUCGAGUCAGUGAGUCAGUCCCAGUUCCCUUCCCAGUCCCAAGCUUCAUAUUUUCCUUUUGCUCUUUAACUCUGCACUGUCCUGUCCUUGUCCUAUCCCUAUCCCUAACCCGGACUUGCCUUGCCUUAUUUUUUCAUUAGCCGCCUCAAUUUGAGGAAAGAACCCAAGUGUAUUUAUCUUAGGACCUCUUCGCCAACUUGUAGUUGUAAUUGCAAGUGGACUGCAGUCGGCCUCAGUCUUAGUCCCACUGACAGUCCGAGAAACUUGGCCAUACUACAGAGCUUGACCUUAGUCUACUCUUCGAGGACUUGAAGUGCUCUCCCGAUCGUUAGUGCAGCGUUGCCGGCGCUGAAUGCAGCUUCUCUAUCUGCAUCUUCUUUAAUUGCAACAACUUAAACCGCUUCGCUGCUCGGCGGAGAUGGCAGUCGCCAGCAAUUGUCCCAUAAUUAGGUUCUAUCUCAUAGCUAGAAAUCUGUUGGAAAUAGGUUAAGAUUAGAAAGGAAUAGAGUGAGCUGUAUCCCCUCUACAUUCCCCUUCUCUGUUCCUUUUUAUGCCUUCCCCUUUUUCGCUUAUCCGGAAUUCUAACGAGAAGGGACGUGUGAGACGCUUCUUACACGUCACAACUUUUAUCCCCGGCACUCAGUACUACAUCUGUACCUUAGCGGUUUUUUGUCAAAUUUUACAUUUUUUCUUCAUCUGUCAUCUACAUCUACAACACUUCUUACGCCAACACGCUCCUUUUGCACGCCCCCCUUUCCUAGAGUCACACACUGCAGAGUCAUGACAGAGGAAAGGCAGAGGCAAAGGCCGCACACUGCAGAAACAGAGUGUGAAUGAUAGAAUGUGCAAAAAACAAAUUUAAACUGCGGGCGGGUGGGUUUAGCCACUGGAAAAUAGAUCUGAUAGAUAUGGUCAUUCCCAACGGAAUGGCGUUUUUCGUUUUCUUUUAGGCGGAAGGUUACACUUGUAACAGUGUGAGCAUACAGAUUAUAGUCUCUGUCUCGGACAGACAGGCAUGGCUCUAUCGACUCGGCUAUUGAUGCUGAUCAAGAAUAUAUAUACCUUAUGGGGUCGGAAACGCUUCCUUCUUUGCUUUACAUACAACCGUUAUUCGCACAAAUACAAUAUACCCUAUUUACUCUUCGAGUACCGGGUAUAAAAACUGAAUUUUCUGUGGAAAAAAACGCUUUCCAUCAAAAUGGUUGGACUUUCUAUUUGAGUUUUUCAUUUAAUGCCGGGAGAGACUACAGCAAAAAAAUUGGCUACAGCCGCGAGAUUUUCCUUCUUAUGGCUGGGAUUUUAUGGCCGUCAGACGUUUUAUGUGGCAUUCAGACUCUCUCCUAGUUGCUCUUCGCCGUUCCUUUCUAGAGGGUGGCGGCUGUUUGUCUUGCACUGCGUGUUUUUAAUUUUGCGCGUUUCGCUUGUUCUAAUUGAAAGCCGCGUUGUGUGUACUUGAUGCGGGUGGGAAGGGUAAAAGGGUGAUAGAAAACGCAGUGGUGGGGCAUGUAUGCUUUUCCUGUCUUGUGUUUGUCUUAACAUUUAUACGCCACGCAGACUUACACGCAUACAGCACUUCCAAUUUCCUUCUGGCUGCUGCUCUACACUCGUAGAUAAAUAAUUUACUUUUUGCGCACUAAGGCACAAACAAACAUUGAGCAAGAUACAGACAGGGAACAGGGGACACUGGAUAGGAUUCGAGAAUGGGACAGGACACGGGGCAGGAACAGGAGACCGUGACAGGCAACAACUAAAAGCAACGUUGUCGGCAUAUCUUUUCUUACAGUAAAUAUUUAUAUGUAUUUCUGAGUGUUUCCUGGUGUGGGUGUGUGUGUCUAUAUCUGUGUUUGUUUAUAAUAUAAUGUACAGAAAACAGCAAAAACAGCACGUAGAUGGGGCACAGGCAGAAAGCGAAAUUUUUACCAACAUUUUUUGUGUUUGUUGAUUUUGGGCAAACAAAACUUUGCACUUCUACAGCACACCCUCCUUUCACGAAGCGAAAGAAGCGAGAAGAAUAACCCUUUUUCUGGCCAUUUCCUACCCGAAGCGGGUUCCGCUAACGCAUUUUUCUUUGCUUUUACUUCUCAUAUUUUCGUUUUCUUCGUCCCUUUUUUGAGGCCUGAAAUUAAAAAUUAAGUUUAUUUAGCCUAAGACCAGGAGCUGCCCUAAAGCGAGUGGAACGAGUCGAAGGAGUACACAGUGAGGCACAUCCGUCAAUUUGCGUUGGCUUUGCCCUUGAGUCAUGACCUUGUGGGCGUGGCUGGGGGAUGGGUCUGUAGCUAAGCUCGAUGCACUUAAAUCAUGUUAUUGCCCCAAAAACUAAAAAGUAUGCAAAUGUUCCACAGACAGGCACACACACUCAUAUACAAACUCACGUAUAAUAUGUGUGCAAAUGGGGGAGACUGAAAGAGAGACUUAAAAAAACUGCAUAGCAUAAUUUAUGGUGAUUCCGCUCCUUUCCUCGCUUCUCUUUCCCUUUGCCGUGCAAAAAACACAACAGACAAUUUGCCCUGUGUAAGAGCAUGUGAUUUGUCUUGGUUUCGCGUUGAACUCUGCCCAAAGGAUCCGCAAAAAAGAGAGACACUCUAGGAGAGGGCAAGUGCAACAAAGGCAGGGGCGGGACGAGUUUCUACUGUAUUUGCUUGGCUUGGAAAAUGUCAACAGCAGACGAUGACUAGGCCCCAGUCCAUACCAUUCCUAAAACCGCCUCUCCGUCACACCGGAGGCUGAGAACCAAAACCCCAAACGCCUGUCGCCCAUUUUGACGAAAUAGACAAAUUUGCGUUUUGUUGCAACCAAAUUCCCUGAAACUGGCAGGACUCUGCCACUGCCACAGUAUAUCUCUCUCCCUCGCUCAUGCAUUUCCCCUGCAAUAAAUCAUAUGCAGAGAGACAGCAACAGCAGCAGCAAUAACAACAACAACCAGGAGGCAGAAAAGAACGGGGCAAGCAAAAACAAUGUUGCGGCAAAAAGUUUGCUGUUCUCCUACAUGCCCCAUCGGGGUUUUUUAUUUUCCUACAACAGCAAUGUGACAAAUACAUAAAUUUGCCAAAAAUGUCGCCGCCUUUCAAAAAAUUUGAGCUGGCAAUUUGAAAUUGUUGUGCUGCCUGCCCCUCUACACCCGUGCACUGCAUCGUGCCUCCUGCGGCAUUUAAAGUAAAAAGCCUGACGACGACGCGUCACGCCCAUAAAUCAAACGGCAUCAGAAUGUGCGAAAGGGAAAAGCGACCUGGUAAAGGGUUCAGCCCGAUUAAUUUUUAAACAUUUAAUCUAUACAUGGCCUGGACUUCGAUCAGAUUGCAAUUUCUCGGGUGCUUGGGGAGGCAUUCUAUGGCGUCUUGUGCCAAAUGGCGCUAUCAUUAUUAGCCAGAUUUAUUGUGUUCUCUCCUUACUGUUUCAUAUUAAAUUAAGUAAAAACAAGAUAAACGUCUGAAGUUGUGCUUCUCGAACAAGGAAGGUAUUCGGAUUCAUAAAUGUGGGUUUGUCGUGAUUGGUUACAGACAAUAAUGGAUGUACGCUUUGCAUUUAUGGGAUUUGUCCUUUAAUGGGAACGUGUGGGUUAUUAAUUAUUAGUUAUUAGAUAUAGUUUUAAAUCAUAAAGAUAAAUAUAUUACAUGGAUUUAUAUAAAUAUAUCGACCUACCGUAAUGGCUGAUCAUGAAUACACUUCAGGGUUCUAAAUACAAUAUACCCGCAAAUGCUACGAUUACUGGGUAUACUUAUAAAAAAAAAUAAUUUCUUCCCUUGGGAUGUCGCAGGGAGAAAAACUACGAUACAUAAUUCACAUGCCAAAACAGCACGAAAUGUUUUGCAUAGCUGCGAUAGUGGGCGGGGCGUGGCAGCGGCGUCCCGGGUGUCGCGGACGAGGACAACAACAAAGUGGAAGCCAUUAAAUUGCAUGCAUGCAACUAGUAAAAAAGUACAAAAAAAGUGAAAAAGAAGAACGAGACAGAACGAAGAGCGAAGGUAACGCUACUUGCCACGCCCACGCGCUGUUUUGCACAGGCGGCCAAGAAAUGAGUUUGCACUUUUGUUUUGCAAAAAAAGGAAGCACCUGCAAUGUUGCACCUUAAAAAAUGCUGCUGAGACAGCAGACGUUGUCGGGAGAGGAGGAGGGCAUGCAACGGGACAGUGCACACCCAGAAGACGUUGCCCUGAAAGUUUUUAGCAUGUUUUUCAUAUUUAUCCUGGCAAAAAGAGCACGGCAGACAGGCAGCCAUGCGCCUGAAGGAGCAGGAGCACUGAAGGGUUAAGAUGCGUGUGCGAAAUUAUUUAGCCAAAGUGUCAGAAUGCCAGCUAGCCAUCCUCCACUUCUGCCUAAGUACUGCCCUCUCCGCUGUGCUGAAAUACUUGUCUGCCUUAUUUAUUGCGUACCCCCAGGCGCGCACACAAACGCCCACACACGAGCGCUCCUCCAGCUACCAGUGUAUGUGUGUGUACACCUGUGUGUCAGGUGUCCGUGCCUGAAGCUAGGAAAAUACUUUGUAAACAUUUCCUAUUUCUAUUAGCGAACCCUCUCGUCAACUCUCCGUUGCUUUCCCGUUGGCCCACAUGGCCUUCAAAAAAUUGCAUCCCCUCUGCGCUGUACAGCGCCCAAAACUAUGCAACAAUGUUUUGUCAGACAGACAGGGGGUAAAAAGUUUGCCCAUAAGUGCUUCGAGUCCCUAGAAAAGUACAAAUAUCUUACCACUUUGGCCACCUUAUCGAUGCCCCAGCUGAACCGAGCCCGAUCCCGCGGCUAUGGGGCCAUAAAUUAUAUUUUUUGAAGUCUCACCCAGAGACAGAGACAGUGCCAAAAAUAAAAGCAACAACAACCAGUGAGAAAGAGACUGAAAAGUUUUUGGCAGUUAUUACCAAGUGUUUUGUCGCCUCUUCCCCCCGUCCUGAAGUUGCAUAUCUGUAAACAUUUUUUGCGACUUUGAAGCGCACCUGAAAAAAGUUGCGAGCGAGCAGAGAGUUGGAAAGGAUAUCUCCCGCUCGCUUACUUUGGCCGAAACUUUGACUGCAGUUUGAGAAAAAGUUUUUGAAGGUUGCUAGACCUUUAAUUAUUUUGUGAUAAAUGAUGACAUUGGAGUGCUGGAACAGGGCAAAAACAAUUACAAAUACGUGUUUGUGUAGGAGUAAGAGUAUAGGUAGUCGUAGAGCUCGUAGAGAAUUUGCUGCGUCAGAGGCGAACACUUCAUUAGCACCUGCCAGCCCUAGAAGAUGAGAUCUCUCCUCGCACCACCUUUGACAAAGCCAAACACGAAAAUAUUAGUGCAAGCAACAGCUGACAGUGACAUGGCCCCACAGAAACAGUGGGCCCAAGAAUGUCCAGCCCAUCAUCCACUUAAAAGCGCUUUAAACCGGAAUAAUCCUGGACAGACAAAGCCGUCCACGGCCACCGCGGACAGCUACAGCUACAGCUCCAGCCCAGUCGAUGAUUGAUGAUGGCGUGUGACACUAAUGGUGAUUGUUGAUAUUUUAUCACAUAUUCUAGAGCGAAAAAAGGGCCACAACCACCUGCAAUUUGCUGCUACACUGGAACAUAUUUUUUUUCACAAAUAUCCCCUAUCCGUCUGCUAUCCGAUUCCUUGGUAUAAUUUUACAUUACAAUAGGGCUUUAUGUGCGGACGCCUAAAACUAUGCAACAGCUUCCAUGAUUUAUGGGUGGUCCUGGAACGACUCCGAAAACAAUUACUCAAAUUUGAUAUUUCCUUAGGCGGGAAGGGAUUUGGAACAAGUGUUUUCGGCUAGAUUAAAUAUACUUUCUAGGUGCUCCAUUUUUAUUAUUUUGGGUUGAUUAAUGUUCGUUCAGUUCGCCGACUUGAAAGAGGCCCAAACUGACUGGGGAUCAGAUCUGGGGAUAUUAACGUAAAAUAUUUUAGGCUUCGUUCCGAUGGCUAAUCCCCGCCAAACAAUUCAUUCAACUGCAUUCCAAAUGAACCACAGCCAUUCCAGGCUUCCGGCGAGCUGACCCACCCUCUAGUGGAAUCAAUUGUUAAUUAACUUUAGUGGAAAACAUUUCUCCAACUGACUGAACACUGGCAAAAAUUCCAAAAAUUGUUGGUCUAGCCACUGAACAAUUCACACAAGCGGAAGUCAUGGCCGCGCAUUGGGCAAAUGCUAUUAAUGUAAUUUGGCAUUUAUUUAUGCAUUGCCAUUAAAACAAAUAGACACGCGGCGAGCGAAUCAUAAUGCAAAAUGAUAUAAUAAUUAUAAUUGUGCUGACAGACAAAUAACAAGUAUUGUCCCCGACAUUUGAUGAACAUUGAAAAUGCAUUUUUACACACUCAUUUGCAUGUAGCGAUUGCAACUCAAUUUUAACAUAAAUAAGUUUCCAUUUGAUCUGUCAUCCCUCUGCAGGCAUGUCCUUUGUUCGUAUGUAUUUACCGUCCGCUCUUUUCCAUUUUUCCACUAAUCUCUCUGGUAGUUUACCGUGCUAAGCCUGAAAUUGGCGGCUUUUCCUUGAUACAUUUUCUCCGGCUUGCCGCCGGCCGUUUUAAUUUUAAUUAAAAAUCAAAAAUAAUUAGCUAUUUGUUUAAUUACAUGAAAAUCAUUUGCGCCUGGUUGCAGCCAUUAAUAUUUAUUUGAAAUAUAUUUCCCUGCUCAAUCCGUCUCGGCUUCCCUUUUAUUUGCUUGUUGCAUUAUUUAUUAACGUUUCAAACAUGUGUCAACAUGGCCGCUGGCCAAAAAUAUAUGCAAAUAUAAAUGAGGGAACAGAUAAAUAUAUUGAAAAUGGCAUAAGCAUGUAUCGGGAUACGUUUAUACAUUUGUACAUAAAGUGCAUAUACAUACAUAUGUAUAUGUAGAUAUCUAUGAGUAUCUGCAUCUGUGGAUGUGGCAGAUGAAUUAUGUCCGUGCCAGGCCGUAAAUGCAUAUUUAAUUACAAAAUUAAUUAACAUGAAAAAUAACUAACGCAAAAGGUAUUAUAGCAGAAAAAAAUCGUAGAAAUAAAAUAGAGUUAUGAAAAAGUCUAUAUAUGUAUGUAUACUAUGUACAUAUAUUUAAUAAUUGUAUAAUACAGAGUUCACUUGUACGUGGCAAAAUUAAAGACAAAUAUACGUUUUUUUAGCAUUUGUUCAUAUUUAAUUAAAUUAAAAGCAUUUAUGGGAAUUUAUUUCCAUAUAUUUUAGUCCCUACGUUUCGCUUUUAUCCCUUUCUUCAUUCGGUUCUCAAUCACUCACUGAGUACAUUCAUUUGCCUGUUCCCAAUGUUCCCCAAUCAAUUUUAAUUAAAUUAAUUCCUCAAAUUUAGCACACUUCCAGACCACAGGCAAACUCGGGCCAGGUCCUAGGAGAAGGGAAAGUUUUUCCACCACCCCCCUUAACCGAAAUUAGUUAAUAUUUGGCCUGGGUCUGGUUCUGGCUCCUAACCAUGGAACAGGCCAUGUCCCCCCGGGCAAAUAUCACUUACUUAUGUUUAGUUGUUGGGUAAUAACUUGUACUUUGCCUUCCUCUGGCCAAGGGCUGUGGCGCCUGCUGUUAAUGACACAACCGCAAACAAAGUGCGAGGAGCACACAUACGCACAUAUGUGUGCAUGGAAAGGGGAGAAGUACGAGCAAAGCUUGUUGUGUAAUGGCAUAGCUCAUUAGCUUUGCAGGCAAACAAGUUUUAAAGCAUGCAUUUAGGAGCGCUGCGGUUUUACAGUCAGCCUCAGCCUCAGGCUGCAGGCUCUCGCUGUCUCUACCAUGCGAAUCCGUGUGUGUGUGUGUGUGUUGACACAACAAUUAAAAGCAUUUAAAAUAAAGCAUGCCACACUCGUAGGCGGCUGUAGGCACCACACAGCCACAUAGCCAGGCUCUGCCACAACACGCUCCUGCGUAGCCCCUCCUGCAAAUGCAUAAAUUCUGCCUUACUGCUGUCUGUCUGUGUCUGUGUCUAUUUCUGUGGCUAUGUGUGCGUGUGGGUUAGUCACUAAUUAGCAUGUCUUUAGCUUUGGGAUGCCUUAUGGCAUUGGCACUGGCACUGGCGCUAGCAGUUCUGUGGCCAUAAACCCCAGAGAGAAUGGCUAGUUAUAACACAUAUGGCAGACUGAAAGUGGAGCCAUAAGCAUUCUAUUUGUGUGAAGAGUAUCCCCGCCUCGACUUGGCAAUUAGUUUCCCUGAUGUCUGACCAAACAUUGUUUUGGCAUUCGUAAUUAUGUCCUGCCAGGGGCCAUUUAACAUUUAACAUUGAACUACAGCUUGAACAGGCUACAGCCUGGUCAACCAGUCCAACCCCUCAACACCACAACUCGAUUGACAGACACAUUAAAUUUUCAAGGCAACAAAUUUUACUUCAAACAAAAGACAAAUUACCACGGUCUCAGGAAUUCUUUCCUCUAUCAGACGCCGCCAAUCUGCGACUCUUUUUCAACUGCCUUUUUUCUCAACUCGACGCGACUCGACUCGACUUGACUCUUGGAUCAAGUCUACGUCAAGUGUUUGCCAAGGAGAGUGGAGCAGACUUAUCGGGUCUGGCCCGUUGUUUGCUAAAUUGCAAACACAUGCUGCUUCCAAUGGCGCACAUCCAGCGGUGGCAUGGACUGCAAUAGGACUACGAACAGGGGAGCAGGACAAUGGCCAAAGUUUAAUCAGGCGUGAAAUCAAGCAGGUGUUUCAAUUUUUACCAAAUUGACUUGAAUCUACCUGACUGCCUUCGUACCAUACUCUCCCUUCAUCCGUGUCUUGACGGGCGUUGAUAAAUCGCUCCUAAAUCUGAUACAACGUCUGGGGGCGAUGUCGUUGUCAGGUCGUCUCAUUAAAACGAUUAUUAUGCAUUGCAUUUCUGAUUAUACAAUCAAAUUAAAACUUAUUUAUGCAAUGAAUCAGUAGGGCGAUACUCGCAUGCGAGUAGGAGUCCGUGGAUUACAAAAAAGUAAUCAUUAUAAUUCUUUUUGCUAGUAUUUUUCUAUGUGGCAUAUAAUAUUUCACAUUUAUUUUUGGACGGUGGCUGAAGACGGACGGCGCCCAUGGACAAAUGUUACGAGGAACAGUGGCACUGUUAAUGCAAUGUAAAAAUCAAACAAACAAACAAAAAAUUAAUUAUAUAAAAAAUACUCAACAAUAAUCUGGCCAUGGGAGUACGGUCCAAGCACUGAUUUUGAAUAUAUCUGGACUGCAAAACAAUUGUAAUUAUUAUAUAAUUAUAUAUAUACAUACAUGUUAUAUAUGUAUCCAAACCGAACCGCAACACAAUGCCCUCUCGGUUGUGACCAGCGUUGUGUGCCCACCUACGCAACUCCCCACCCACAACUUCCUCAUGUGUUGUUCAUUCUGCUUCUGUUUGCUGUUUGGGGGAAUCCCAUUUUUUCCUGUUUUCUGUUUAUUAUGUCAAGCAUAAAUUGGCAUUUUCAACUGGAUUUGCAUGUUAAUUAAAAUGGCGCACGCACGGACAGUGGAAAGCAAAUUCAGACACGGAAUUAAAUCCCCUAUCUCUCGCUCUCUUGUCCUCUCUUUCAGCUCUCUCUCUUACUCCCUUAACAGCUGACCGAGCAAGCAGUGGGGGUUCCUUGUGGGCUUACGAGGAGUGCGCAGACCAGAUCGAUGACAGGCGGCAGGCCCGGGCUCUGCACUUCACCCGCGGCUGGUUGCAUUUCAUUUUGAACUCUAUUUACUUGAAUGUUCGCAAAGCAGAAGCAAAAGCAAAAGAAGACGAAGUGCAGUGCAGCAGCAGAAGCAACAGCAACUCUGAGUAACGUCCCCAAUCCCCCUUCAAAUCCCAGUCCCAACUGAACUGAACUCUACAACACAGAACGCGACCCGACCAACGACCUACACUUGACUUAACCAGCAUUGUCGAUUGCAAAGACCCGCCUUACAGAGCUGCAACGCCUUCUGGCGGAGGAGGAACAGGACUACAGCAAGACUUUAAUGAUGAUUUCUUUGGCGCUUAAGUCGUUUAAACUGCGCCCCCAUCUUCGACGGCAACGGCGACUUGGGCUUGGGCUUGGACGUCGACGUCUUCUUCGUUCUCGUCGUCAUGGACUUGACGAGGGCCUUUUUGUGUGUCUGACUGGGGAAGCGGGUGGAGUUCUUCGCUUCGCUUUUUUAUUGCUCAAGUCUCCUUUCAUGUGCAUUAUGGAGCACUCGUCGUCAUCGUCGUCUUCGCUCUCUUGAGCUGCUUUAACCACUUGACUUGGCCUAGAGGAGGCAGCAGCGGCACCAACCCUGAGCCGGUACAGGUCCUGGCACAUCCCGCAUCCACUUGGCGGGCUUAAAGAUUGCGCUCGUCUUGAUGGAAUUAUGGACAAGUGCAUAGUCGUAAAGUUCAAUAUUUUUAUAGUUCAGUGUCUGUAUCUCUCUCACUACCUAAAAGUCUGCAAACAUUGAUGGCUUUCCCCUUCCCAAUUGCAAGCCCCUGCCAAUUUCCAGCUGCCACGCAGACUGAAACAUUUAUCAACUAUUAAAUAAAUGUGCAGCUGAGUUGUACUUAUUAAUGCAGCUGAAAAUUGUAUAAUUUAUUAUAAGCAGCCUCUGCUUGUCAGCGAUAGUCCGGAACCCUCUUCCGCUGCCCAUUUAAUUGACAUAUUCAAAAUAUUAAAAUGCAUCCGUGUGCAGAAAUGUUCUGGGCACUCUUUUCGGGGAUGGCUCUGCAUUUGUACAGCUAGGCAGUGCUUUGUGGGCAAUUGUGAAUUUUUAAUCAAGUAAAUAACUCGGUGCACGAAACGCAAACAAACUGACAGAACAGGACGGGACAAAAAAGCAACCAGAUAGGACACAUAGCAGAACAGCACAGAACAGAACAGGAUGGGACUACUAACCGCAAUGUGACUGAUUUCCCUUUUUGGUUUUACCAAAGCCAUGGAGAAAGCAACAAUCCAAUCCGUAAACACUGCAGUACAAGUCGGUAAAUGCUCUUUAAUGACACUUUAAUUGGUUACGUAUUUGAAUAUAUUUGAGAAAGAUACAGGCCCUAUAAACUGUAUCCUUUAACGCGUAACACUUCCAGGUCGAUUUCGAUUUAAUUGAACUAAAUACAAUGAAGAGACAAAAUGAGAAAGGAGUUCAGCCUCAUUCGGAAGCCUGUGAAGCCUCACACGUUGAGCGGAAAAAAGCUGCAGAGUCUGAAAAAUUAAUAACAAAAUUUGCAACGCCAGAAGAAUGACAGCGAAAAAAGGGGCGGCCAGAAACCAACCGCUCGGGGUGUGGCUGUAUUAUUAAUUAAAUGACGCUUAAAAGUAUGCUAACAGAAACGAGCUUAGGGCAGGCAACUACUGCAGUAUGGGAAACUUUCCACUUUUUGUGGCAAAAAUAAUAACUUCCAAACAAAACAAUAUAUUUCGUUUUUUCAUUUCAGUGUUCUUUUUUCAUUCAGUUUAAAAUCUCACUUUUAUUUUAUUUUUAAUUUUUAUCAAACAAAAAAAGAUGGGAAUAUUUUAAGCAGUGCUAUAUUAUAUAAAAAUGUCAUGGCCGGAUUUAAAAAAAUUGAAAACUAGAAGAUAAUUGGAAUUUUACAUUGACUUCCUUACAUACUGCUAGCAGAUUUUGUUCUUUGUGUUGUAGAAAUAAUGUACACAAUAGCCCUGCACGUCAGCGCAGAGACACUGUAAAUAUAUAAAAUUUAGCCAAUCUGCACAUUUUCUUUCGAUUUGUUUCAAGUUUGUGCAACAUUUUUCAACUUAAUCGAAAACUGUCAAAACAAAUUGAAAGGGUGGAAGGCAAACAGCUCACUUUAACAGGUGCUAUCUAAACAGUAGCGCGCAUUGUUUUGGGUACAAAACAUUAAAGACUGAUGUUGUUCUUAUGUAUAUCGGUUAAAAAAAUUGUAUUUUAUCGUCUUUUGAAAAACGAGUUUUGGCCAGAAAAAGUGGUCAAUUGCCCAUAGUAUACUGUACGGAAUUCUCAACGUUUAUUUAUUUUUUCUGCAAAUUUCGAUUUUGUUUUUGCCUAUCGACGGCAGCUGGAAAUUUAUUAUCAGUGACAGCCAGACGGACAAGCAGCCUCCGAGCGAGAGAAGUCGUUGACAAAAAUUUAAUAAACUAAAAACCGCAGGAUAUUUACAUUGCACUCGUUUGCAGGCUACCUAUCAGUAUCCGUGUAUGUGUCGGUGUUCGUGUAUUUUCGCUCGUGUGCCCGGCAUUUCAUUUCGAAACAGUGUAAAAUUAGUUUGUCUGUGCCAUAUUUUUGUGGAUAAUUUUUUGUGUUGAGAGAGCUGCCUCGAAAUUAGUUGCUGUUUAUCGCAUAUUUGGUCAUGCAUAAAAUGCACUGAUUGGUGUUGCAUAACUCUGGACCAAGCCAGAGCUGAUUAUUUAGUUGUUUUGGCUGCCACUGUCAAGGCCCGAAGGCAAUUGAGGCUCUUCGCCAGACCUUUGAUUUAUUAUGGAGAACUCAUGUCCAGGCACCACUUUACAAAUUAAAGCUCCUUUCAUUUAAAUGACAGCAAAGACAGAAAAGGUCACCUCAUCAUCAUUUAUAAUUUAAAUGACAUUCGUAUGUGCGUUUCGUUUUUUUUUAUGUACAUAUCUGUCUCGAAUAUCUUCUAAAGAAUCUAAAGAAAUGGUAAUUAAAAACUGAAUGAAUCUACCGAAGCUGUACAGAAAAGGUAUCCUUUAUAGUGACAGUUGAAAGAUAUGUAGGAAAUACGUAUAGUUGUUCCGGGGAAGAGAGUAGAGUUGGAAACGCUGUAGUAGUGUUGUUUUUUCUUUUCGUUGUUUUGCUUUUAAUUUCGGAGCACCUUCUAUUAUGUAGAGCUCUAUUCAUGCAAAUGGCGUUUGGCUUUGACUUUAAAAUUCCGAAAAUCUUUAGCUUAAAGUUGUGCCAGCAAUUAAGGCAUGCUUCAUUGGCUGCCAAAAGGUACAUAAACUACGUGAAUGUUUCUAUGCGACCACACCCUCCUUCUGGUUACAUCCCUCCCUUCAUCCAGAGAACUCACACCCAUCCGACCCUUAGACCCGCUCCGCUUUUCAUGUAAACGCUUGCUCUGCCAUUCGUUCCGAGUCAUUUCAUUUUCACUUUGUUGCCGGAGACGUAGACGGAGAGACGGAAAACGAGAUGUAGUUGGAGUCGUGGCUAGUCGAGUCGAGUCCUAGUCCUACAAUACCAUUUGUGCUGGGUGCCUUUUGCCCAUAGUUCCACCUCACUAGCUACCCAUGGCACUGACUUAAAAUGACAAACAACAUUGGGACUCCUUGUCGGAGUCCUGAAUCCUGAAAAACGAAAAAUGCUUUUCUAUCACACACACACACACACACACACACGCAAAGAGUAGGGGCAGACGCGUACAUGCCAUUGCACAAUCAUUGGAUUCCGAAACAUUUCUAGAAUAUUUAAUAAGAAAACUGAAAAUCGUUGAAAUGCCAGCAACACUCAUAAUAUCGUUUCUGCCUCCUCCUCCUCCUCCUCCUCCACCUCCACCUCCCCCUCCUACCCAUCCUGCGUGAGAGUCUAGGUCGAUUGUCGAUAUGCGUGCCUUGUGUGUGUGCUGCACCCCAGCCACUCGUCCGAUUUCUCCUGCUAGGGCAGCCUUUCUCGAUGAAAGGCUAAGGUCAAAGACAAUAUUGAAAUGCCAAUUGAACUUUUAGCUAUUAUUAAAAUUUUACUGGUACUGCACUCGUUUCCACAAAAGCAGGAGCUAGAGCAGGACCCAGUACCAGUUGAAAAUGUCGUUAGGAUCCUGCCCAUUAAUGGCACAUUUUGGGCAUGGCCUUUAAACGUUUUGGUAAUUGAUUCUUUGAGGCACAGAGUGCAUAGCGUAGCACUGGUCCAUGAUUUAGGGAUAGGGGAACAAUCGUUUUCAAUUUAUGGAUAUGGGAAUGGUAAAGGGAAUACUAUGAUUAUUUUCAGUAUCAAAGGGGAUUAUUAGUGUAGAGAUUCACUUUACAAAACCUCAUUGAAUUCAAACUAUAUCUGAUUUUCCUCUCUCUCUUUCUUUAUAUCUUUGCAGGUAUGUACUACAAAUUUGCAUAGCUCCAAGGAUAUCAAUCCUUUGCCCUAUUCUAGCGUAAGUUCAAGUGCCUUUGUCUUGCCCCGUCCUGCCCAGUCCAGUCUGGGCACCGUCGUGGACAGUGAAAAAUUUGUAUAGCUUAUUAUUAAUAACAAUGUAAGGAGGUAAAACCCCAUCAAGUAGCUAAAUCUUGGGAAGCAUUUAAGGAGCAUGUCAGAAACAAAACGACGGGAAAAGCCACCACCUCCUCCUAGCAGUCGACGACAUUGACAGUGAUUACAAGCUGAAAGUAUGAAAAACAGCAAAAACUACUUAAGCACAAGAAAUAACAAAAGGCUGGCCUGAACGUCAUCCCGUGACAUCUCAGCUUGGAGAGUCGUAGCCGGCCAAAGACCAAGACGAAGACGGAGACAGAGACGCAGACUGUAGACAAAUUUUUUGCAUAAACACAGACGACAAAGCCAACUACGGACUGCACUUAAAACAAGAGUCGCCAACGGGGGACCAAGACAAAUCGAAGCCGAAAGCCAUCGAGCAGCGAAGAGAUGGCCAAGGAGGAAUUUUCUCAAUGCUUGACGUGAGAUGCGAAUUUUUCAAUAAGUGCAACCGAUGGAAAGAGGCGGCGCGAGGCGACGGCAGGCCAUCCAGGGACCGUAUAAUAAUUUGAGAAAGGGCAGAAAUGGGGGCGCGGUAGGACAAGCAUCGUUUAAAAUGUGGCUGGUCGAGGGCAGGACUCUAGGAUGGACUGGGUCUCGGACUAGGAGCAGGAAGCACAUAAGUUGAAACGGCUCAAAAUGCAAAGUAGACGACAUCCGCUUUGAGAUUGGAUGACGUUCGUUCAGGCUCUGCUGCUGGCCCUGGUCUCUGGUCUCGGUCCUCGUCAGCCCUAGCAUCGUCGUGAAGUAUUAAAAGCAAAUAAGUAAUAAAAAUAAUAAUGGAGCAUUUUUACCAUUUUUUUGCCCCCAACGAAAGGGAGCAGCAGCGGCACACAGAAAAAAAAGGAUAAGCAUCUUAGCGCAAUUUCUUGCUGCCUUCUCAAUAUAACAAAAGGUCCUCUGCCGAAAAUCGGAGGAGUGGGCAGGCAGACGAGAAGGAAGGGUCCGCUGCUGUUUUGUCCUUUAUUUCAAUUUUUUUCGCUCAUAUUUCCACUUCCCUUGCCCCAUCCAGUUUUCUUUUCCCAGUUUCUUUCCCCAAAGGGACACCAACAUAAAUGCAGGAAAUUUGAAUGGACGAGCGCAGUGAAUGAAAUUUGCAAAUAUUUUCAAAAAUUGAACUUUUCUGGCAAAUUUUUUCCUCCGAUGUUGAUGGUGGGGCAGUGGAAGGGAUGUGCGGCCAGAGGAGGAAAAGGGACUGCUUCGGGUUUAUGAAAAUAAGUGAAGAAAAUUGAUUUGAAGUACUUUGAAGUGCAAAAACGCGUAGCCAGAAUCAGUGAAGAAUGCUUUGGCAUAUUAUUUCGACUUUUUUCGCUGACAGAGUUCCCCAAUUUCCUCCAUCUGCAUCUCCAUUUCUCCCUUUUGGCCAGACAACUUUUGUUGUGAUAGGCAAGUCAAGCAGAAGGGGCCUGUCCAUAUAAAAAUGGAGAGCACUAGCAGAUGCAACUGCAUAUCUGCUUAUGUUUGAAUAAAGUUUCGAAAUGGAAAAAUAACCGAGUCUAUAAACAAUCUCUGGUAAGGCAGAAACUUUCCAAAGGCAGAGACAAGUACCUUAAAAAACAUUCCUAGACUCUGUCUUAAAGCUCACAUAAUCGGUCAAAUUGUAUUCUAGGCUUACCCACAUGUUCCCGUCCGAGACAACAUAGGCAACAUGCGAGUACUGCGAGUAUCCGAGUUUAUAAAUCGCCUAGAAAAGUACCGACUACCGACUGCCGUCUAUCAUUUCCUCCGGCACUCUGGCAAUUCGGGAGUAGCGACAACCGGCAAGAGGUAAACUUUACCUGCUGCAAGAAAAAUGUUCAAAAUAUAAACCCACAGAUCGAGGCAGAGGAAAAGAGAUUCAUACAGGCGAAUCAGGUAACCAAGACGACUGUCGUUUAUCAAAUGGGGAGCAGGGAGCAGUCCUGCCUGGGCUCUUACAUUUUUUUGACUCAAGUGAAACGUUUCACGCCGCCAACGCCUAGAAGUAUGCAAACUGGCAGGGCGAAUUUUUGUGUGUGUUUUUGCCUCUGCACUUGCUUUUCCUUCUGCCAAAUAUAUUCAUUGCAGAAUUUGCUCCCGCUGAGAGGAGCGCCACCCCCACAGCCAACGUUUUGCAUAUGGAGCAAGUUUCCUACGUCUGAUGCGUGUGUGCAAGACUGGAGAGACUUAUGCUUGAAUUGCAAAUAGUUAGAAAAGAUUUGCCUUGAUUUCGGUGACAGCGACUACGACGAGUCUCCGCUCGGAGUGCACUCUGUCUUGAGCCCGGCCCGGACCAGCUUGCGGCUUGCCUCUCAAUUUGGAGACUGGCAAAUGUGUUUGCCGAGGCACUCGAACGAUUUGUGGUACUGCAUUUGGGCGGUGCUCUGGAAUUGCGAAUGAUUAAAUUGAGGCGGUUGAGAGAUGCUGCCAGACACUGAUGGCUUCACUUGUGUCUGCGGAAACUUUUGAAGAUUUAAUUUGUUACAGCUCCCAUAUACAUGCAUAUGUAUGUAUGUACACACUCGUACGUAUUUUCACGUAUGCUUCACUGUAUCUGUCUCUGGCAUUAAAUAAAAUGUGAAACAAUCAGAAAUCAACUCAAAACGCAAGCAAAUAAAAAUAUAAAACAUUUGCGGCCAUUUGCCGUUAGCCAUUUGGCUCACGCAUACACUUACACACAUACACACAUAUUAGUGUGCAAUUUGGCCAAAUGUCGCCAACGUGGCAGCCUGUCCUCCGCUCAAAAACUUUCACAAUAUUUCCGCAAAACAAAUUGCGCGUAAAAAUGGCAAUGCAAUUUUUGGUCGUUUGUUGCGGCGGCCGUUGCCAACUGGACGCCACAUUGCAUUCACAUUCACAUAUGUCCUCCUGCUACCAUGCUUGGUAUUCCACGCCCCACCCAACCACAAACUUCUGCCUUUUACCUCCUGCCUUUUGCCUGCGUGUGCGUGUUCUGGCAUGGUCCAUGCUUCUGUAAUGUUUGCCCAAUUGAAUUUAAUAAUAUUUUCAUUUGGAUUUUAGUUUGUUUUUAGUCGAGAGAAAAUAUUUUUCGGGCCAGUUUUGCUGGAGCACUCUGGUCGUGGACCCUGCCUGUUCCUGACAUGUCCUUUCCCAAAAUGUUUUGUGCGUCCUGCGGCUGCAAAUUGCCAAGGGAACUGGUCACGAAUGUCCUUCGGAUAGUCCCGGUCCCGCUCUGGAGCUAAUUGGGUUCGCGUGUUGUGCGGUUAAUUCAGAUUUCGAAUCUAAUACUGAUUGCGAUUCUGAAUAUUAUGUUAUGUUACAUUCAUAAUUGGCCUUGUCCUGUAGCAGUUACACAGGGAGGUCCACUCUCUGUCUCUCUCUCCCUCUCUCUCUAUCUCUCUUUUUUUUUGUAGAGGCUGUAAAAACCAAGCAACUCUUUCGGUGCCUUACUUAUCCGUGCUCCUUGGCACGGGCCAACUAUCGUCUCAACAGCUCGUAAAACCAAAGCAGCAAAUUAAACUGCCGCCAUAAAAGGGUAUCCCUUCUGCCCGUUCCAGUUCCACUUCCCCUUGCCCAACUGACCAUUACCCUGACCGUUACACUGACCAUAAAUACAAUAUUUGAUAAUUUUAUUAACAAUUUCGACUGUAAAUUGUUUACGACCCAGCAACUGGGGGAGGAUGGAUGGAGGAUAGAGCUUUUUAGGCGUCUGGUGCUGCCUUCGUGCACUUUUUAUGCUGCUUCCGCAGAGCGAAUGAAAUAUUCAUGUCCUCGGACUAUCUCUGUCUUAUUCCCAAUUCCCCUCUCGCUCUCGCUCGGAACGUAAAUUUAAUUUAGCUUCGCCCAGAAUUCUGUUCAAUCAAGCACAAAAAACGCCGCAGACAGACCGACAGAGCGAGGCAGAGCGAUGGAAAGCUGUGCAGAGAGUAGGAGAGAAGUGAUGGGGAACGAAAAGCUUUAUCCUUACUAUCGUAUAACCCAGCAGUGGUUUUGUUUUUCUGACUUUGAUUUUAACUGCAUUAGAGGCCCAGUCCUCAGAACUGGAUUCAAUUUGUUGCAAUGCUAUGCUAAAAUGCUGAAAUCGGGCAGGACUCUGCCAGCCAGUCAGCCAGAGGUCCUCUUUGUGCAGCUUUUCGCAUUAAAUUUAUGAAAUUGUGCGCUUCCUCUUUUUGGGUUAUGUUCUCUCAAAACUCAAUCAUGCCUGCAUGUAAUAUCCUGCCGCCUCCUUAGCUGUGUCCUUGGGGAUGCUUUGGGCUGCUUCGGGCUGUGCUGUCCUGUCCUGUCCUAUCCUGUGUCCUUCGUUGAGCUAGCCCAUUUGUUUAAAAAACUCCCCCUGCCGGUCCUGGUGACAUUUAUACCCAACAAUAACAACAUAUACAAGUCCCGGGGCAUGUUAUCCCGGCUGUGCUGGCAGUGCUCACAGUUGGACUUCGGGCGAUACCUUCUUCUUAUGCUUCGUACGCCUCAAAAGUAUGCGCCACAAGUGCAGCAGAACAUAGUAGAGGGUGAGCGGGGGAGUAAAGGAUUCGAAGGAAGCAACCUUUAACUAUGCACUACCUAAGGAUUCUAACUUCUUCGGGAGCAAAAUUGCCCUUAAACUUUUCUGUCACAUUCCGGGCAUAUCUUAGCCAAAGUUGCUGGAGGCCAAUUUCCAGCCUGUUGAUUGCCCAUUUAGGAGAAGUCUUCUCCGUUGUCCAUGGGCGGGUAAAUACAAAGCUUUUAAGGAUCGAUCCUGAGACCUCUGAGAAACCCCACUGACGUUGGUGUACAAAGGGUUUCUGUUCAGUUCCGUUCCAUUCUGAUCAACUCUCGGCGUCUUUGGCAAAUUUCAACCCUGUUGAUUGCCCUAUUAGGAGAGCCACCAGGGAAAAACGGAGGAAUGUCCUUAAAAAGAACUCUCGGCGAGUAAUUGAAUUAAAUGGCUGGAGCUGCGGCAAAAAGCAAAGUAAAUUAAAUAAGUUUUUCAUUUUGGGCGCUCGGCCAAGUUGCAUUGUCAACGCAGUCGUCUGAGUCCUGCCUCUUGUGUCCUGCGAUGGGUCGCGCUUUUUGCUUGCCCGCAUUUUACGCUUCGCCGGCGGCCUUUGUUGGCAGCAAAGGAGGAGCAGAGGAGGAGCCGGACCUGGAGCCCGGCCAGAAUGCAAUGAGCCAAAAGUUGUUUAAUGUAUGCAUUGCCGUGCUGCCCCGCCCUGUUUCUUUUUGGGCAGCCCAGGGCUGCGGUUAACAGCGCGUCGCAACUUUUCGGCUUGGGGUGAGGUUCCAAGGGUGCGGACGGGGCCAAAGUUACUUUCCGCAUAGUACGUAAAUUUCAUGAUUUUUUGUGGACUCCGCUAAUGCUGAGCAUACUUUUAGGUGGCUUAGUGGCAUUUACACUAAUUUCAACUGCAGUAGCACUGCACGGGCACGGGCGAUGGUGUGAUUUAUUUGCCGGAAAAGAUUACUUACUCGCCCUGUGGUUCCUGGGAGGAUGGAUGGAUGAGAAAGAAGCCUUUUGAAAUCCCGUUUUGACAUUUCUCUACACCGCCCUCGACUGUGGACGACAGCGAAAUUGAAAUUUGCAAAACGAAUUUAUAAUUAGUUUUACUGCUACGUUUUACUAGUUCUCCGUGCACUGCCAUUGCUGCUGCUACUCUAUUGGGGAGUUUUUUUCUGGGCUCGACUCAGAAUUAUCUUUUAAAUUAAAAUUAACUUGAAAAUUCGUUGAAAACUGUCGUUGCUAUAAGCGUGAGUGACAGAUUCGAGUGCAAAUGAAGGGUACGUUGUUCUCAUUAAUGGGUCAAUACACAUAUUUACAAGAUUUUUGCUGCUACCGCUUCUGGUUAUAUUUUCUUCCAGGGAAACAGCGUUAAGCCGUAAGACCGUAAGAGCAACAGCAAAAAUUAAUUAAAGUGCACUUCCUUUCAAUUUUCGACCAACAAAUUACAGAGUAUCAACAACAGGAACAACAAUAGCAGAAGCAACAGCAACAAAGAGGAGGCAUCGCGUUCUUGUAGCUCCAUUUUGCUCUUUCAGCUCAUGCUCCUGUUAAUUUCAUAUUUCGAAACAUGACACUUUCACACUUUGGCUAAUUUAAAAGCAUACAAAAUUGUUGGUCGACACACGCACGAGGAGAGCAAGAGCUUCGUUGCCGCUUCCUCAUUUCGUGACGAAUGUGCUUUGUUGCUGCUGCUGUUGGUUGGUCCUUCUGUUGGUGUUGCAUGUGGCACACAAAAGGCUGGCUGGCUGGCUGACUGGCAGGAAGGCAGGAAUCCUUUCCGCGCAUAUGUAUGUGUACGUGUACGUGUGUGCAACGUUGUCGCUCGUUAAAUUGUCGCCUGACACCUCGCUAAUGUCAUCAUCAUCAUCAUCGCCAUCCUCAUCCACAUCCGCAACACCACUACUGCUCCUCGUACCAGUGGUUCUGUCGUCGUCGUGGCCAGGUUAAAGUCUCGGCCACAUUAUUACUGUAAUUAUGUUGGCCGUGUAAACGUCAUUAGGCGUUUUAGCGGCGGUCACACUGAACAGGCAGGCAGCGGAACGUGCCACAACCCGUGUGUUGCAUGGAAUUGAACUGUAGCCCAUGCUGGUACGCGAGGUGUUGCAUCUUUCGACACGUUCACUGAAAAUUGCAGUGGAUAAAUUACAAUUUAAAGUAGGUUGAUAGCAUAGGAAGCACCACCACGCCUAGCGAUCACCAAACUUAAAUUCAAUUUCACACAAUCGAAAAGAUUAAAUCUGUUUUCCCUAAAGUCAAAACUUUCAUCCAUACAAAAAAUAAACUCCAACCGCCCAUCAGCAGUUGUUCCAAAAAAAAAGCAACAAAAAAAGAACAAAAGUUCCCAUUACCAUUACUCUAAAAUUUAUGUGCUGGCAUUUUUUGAAAACAUUACUUUGUCGCUGCUUUAAUUGAUAGAUAAAAAUGGCUGACCAUUAAACAAAUGCGGGGCAGGCCAACGAGGCCGGUCAGGCCAGGCCAAUUCAUUUGGCAAUUAAAACAAGCUGCGGCCAAAACGAGAAUCAGAAGAAGUUGGAAAAAAAAGCGGGCAAAAGCGACAAACUGCAUCUGAAACAGAAACAGAAACAGAAACUAUAAAAUGCAAAUCAGUUUCAUAUGUAUAUGUAUACAAAAAUAUAUAUAAUUUAUUUGUUAAAACCAUUUGCCGGCCAUUUGCUGGCCAUUUUUUUGCGAUUUGGCCAGAAGAAAUAUGUUGUCCUUUUAGGCGUUGACAAAUCGAGUCUCACACUCAUGGCUAAAAGUAUGCAACAAGCACAGCAAAAAGCAGCAAUACAAAGCCAAAGCCAGUUCAGGGCCACUUCCAAAACGUACGUGGCGAGGCGGGAAUAAUAAUUUUUGGCAUGACUGCCAUGUUAACAUGUCCCCAGACACGUAUGCAUGUUGUCCUCUGCCUCCUCUACCGACUCAUCUACCCUGAAUGCGGUGAACGUUGCAUACUUCCCUGCGCGAGUUUAUUAUGUGCGACGGAGUAUGAGUGCGUGUGCAUGUGUGUGUGGCUGCAUUUCAAAGCCCCUGUCAGGGCUCUCGGGUUGCCCUUGCGGCUUGUAGAACCAUUAGUGAACACGGGUAGCUCUGAUUACCCUCAGAUCCACCGGGCCCCUGCCCCAUCGACCAACAGGUCCUCCCCGGGAGAAUCUUGACUGCAUUUACAUUUGCAUUUGCAUUGAAAUACAUAAAUACGUGCGCGGCUUUUGGGGCGGUAGACAAAUUACUUUUUAAAUGCACUGUAAGCCCUUCAAUUGUAAUUGGCCGUCCUGUGGUCUGAAACUUUGCCAAAAAAGCAGGAGAACCAUUGAACCAGCGGGAAGAGGAAGAGGGAAGAGGGAAGAGGAAGAGAGACCCAGAACUUUGAGCGAGUGGCAUUAAAAAACAAUAAAAAAUAUUUGCCAGAGGCGAAAAGGCUAAGGACGAAGGCCCAUCUAAUGGCGUCACGUUUGCGCCGCCAGAAAAGUGGCAUGCAACAUGCGAUUGCUGCCAAAAGUGCCGCCUGGCACGAGUCCAGGAACAAGGACCCAGGCAUCCACACGCCAAGCACCGGGGAAGACCCCUCUUGUUAGUUGGCUUGUUAGUUGGCAGCCAAAAACGGCAGCCUGCUGCCUGUUGCAUUCCCCACUGAGGCACGACGACGAUUCAUUCUUGUUAGGCGUGCUGCCAGCUUGCACUCGCCUCCUCCUAAGGCUGUGUCUUUGGCUCCAACUACUAUUGGGACUUGGCUUGUGUCUGAGCCUGGGACGCUGACUGUGUGUCGUGUUGAAUUUUUCAUUUCAUUUGGCGGCAGCAAUUCAGUUGAAUGGAAUCUUCGUGUCGUCGCAGUCGUCUUCGGCAAGCGGAAGCGGAAGUGAGCAGGCCAAACAGCCGCACACGUAUUCUCAUGGCAUAUAUUAAGCGUUUAUAUUGACUCGCACCGACGGCUGGAUGGCUGCCUGACAGACUGCCUCUCAGAAUUUUCCUGGCAACAUAAUUCCUGCCUUAAAAGCGACGAUUUUGUGGUUUUUAUUGUAGGCGAAGCUUUGAGGAAUAAGCAGCCAUGAGACUGGGAUUAUUAGGCAAUUAAAUUGACGUUAAUGAAUUAAUUUAUGAGCUUUUGUGGUUCCCUGCUCGCCUAAUGUCAGCUGGUCGGCUACAAUUUGUGCCACGGAUUACCAAUGGAUAAUGGAGGUUUAUCGCCUUCAGUCCAAUGGCUGCAGUUUCUACAAGAAGCCAUUACAAAUCCUUUUAGUGCAGCCAAGCAGCAUUCUGCACUCUUUAAAGGUUGAAAUGUAUUUUCAUAUGAUAUUUGAAACGCUGACCCUGCCACGUCUAAUGUUCUAAUGUAGCUCAUUAAAACCUAUUGCACAGGAGCUGCCAGGCAUCUGGGGCUAUGACAGGGCCAACAGCAAUAGUUUCACAUUCCCAAGAUUCCCCCCGAUUCCACACCCACUCCUUUACCUUCCCCACUGUCCAUCCGCUUUUGGCCUUUUGCAUAAACUCGAGUUUCAUAUUUCAUUAAUUAAAAUUAUGUUCAGAGAAGAGCAGAUAACUGCUAUACUACGUAAAGCACCUGUUUUGUUGUAGUCUCAUUAACAGCACACACCCUGAGCCACUCACCUACACACUCUCCAACCCCAAAUGGGGGUGGCAGAGGCAGAGGAGGUCUAGAAUUAUGCAAUACAAUAUCAUUGUUACUUUGAUUAAUGAUUUGCAAAAUCAUAAAAGCAUUUCUGCUUCCUGCCAGCCAGUUCCCUGCCCCCUCACAAUCACAUUCAUCAUCAUCAUCAUCAUCGUCAGAAGCAGCAGCAGCAGCAGCAUCAGGCAAAAAGGUUUCCCAUUACAAAAACAGUCUUAAUUAGAACAAAAACCAAAUGUUACCGAAUAUUGGAAAUGUCUAUUCAAAUCAAAUUGUCAUAAGUAAGCCGAGACCUCUUCGGGUGACAUGGGGAGUGCGAAAUGUGAAGCCAUUAUUAUGCUAAUUAAUUGACAUCAAAAGCAAAGCAGAAGGAAGAGUCCCCGGGCCUAGCCGUGUUCAGAGUUCUGAGUGCUUUGUUCCCCCGUAUUUACGAGCGUUUCGAAAUCAAUGAGAGACGACGACAAUAGAUGACAUCGGAGUCUCUAGGUUAAGGUAGGGAGCGGGUGAAAGCGGAUCGUAGUGGAGAGAAGCGAUGCGGAGCCCAUAAGCUGCUUUCAAUAGAAAUGCAAAUUGAAGUACGCGUAUGCCAAUUAUUUUGAUAUAUACUUAUUUUUCGAAUAUAAUUAUGUUAUAUUAAUAAUGAGCAUCGGCAGCAGCAGCAGCAGCAAAAGCUCAACAAAGAACUCAAGUCAAGGGGGAUAGGUACUCUUACCUGUCGCUGUCAUCGGCACAAAAUAAUGGCCUGUAAUAGGAUUUCCUGUUCCCGAGAGAAGAGUGAAAUUAAGGGAAACGGAAAAGCCUCCCAUAAAUAUGCAAUGCCAGCCAGUCAGCUCCCACUCACCUCUCUCUCGGCCCUCGGGCCUCUUAUUUUACAGGGUGCAUCCUCCAGCCUGGUCGUCAAAUACGCCGACACAGAGAAGGAACGACAAAUCAGGCGCAUGCAACAAAUGGCCGGCCAUAUGAACCUGCUGAAUCCGUUUGUCUUUAAUCAGUUCAGUCCGUACGGCGCCUACGCUCAGGUAAGUGGCUGCAGCUCCAACCCCGUGAACAGCUCCCCUCACCUCUUUCUCUGGACUUCUGCAGCAACAACAGCAAGCAGCUCUGAUGGCAGCCGCUGCCACGGCGCCUGGAUCGGCAGCCGCCUACAUGAACCCCAUGGCCGCCCUGGCGACGCAAAUACCUCAUGGCCUCAACGGCACCGGACAGCCGCCUUCUUUGCCCUCUCCAACAAUGCCCAACUUCAGCAUGGGCGCCAACACGCCCAACGGCCAGCCCGGCGGAGCUGCCGCGGCCGCAGCAGCUGCUGCAGCGGACGGGGUAUUCACGAACGGCAUUCCGCAAACUGCAUUCCCAGGCCGUAAGUACCAGAAAUUCAGUCAUAAGUUUACCCGUUCCGAUCGAAUAACCGACUCGCGUACUCUCUUCCUUUAUUCCUUCAAUUUUAAUGAAUUUUUUUUUUGCAGAUCCGCUGCAUUUGACUAUACCACCACAAGGUCUGCCAAACGGCGAUGCUGCUACUCUGCAACAUGCCUUCCCUGGUCUGCCACCAUUUCCAGGAGUUGGUAAGUGUCCCCGAACCGGCGCAUACUAAGUCUUUAUCCGUUGCUCUAAGAUAGAAUAUCUAGGUUAGGCAGAAAAAAUAAAAAUCAUCAAAUGGAUUUAGAUGAAUCGCCCCAAUUCAUUGCUUUCUCAUUCUGCACACUCGAAACAUGUCAACUUGUCAUUUGAGCCGCGCUCCGUCUAAUAAUUAAGCAUUGGCAAUGGCCGUACGAUUGUUCCAUCGUCACCAAAAUUAUUAUCAUUUCAACCACCAAUUCAUGUUCCAAAGAAAUCAACAACAACAACAAAACAACCCAAUCAUUCAUAAUUGUUUUUAUCGAAAUAAAUAAUAAUUGUUGUGUCAUGCCAUAAAUAUUUUUAUUGUUAGUAAAGUGUCAUAUAACUCUAACUUUUAUAUACAUAUUUAAUUAUUAUUUUUUUUUUUUUUUAACAGAAUCCAGCGAAUGUUGUCGAAACAUAAUUAAUUUUUUUGUUCAGUAACCAAUGCAAAAGUAAUGCCGCUCCAUUCGAAUCUCGACCGAAUCGACAACACUAGCUUGGUUGCUUUUGUUGGCUUUUGAUUUGAAUAUAUUGAGCUUAGUUAGUUUUCUAUUUGUUCACCACAAAGUUGCGUUUUUCAAUGUUAAACCGUUAACAUUUGUUGCUUAUGAGCCGCACCUAUUAAUUAUUUAUUGUUUUCUGAUGUGUUUCAUUUUGCAAACUCUUUCACAAAUCCAGCCCCUGAGCUGCUGAUACUUAGCACUAAUUUGAAAUUUUCUUUUCAAGUGCGAAUUAUUCUUUGUUUAUUACUAAACUAUAAAAUUACUUGAAAAAUUUAAUUAUAUACAUACCUAUAUAUAUAUUUGUACGUAUACUUAAUUGUUGUGUUGUCUUCAUAAAUGUUUCGGAUUUUGUGUAAAAACCAAAAACAAAAAUUAUUUAUAUAUAAUGCAGCCUUCCCCGCCGUCUAUGGACAGUUUCCACAAGCUUUACCACCUCCCCUAGCGGCGGUUGCACCCACUCAGCGUGAAGGUAAGCUUUUCAUUAUUAUUUUGUUAAUCGAAUUUCGUAACCUCCGUAUUCCCCGAAACCCUUUAACCCCCAACAUGUUCUCUAGUUCGUUCGUUUCCGUUCUCCUAACUCGAUAUCGUAAUUGAGUUUUGAAAAAUAUCGAAUGAUACAUUAACAAACGACUGAAAAUAAUCGUAGUUUUUUGUUUCCAUCAAGUACUCGUAAAUGAUUCACUCCAUGUUUUCUUUGAUUCGUUGUCAUUAGAAUAAUAUACCAUGCAACACACACACACACACGCACAUACAAACAUAUAUUCCACACACAGACAAGCGGUCAUCAUGCGGCUAGAUUAAGCCAAUCCUGAAAGUAAUUAAUUCUCUUUUCGGCUGGAGAGAAAUUAAAUUUAAAACAAAAUCUCAUAAAAAUUAAUUACUUUGCGUACAGUGUUCUUUUCUGCUCUGUUCCUUUUGCCGUUUAUUUUAUUUUGAUAAACAUUUUAUUUGUUUCCGCAAUCCCUCAAAGGAGAAGAAGGGACGCGAAUGAGGACAUUCAACCCUUUCGAGCUGUAUGCUUGUCGGGCAAGGCGUAAAUCGUUUUUAAUGGCUGCAUUCAAAGGCAUUUUAUGCCAUCGUAAAAAUUACAUAUAAACUGCUUAAAAUCAUAUAAAGACCGUCGGCGUAUUUCGAAGACAUUUGCUCAUAAAAUUUUAUGUUUGUUUUUCGGUUCGUUUUGUCUUUGCUCUUUUUUCUUUUUGGACAGUGACAAUAGUACCACGUCGUACCUUGGUAAAGCAUUAUAUAAUUUAUGCCUGUCUGUGGUGUGUCUGUGGAUUGAAAUCAUAUACAUACAUAUAUCUACAUACAUACAUAUGUGUGUGGGUGUUGUGUGCGUGUACCUGUAUGCUAAGUAUGUACCUAACUUGAGUGUAACGUUCAAUUUUCAUAUCUGUUACUCCGUAGUCUGUUGUAUCUCUAUGUAUACCCUAGAAUCUACCCUGCAUGACACACGCACACAUGUAUACAGACACUUUAUUUCAUAUUUACAUAUAUUUAAAUAGAAUAUGCAUAUUAUAAUGGUAAUUUGGGGAUGAAAUACAUGGUAGAGAUCUCAGCUCAAGCAUAUAGUUAACUAUUACUAGAUUCAUUAAGCAUUUCUAGCCUAAACGAACCUCAAAUGUCUGUAUGUUUAUCAUUUAGCCUGUUCGUUUGGUUAUGGUUUUGUUUCCUAGUUUUUAGUUGAAUCGUCCAGAAAACAAAUUCAGCCACAGAACACAAUUCACAGUUCACAGAUCUCAGAGCACAAAUCAGAAAUCUAUCAGUUCAAAAUAAAACUCAAACAAAAUUAAACGAAACGAAUUCAAUUCAAACAGAACCAGAACAAAAAAAAAGCAGACAUACUCGUACUCAUAAAGAUCGAAAUUAUUAUUUUGCCAUCGCUUAAUUUCAUUCUCUACUUUGUUUCUUUUCUUGUAAUGUCUUCUUUUAAGAUUUUCUGAUGUUCCCAGGAUGCUCGAUAUCCGGCCCAGAGGGUUGCAAUCUCUUCAUCUACCAUUUGCCCCAAGAGUUUGGCGAUGCGGAAUUAAUGCAAAUGUUCCUACCCUUUGGCAAUGUGAUCAGCUCUAAGGUCUUCAUCGAUCGUGCUACAAACCAGAGCAAAUGCUUCGGUAGAGUCUCCACACCCCCUACCUAUUAUAUUCAGCUGUUCCUAAUCAAAUGGCUCUCUCUCUCUCUCUCUUUAUGUAGGUUUUGUGUCCUUCGAUAACCCCGCAAGCGCUCAAGCGGCCAUUCAGGCCAUGAAUGGCUUCCAGAUUGGCAUGAAAAGACUGAAAGUUCAAUUGAAGCGGCCAAAGGAUGCCAGUCGACCCUAUUAACAAUCGGAGUUCCUUAAGUGUAAUUCACAACAACUACAUCUACUACCUGGAUCAUCAACAACAGGAGUAGUCGGAGGAGCAGCCAUUCCACAAACUAGAACUCAAUUUGCAACUGCAGCAGCAGCAACAACAUCCACAGCAACAGCAUCAGCCACAGCAACAACCACAGUACACCGCUAUAGUCGCAGAAGCAGCUUUAGGCCACCAUUUCCCACUGAAAACUCUCCUAAUAUGCAGUAUCAGUUCGCCAGCUGGCGAAAUGGUACCUACUGCUACCGCUAUAGCACCCCCAGCAACAUCUCCCCCAGCAACAUCAGCAAUUCCAGAAACUGCAGCAAGGACAACAGCAACAGCACCACCAACAACAAUAGCAGCAACUGCAGCAGCAGAAUGGACGAUUCCCAUCCACAGCCAACUCAACCGGACACGGCAUCCAAUAGCAACCAGAAGAACCUAUCCAAAGUGGAACUAGUCGAAAAACUGUUCAUGUGGCAGCAACAAAAACGAAAGACCUAAAACCAGUAGGACCCACACCACCACCACAUCAGCAACCAUGACAACGGCGACAACAAUAAGGAGCAACUACUGAAAGGGUGAGCCAUUGAAUUCGGAUGUUUGGGAACCCCAGUCCCGCAAACACUUUAGAAGAAUACGAACAAGAUCUCUUUCCAAAUGAAAGAUUUCCCAGAACUGUUUCGGCGAUCGUCUUGGAAGGAGAUCUUACGGAUAGAACUUGGAUCAGCUUACUGAUGCUAUACCAUUACCUCUUUUCAGAUGGUCUUCACCAUGCUAAGUGAAAAUGAUUAUAAAAAUAAAAAUGAACACAUGUUCAUGUGAAAAAAAACCUAAAAAAUAGUAAACAAAAAAAUGUAUAAUAAAAAAAGAAAAUACUUUAGAGCUGAAAUUUAAAUAGAUUUAUAUAUAUAUAUACAAAACAGCAGAACAUACAUGCAACUAUAUAUAUAUUUAUUCGAUUAUACAUGCAGAUGAAUGCAGUAUUUAAAAAAUUAAAGAGAAACCCAACAGAAACAAAAUGAUAAUGAUGUUGAGAAGCCCGAAGAAAGAACAAAAUUUUUGCCAAAAUAUCGAUUUAUUAUGAAUAUAUAUAGACACAUAAAUAUAUAUAUUUAUAGAAGCAAGGAACAAACAUUGAUAUUGAUAAUUUUGUUAACAAGAGAUAAACAAACCACAUAACAUAUGCACACCCAACACACACCACACACAGGAAAAACAACUUGAGACAAAAACUGACUGGCAAGAGACCAAAAUUAUCUGGGUUUUCAAAUUAAAAAAAAAAAACAAAAAAAAGAAACAAAUAAUAAAUAAUAAACAAAAAAAAGAGGGAGUACUAGUAGAGCAGCAGCCAAUUUAUAAGAAAAUUUGGUAAUGGGAAUUUAUUAAAUUAACAAGAUGCUGCAGAUAAAAUUAAUAAAAGAAAACCUAAAACAAGAGAAAAACUAUCAAAACUGAAUUUGUUAAUCUGAUGAUGAUAAAAUCGAAUGGAGUUGACAGUUAAAUGAUUUGAAUGGAUAAGAGGUGUAGACAAGCAGAAGGAUUUAAUGAUAGAGCCUAGGAUGAUUGAUAGAGGAACAUAGCUCUGCAACUUUUUAGCAUUUAGUGGUAAGCAAGAAGCAGAAUGUUCUAUAUAUAUAUGCAUAUACAAGUAUAUAUAUACACAUGUGUAUAUGUAUGUGUACGAAUGAAAAAUUAACACAAAAAUUCGAAUUUAAUUAAUUGUAAGUAAAACAAACCGAUAUAACAAAAUAGGAAUACACCAGCUCAGAGCAGGCCACUUAAUAUGCGCAAUGCUUUGAUGGAUAUGUGAAAGGCUACGGAUGAACAGACCGCAGUAUAUAUCUAUAUAUACCAAUAGGUAUAUAGUACUACUGGAUAGGUCGAGCCCAGGUCACCGCCCCAGGGUGGGCCUGCUGGCCUCGCCCCGAAGCAAAAAUAUCAUUUUUGAUUAUACAUAUAUAAAUGAGAAACUAAUUUAGCAUCAUAAUAUGAAUUUGUUAGAGCUAAUAACGAGAAUCGCGAAAACGAACGGAGGAGUAAACACAAAACUAGAAAAGAUAAAUUAAUCCAAAAACUCUAAAGAUCACUUGUGUUGGGCUGAGAGCUCUGUUGGAGAUAUUCUUCUACGAUACUAGUCUUCAAUUAGUUAUUCUGUAUUUAUGUUCGUUUUGUUUGCAGUUCGGUUGGGAACUUUUCUAAAACUAAUGAAAAUCGUAAUCGAUUUUAUAGUAUAAUAAACUAAAAUAAACUAAUAUUUGUAUAAAAUCAAACAACAAAAAUUUUACACUUAAACUUAGCUGCUUGCAACAAAAACAAAUACAGG
rnacentral:lncRNA from 1 species